rnacentral:lncRNA from 1 species
UUUUUUUUUUGUCGAUAGACACGAGACACACAGCCCCUGAGCCUUUUGCCUACUAGUUUGAUGGGUAUCAGGGUCAACCUUUGGUCAACGUGACCAUCUCUGGAAGGAGAUCUUAUCUCCUCCUAAAAUAAAGGUUACUACCAAUCAGAUGUUCGAAAUUCUGGGGAUCCUUUAAAUCAAAAUCCCUUUAUUUGUGCAGUUUUUACCGUUCCACUGUUAUAAAUAACGGAGGAAGUUAUCCCUUCCAUUUUACCUUUUCCAUUGGCCUUUCCAACUUCCACAAUUUAGCCUUAGCGCUGCCGCCACUGUUCGAUCUCCGAACACUAGCAUCGCUGUCCUCCCACCAAGCAGCCUCCGAGCGUGUGCGAUAGAAGAAGCUCGUGACAUCAAGGAUGGGUAGGAAAGCUGCUGUGUCCAAAUCAGGCGAAGGCAAGAAGAAGAAAACAUCUAACAAGAAGAAAGAGCCGAAGUUGUCGGCGCCCAAGUACGGAAAACUGAUCAGACCGCGCUGCCAAAUCCCGUCUGUGCCUGGAAGCGGUCAACUCUGAAGGAGGAAGAUACCAAGGUGCUCGUAACAGCCAAUUUACUCCAAGAUCAGGACUUUGGAUCUAGGAUGUCAACUAGAGGGGGCUGAAUAGUCGAACCUAAAAAUUUUUACACUUCGAACAAGCUUAUUAGCAACUUUCGGAAAUUUUCGGAGACUGUUCCAGAAAUUUUCGAAGGUUCAGAAAUUUCCGGAGAAAUCUUCGGAUUUUUUCGGACUUUGACAAGAAACAACUACAACCUCAAGUUAAACUUGUUGAAAAGUAAAUCAUCGAAUAUAGGUUGAUCCAUAAGUUAUUCUUAGCCUUUGACACAAGAUAGCAUAGCUUCAAACCUGCUAAAAAAGUAGGUCGAGCACGAACCUUAGAAAUGUGUUCUAUGCAAGAAUAUGAAUGAAUGUAAGAACAACAAGCAAGAGAGACACAAGGAUUUGUUACCGGAGUUCAGCUUCACACCGCGAAGCCUACGUUUUCGUUGAGGACCCACGAAGGGUGGGCUUUUCACUCCUAAGCCACUUUCUUCUCUUUAGCGACCACAAAGAUCGAGCUAGAGUCACUUACUCAAUCGUCGGGGUAAUACAAACUUCCCGGGGCAGCCACAACUCUUGGAUGCUCAACCGAGCAACGCCUAGCCGGCUAGGAGCUUGAAGCUCCAAGAGUAAUAAAUGCGGAACACCAGCUUGACGAAGAACGAAGGUGCUCAAGAGAUGGAGUGCAGCUCACUAGAACAAUCUCUUUCCCUCUCAUGAAUCUCUCCUCAAAUCCCCACCAAAUCUACCAAAUCUCUCAAAGGAAGUCAAAGGGGAGCCAAGGAGGAAGCUAGAGUGUUUUCUGAAGUUCAGAACAGUGAAAAGCCAAGAGAGGGCGAACAUGAGGGGGUGAGGAGGCAUUUAUACCCAUUCACCUCGAAACUAGCUGUUGGAGAUUAAGUUUCGGAAAUUUCCGGAACUUUCUUCGGAAGUUUCCAGAACCUCCGGAAUUUUCUGAAAAAACUUUCGGAAAAAAUCCGAACCUCCGGAACCUCUCCAGAAACUCUGAACCUCCGGAAUAUUCCGUAAAAACUUCCAGAAAAUUUUGGAACUCUCCGGUUAGCACCACUAAUUAUCCCCAAGUGAUGUGCAGGUGCAAAUGGUGUCUCUCAUAGGUUUGUUAGAUCAUUUUGAGCAUCUUUUUCAACAUCAAGAUCAGAGAUCAUGUCAAACCGAAAAUAAAUUUAGACUUGAGAAUAUGCCGUUCAUCAUUUCAUUUCCUUUUGAGGGGGUCCAUCACAAGUGCUCCAUGACCAAUAAUUCUUUUAAACCUAUUUAUGCACUUGAAACUUUGUUAGACACUUAAGCUUGCGCCAUUAAAUCACCAAAACCCACUUAAGGGGCCAAGAUACUCUUCACUUCAUCAAUUGGCGAUCUGCAUAUGGCAAUGCCUGCCCUUUGGAGUCCUAUCCCGAUAAGACGGUAAUUUUUGCCCACUUCAUCGAGCGAGGUCUUGCAUUGCCCUCUUCAGAUUUCUUUUAGGGUUUACUGCAUUGCCCUCUUCAGAGUUGGUGCAUUUGAACCCCAAUAGAAUCCUCCAUACUACAAUCUUCGUUCAUUUUUGUGAAGUCUUUCUAGGGAUCAGGCCGCACUUUCAAUUAUUCUGGAAGUUUUUCCAUGUGAAGCCACAACCCUCAAAAGAUCAUAGUAUCUUGGUCGGAGGCGCCAGGAUCCAGAUGCGGGAGACAACAAGCAGCCAGUAUCUAGAUUAUGAGUUGAUAGACUCCAACGCCUGGUGGAAGGAAAAGUGGUGCUACAUUAGCAACCAUUAUCCGAAACUACCCAAGUUGACAGGGCAUCGCCUCUCAUGGAACAACUGCUAGCUUGAUGAACCAAAACAUGGAGAUUGCCUCCAACUAUCCGAGCUGAUGAGUAGAAUAGUGCAGUUGAAACAAGAGGACCUUACUGGAAUCAGAGUGGCGUUCAGCUUUAUGAAGCGACGCAUCUAGCCCCUACAGUAGAGGUGCCACUAUGGCCAUUAAUACACCAGCCUGGACGAUCCCUCCAGAUUCUCUCCGGAAGAGAUUAGCACUAAUGAAGUCAUGGUGAAGCUCAAACGGAUGUUCAAAAAUAUGGGUGAGAUCCCCACUAUUGUGCGGGAAUUUAGUGCCGCCAAUCCGCAAAAGCCUAUAAGUACCCGUGAUCGUAGCCUCCCGAGUAGUUAUUUGAAGUUGUUGGGUUUUCUAACUUUUCUUUCUUUGCAGGAAGAUGGCUUUGUAAUUCUCUGCUCCUCCUCCUCCCGGAUCUGAAGAUGCCUGUAAAGCUGCCCCUUGCAUGUUUACACGCGAAUUUAUGAGAGGUGAUGACCAAGAGGAGGAAGUAGUCGAGUCCUCUAGUGGUACUAGUUCUGAUGCCGCGGAGAAAUAUGAAGUCGAGGCCUGACCAUCUGCGAAGGCCAGAUCAUCCUCCAGGUCGAAGAAGCGCUUGGCUACAUAUGAGCUUAAACCCGCGAUCCCUCUGCCACCGAAGAAGAAAUGGACCAUUGUUACGAAAUGGACCGUGAAAAAAAUCCAUCGCUACGGAUAAUGUGCCCUCCAAGGUAAUUACCUAUGAGGGAGGACAAGGUUCUGAGUAUCAUAUACUCCCAAAAGGUGUCUCCAAUGUCGCCACCAUGUCUAAUUUAGAUGAUACUGGUGGUUUGCAGGCGAUCGAGUCGGUGACGGAUGCGGAGAAGGCAGCUGCUUUGGCUGCUCAAGAUAGGUUACCGGUGAACAUUGAAGUCAUUGAGAUUGACAAUGGUCCAUUAUCUCACAGUGUUGCCGAUGACCAUUGAACUGGUCAAAUGGUGGACCUGCCAGCACAAAAACAACUCAAAGACCAGAGAGAGUACCACAGGCUGGUCAAGUUCACAUUGUGGAGGAGCAGACCACGCCCAAGGUACCCUCCCCAAGCAUCAAGCCCUUGCGCUUAACGGGAAAGCCCAAGUUUAAGUUGAAAAGAUCGUCCAGGUAAUUCUGGUCCUCUCAUGAUUACUUAUUGUAUCACAUUGUCUUCGCUACUCAACUUUGUGAGUUCUUGGUUUUGUAGGAAGUCCUCGGACAUGGAAUUGUCGGGGCCUGGCGAAAAAUCAAGAACUAAUGACCUUGGCCCCUCAGCAAAAUAUCUUGCUCCAGCGCUGCCAACCCUCAUGCCUCAAGAACAACCCGAAGGGACAACGACUACUCUGGGUGUAGCCAAUGUGGCUGCAUCGAUGCACAAGGUAGUCGAGUCGGUGUUAAAUGUAGAAGUGCUAGCCCCUGAGCCAUUGCCCAAGGGCGCACUGACUAUUCGUGGCACCGUGGCCUCUCUUGUAGCCCCCGAGCCAGUUGUAGAAAUUGAAACGGCAUCAGCUCUAGAAGCCAUGGUGAUGGAAGUUGCUAUGGCAGGGCCAGCAAGUAGUUAUGCCUUGGUGCCGCAAAGAGAAUUCCAUGCAGAAUCUGGAAGCUGAGAAGGAAAUCCAUCUGAAAGAUAUCCAAUUGAUUGACGACCCAUUACUGAACCUAGAGAUGGUGUCACUGAUGAUGGAGUCGCAUCGUCGCCUAGGCAACUAUAUGUAGGUAUACCCUCCUGCCCUUGUCUCCUUGGAGAUAAUUAAUAAAUUUGUGCUGAUGAAUUGACACAAGUACUGAUUUUGUGCUGCAGGACAUCAUUGAGUGCUCGCGCCGCAAGUCACAGAUGCUUGAAGGGUAUGGUGAUACAGUGCUUCACGUGGAGGGGCUAGAGGAGGAGCUUGCCAAGUAGAAAGAGUACUCCUCAUGAUUGCUUAUGAAAUUUGAUGGAAUGGAGAGUUGAUUUUAUGCUGUAGGACAUCAUUGAGUGCUCCCGCCGCAAGUCACAGAUGCUUGAAGGGUAUGGUGAUACAGUGCUUCGCGUGGAGGCGCUGGAGGAGGAGCUUGCCAAUUAGAAAGAGUACUCCUCAUGAUUGCUUAUGAAAUUUGAUGGAACAGAGAGUUCGUUGGGGUGAGUAUGAUGGUGACGUCGAGGCCUAUCUUCUUCAGUGUCUUGGCGAACAGGACGUUGAGACCACUACCGCCAUCAAUGAGUACUUUAGUAAGUCUGGAGCUAGCGACAAUCGAGUCUAGGUCGAGGGGAUAUUGUCCUAGGUCUAAAAAACUAGUCCAUUGGUCCUUCCUGGAGAAGGUAAUUAGCAGCUCGGACCAUUUGAGGAACGUUGGCAUCACAGGUUCAAUGGACAUUAUCUCUUGAAGAGUGAGCUUCUGGGACCGCUUAGUAGCAAUACCCGGGGUUCCGCCGAAGAUGACGUUGACAGUGUUGGAUGGGAAACGGAACUUGCCAUUGUCACCAUCGUCUUCGUCUUCCUUGACCUUGCCCUUGUCUUUGGCGCCAAAUGGCUCUACCAGGUCCUUCAUGACUCUUCAUAGACUGAAAUAAUAUAUCGCAGAGUGCUUGUGGUAUGGGUGCCAUGGGUACUGUUUCUUCAGGAGCUCGUUGAACGAGGGCCUGUCUUGAUUCUUGCCGCCACCUUUCUUGGAUGAUUGCAAAAUUGCCGCGACAGUAUUGUGUGGCUUGCGCUUGCGACCUCCCAAGUAGUUAUUUCGGUUGUCAUUGUUGGGCAAUUGUUGCAGUUCUUAUCGUUGUGUUGGUUAUUGUUCUGAUUGUUGUUGUUCUGUCCCUUGAUGCGAUUGGACUCGAACCUUUUGAUCUCCCUGUCUUCUUCAUUUGCCCACGUCUGUACCAUGAUCUUGAGAGAUUUAACAUCAGCGGGGCGUCUUCUGUCGAAGCCCUAGAACAUCCGGCGGUUGUGGAGGCCAUUCUGGAAGCAGUCAAUAAUGUCGCGCUCCGUGACAUCCAUGAUUGUGGCCUUCUUGUCGAAGAAGCGACGUAAGUAGUUCCGCAGGGUCUCGCCUUCUUUUUGUUUAACUUGAGACAAGUCGAUCCUUUUGCCAGGAUGCUGCAUUGCCCCUGCGUAGUUGUUGGUGAACACUACCUUGAGAUCCUUCCAUGAGUCGAUGGAGUUCUUAUCCAACGAUUCGAGCCAUGUGAGUGGCACCACCUCCAUGUAGAUGGGGAAGUAGAUGACUUUGGUGUCGUCAUUUCCCCCAGUUGCUUGUACUGACAGCGAGUAGCACCGAAGCCAUUGGACUGGGUUCUUCUUGCCAUUGUACUUGGUGAUACCCGGAGGUUUAAACUUUUCGGGUACAGUUGUCCUCCUCACAUGUCUUGAGAAGGUGGGGAACCCGUCAGUAUCAUCUUCUGGGUGUUCAACUUCUUGCUCGCACUCGCGGCGUCGUCUGUUGAUGAUGGUAUGGGUGUCACGGCUGGCUUUGAUCCUGUUGCGGAGGUCUUCUACUGGGCAUUCAGUCUCGGGGUUAUCCCCACAGUGGCAACGGCCUCCUGAGGGUCCGGCCCGACAACCUUCAGCUCCAGCUUAGCUUGGUCUAGCGCCUUUGAGUUGACUUGGUCUGGGCGGAGGGUCUCUAUGCAUGGCUGCUGCCAUGGGGACUUCGCUGGGAUGGGGAGUGUUGGACUGACUGUAUAGCAUUCUGCUGAUCGAGUUGUUCGUACGCAAGUUCCGCCAGUUCAGCCAACUAUCUUGUGUACUUAUUCUGAGGCAUCACGUGGGUGAUGAGAUCAAUAGACGCGACGGUAGCCAGGGAAGUACAAUGGUGAUGUGUUUGAACUGCUUCAAAGGCAUUAUCCAGGUUCUGGAUUGGUAGGUCCGCUGCAAGACGGCGGCGACGCUAUGCUCUUGUGGCGUUUCUUGCUCAUCGUCGAGUUCGUUGAGUUUCGGUCUCUUCUUCGACAACAUUGGUGUUGAGUUCAUCCUGCGAGACGUCAUCCGGGUGACACUCAUGUCGCGGGUUUGGGUCCCGUUACUCUUCUUCUUUGUCCUCUUGUCCAGUAAUGACGACGAAGAGUUCUCACUCUGUAGAGUCGCUUCCCAAGCUUGAAGUGAUGACCUCCAUGGUGCCGCCUUCCUCGUAGAUGGGUGACAGAGGAGCUCCCUCUUGGUACGGGAAAGUGUCGAGAUAGUCGAUGAGGCGUGAAUAGUCAUCUUUGGCAAGAGUGGGUGGCUUCAUGUUGGGCCAGUAGAUGAAUCUGUCUUGGGGAGUUGAUGUGAUUACCAGGCCAUGCUAUGGACCUGAUAAAGGAGUCUCCUUGUCCGGAUCCGAGUAGUAGUCGAGGUCCUUGAUCGUAUCCGUAUUGGAUUGUGAUCUAGAUAGGGCAGCCUGAUAAAUAGUGGUCACGUUGUGGAGUCUGAAUGGGAAUCGACUUGGGUGGUAGUCCGACUCGCACGAUGGCUUAUGUGGCUCCUGAAAGUCAAUUUGAUGGGGGGGGGAGGAGUCGAGUUGAACUCGGACUCGUCCUCUUAGCCUCUGACUAGGUCAGAAAUUGAAAAUUCACCAAAAUUCUCGACGAGAUCCUCCAGAUUUGGCGCUGGAGCUUCAUGGUUUGCUGCUUCUUUUCUGGGGUCGAUGCAAUGUGGCAGUGAAAAUUUCUAGCGCUGUCUGCGAUGCAAACCCAAGAGCUGAAGACAAACGUUGCGCAAGUUUUGAACACAAUGAUUGGCUUGAUGAUGACUUGUGCCAUCAAGUUCGCCAGUGGAUUCUCGGCGAGGUCCCCUACUUGGCGUGCCAGCUUCGGUGUUUAAACCCGGCAACCUACUGAGGGGGGUGCCUGAGGCAGUGUUUUGGUUAGUGGGGCUCAUUGAGAUCACGAACUCGAAGGUAAACGAGGACACACAAUUUAGACAAGUUCGGGUCGCUAGAUUGCAUAAUACCCUACGUCCUGUGUGUUGGUUGGAUUGAAUUGCUUUAGAGGAGGUCCCUGCCUCACCUUAUAUUGCCGGGGGUAGGGUUACAGGGCGGUUGGUUAAAAGAAUACUAGUCGGAUAUGACUAAAGGAGUUCCACUCUUAUUACAAUGAGUACUUUCCUAAUCCUUGACUAGUUCAUGUCUUUCCAUGUAGACUACGUCGUCCUGCGCCAUGGUCUCCAUGUCGAAUGUGUCUCGGUGUCCAGCCCCAUAUUUAGGACUUCCAAACCUUCUGAUGGGCCCAUAGAUGUAUGUACGACAUGCGGCUUGAAGGCCAGACAGGCAGGCUAUGUGGCACGGCGGCAGGACUAGAGCAAGGCGUGGGAGGCGGUGGCGUGACUCACCAAGGGGUGGAGAAGAAGAAGGACGCCGGCACGGGUUGGACUUACGGCACGACGGCGGCGACUCCGACUUCCUCGGCUCUGGCUCCUCCACUUCGCAUGCGGCGGACGGCGGCUCCGGGGCAGCCUCUUCCUCCUCGCGAUAAGCGGCUGCUCUGGCUCCACCUCGUCCCCUUCCUCUCUUCUCCUCUUCACUUCUCCUUCCCUCUUCUCUCCUUUCCUCCUCUCCUCUCAACUGGUGGCGGUGGCUCGGGGGAACCCCGGAUCGAUGGCUAGAGGCCGAGGGUUGGCCUCCCUUUUAUAGCGGUGGGGUGCGCGGCUAGGGUUAGGGCACCGGGGCGCGGCAUCGGCGAGCGGGCUGCUAGGAUGGCGCGAUGGCUCGGCAGGGUGGCGUGGCGGCCAUCCACUGGUGCCAGCGCAGGGAGUGGGGUGCGAGGUCACGGGCGCGUUAGUGCGCGCCAGCGUGGAUUGGGGUAGCGCGGCCAUCCCAUCGCGCGCGCAGCGCGUGAGGCAUAUGGCUGGAGGUUGAAGAAAGGGGAAUAGGGGCGCGGUGGCUGACAUGCAGGGCCCGUGUGUCAACGGUGGAAGGGAGAGGGUUGCAGCAGCCUUGCGGGCCAGCUGGGCUGGCAGGGCCAGUUUGAUGGGCUGCUGCGGGAGAGGCUAGGCAGGCCAGGCCUAUUCAGCUGCUGGCUGGCCUGGUUUAGUUAGUAGGCUAGAUUAGGUUUUGUUUUUAUUUAUAUUUAGUAUGAAUUUUGAAUUGGAUUCAAAAUUCAAACACACUUAGAUUUGAAAGCCAAAUAAAAUCCAAAACGAGCCAAAAUAAACUAGCACACAAGUUUGAAAUUGAUUUGAGAUUUAUUUAUUUGGAAAUUUCUAGAUAAGAGGAGAAUUUGACUUCUAAUUUCAAAUGAGCACACAAUUCAAACAAAGAUUUUAAAUUUUUGAAAACUCACUCAAUUUAAUAUUUCAGAUUUUAGGAAUAUUAUAGUAGCUUGCUAAUCUCUACCCUCGUCGUACGUGCGAACGAGUUAUAUUAGCAAGGCUUCUAAUCACGGCGUAUUUUUUUCAGGCGUAAUAAACGUUUAUUUGUAUUGAGCCAGCUAAGUAGCUAGUGAUAACUACUCCUUACAUGUAUGAAUCUCAGAGUCACAGUGUUUGAAUAGCAUUAGCACUACUACCGCACGGUGGCAUCGAGUUGACGAAGAAUUAAUAAUGCUGAACGCAUGCCAAUUAAUUCACUAAACAACACCCACAAGAUCACAUAUUAACUUAAUAACUUGUAGGUUCAGUAACAGUUCACCAGCGAUACAAGACCCACAAAAUGGAACAAACAGCUACUACGCUUGAAGCACCAUUAUUAGUCUAAGCAUGCAGCUAACGAAACAUGCGCAUGCACAAAAUAAAGGUAGCCAGCCUACUAGCUACAUGGACGCAACAACGCAAGAGGUAGCUAGCAUGCACAACAUGUGUAUGUGUAUGCAUGUGGCAUGCACGCCUAUAUCUAUAUAUAUAACCUCACGGAACAAACUUGAGUCGGCCACACUAAUUAAUCCGUCGUCUAGUUUGAGUUGCCGCUGGAUAUCUGGCGGUGCGAGCCCGGGCACCGGCCGCCGCCGUUGUUGGGGUUGCUGCUGCACCCCGAGGGCCCGGCUGAUGCGUCGAUCGUCGCCGCCGUCUGAUCAGCAGGCUGCUUCGUGGCAGCCGCCGCCACCGCCGCCGUGGCGCGCGUGGCCGCAUGCAGGUGAUCAUCAGCGGGCGCCGGCCUCCCGGCGCCGACGGUUCGCGCCGCCGACGAGGCCGCGACGACGAGCGCCAGGACGAAGGCUGCAGCAAGUGCCGUCGAGCUAAGCCGGAGAGUCCUCCUAGCCAUGAUCCACGGCCAACCUUUGCUUACACCUUGCUUGUUAGUGUAUCCUUGAGUUUCUCUCGAACACUAGCUCCAACAGUGAAAUCAACUGUUUCCUAUGGACAGAGAUUCCUGUAAAAUUCCAGCAACACUGCUUCCAAAUGACCUCAAAAUUAAAUACUUUGUGUUUUGAUGGAUGAUCAAGAAAGCUAGGGUGGAGGCUGGAGAGGUGUCAGCUAGCUUGUGUUGCGGUUUAGGGAGCUAGCUACGCAUGUGGCCGUCGUCUAUAUAUAUAUGGCCGUAAAGGGAGCUCGGAUCACAAUUAACUAUGCGUCAGAUGAUCAACGAGCUCGCUAAUGGCCAGAUGGAGAGAAUGGUCAGAGUUCCGUACGCGGGGAUUAGGAAGCAAAAAGCUAGAGGACCGAAGAAAAACUAAGGCUUGAUGAGAUAUGGGUGCGUGCUCAUCAGUGGGUGACUCCAAAUUUGCGGCCGCCACCCACAACUGCUACUUCACUCACCGGCGGCCCCUUUUUAGGCUCGACAAAACGCCCGCUCGUGUCCCUGUCACGCGGUUUAGGGGUUUGGUUUUGCUCCCCACCGACCUGGCAGGAGACCGACCUGGCCAACCUGCGGUAACCUUGCCAAUGGAAACUCUGGGUGAAUGCAUGAACAAACGACCAGGGUGACCGAAAGAAAUGAACGAGGCAGGAAAUUAAGCAUGUGAAUUUAAACAUUAGUAUGCGUAAAAAGAAAGCUAGGGGGAGCGGAAUCUGAGCUUUCUGGCUGUUAGUUUACACGAGGUACAUCGCCUGUUUCGGAGAGCUCAUCAGGGUAGAUAAGGGUGUCUAGCUCGGUAGUAGAAGAAUUAUUUCUUUUUCUAAUCUUGAGCAAACAUCGUUUUAGCCUACAAACAUCAGCUUCUCCAAGAAUUCAAGAGUUAGAGAUACUAUAAAGGACGUUUGGUUUGAGGAAUCACCAACCUCAUCUGGAAUGGAAUGGUCUAUCAUGGAUGCAUUCUAUUAAUUUUGAUGAUAUGGCCGAUGGGUCGUCAACCCAUUCCAAUCCCCAAACGAAAUAAAAAUGUGAGGAGUGAGGCAAUGAUGGAUCAUCCCAUUUCUCAUACCAAACAUCUUCUAAGAUAUUUAACCGUAAGGACCGUGAGAUCCUAAGAGGAGAGGGUAGAGCAUGGUUGAGGUUAGGGUGAAUUAGGAUUCCAAACUUAAUUGCUUUAUUUAGAUUCCAAUUCUACAAAUAAACUAUACAUGGCAAUAUGAAAGUUUGGACCUUGAGCUAGCGAACCACUUAGUAAGUUUAGGGACGUUGAUAUGUAAGUUAAUAGUACGCGGGAAUAGAGAGGCUGCAUCUAGGAAUGGGCAUGACAUCGUUCAUAUCAUUGUUGCCUCACAUGAAAGUCAAUGAAAAGAACAUAGAAAAUUCCAUUAUGAUCCACAUGUCAUCCUCUACUAUCCUCCCCAUUCUCUCGCACGCACAUCAGUCGGGACGAUAGCUCCACUUUGAUCAUGAUGGAUGGAGAGAGUGAUAUAUUUCGAUAUUGUCAAUUAUAUGCUAAGUAUUGAUGUUUGGUCAUUGAAUGACAUAAAUAAUGAGUUUAGGGACUUUUAUAUAUAUAUAUAUAUAUUAAAUUAGUAGUUUAGAGACCUAGACGACACCCUCUGCACUUUAGUUAAGUUCAAACUCUUGAGCAACCGAAACAUAGGAUGGUCAUCUUUUCGUAAUGUAUUUGAUUUUGAGUGAAACAAUCCCUCAUAAUUUCCCCCCAAUUACAAGGAUGGUGCAUGUCAGCAUGUGCAUACAAAUCACCACAUAUGCACACGCUAAGCUCGCGAGUGUCCACAACGAUAUCAUUGUAUCGCAUUUGGUUUCAACUUUUUGCUUCGUUGUCUCAUCUUGGUUCAUUGUCGUUAACAUGUUCCAAGCUCUAGUGUCCAUCGUUCAUCGAUCGGUCUGUUAACUUGUCGAAUGUUACUCUGCUGUACUUGGUCAAUUGUGCAGUAGCCUGACCCGAAUUUGCACUGUUUCACACGAACCGUACUUUUCAGUCAAACAUUUAUCGCCGAAAUUGGGCAAUGAAACUUUUCAGUCAUCAUUUAUCGCCGAAAUUAGCCGAUUUCAUUCCUUGUUAAUUAGUUAUCCAAUAUAGUGGAGUGGAAUUCCUCGCAUGGUUUAGGCUUUGCUGCCAAGCAGUGCCCUGUUUUCUCUUUUUGUCUCCAUUUUGUCGUGUGCUAGACACAAUUCCUGCGUACUUGACUAUACUGAGUCCUGGACACUUUUGACGCGAUUGCAACCUUUAUUGCUGUGUCUUCUUGGUCGGUUAUCGUGUUGCUUGAAUGUUUGAAUCGACAUCUCAACAGUUCCUUGCUUUCAUACUGUUCCUGUCUUUUUUUUGGAGGCUUCAACUAUUGAAUAGAUAGGAUUGUCCUCGUCAAUAAUUGUUUCCAUGUCCAGGGAACCGAAUUGACGGGUAAGUAGAGGCAGGUCGACACGUUUCUCUUGUCAGUUGUAUCAAAACCUCUCUCUGUCCAUAUACAUCUCACUGAUCAAACUCUGAAUCAUCUUGUUUUGAUGUUUGCCCACAAGACCACAAGCUAGUCGCCCAUAAGUGCAGCCCGACAGAGAAACAUGCGGAUAGUGUCGAAGUAGCAAAGCUACAGCCUACCAGGUGGUCUGGUCGGCGUAGCGAAUAGCGAUGCGAGGCAUUCCAGUGGUCGCAGCAUUUUCGGUGGAUCACCAGCAUUGCAGUCUUACUCUUGUCAGGCGGUCAUGCUCCAGCUCCAUGCAACAGAAAUAUUUGUGUCGGCUGCAUGGAAUGGACCGCGAACAUACCCAGAACACUAAUCAAGCAUGCAACACAUAAACGUGUCUAAUGUAAUAAUCUUUAUGAGAAAGGAUAGGAGAGCAUACAGCACUGCACUGCCAUUAUUCGGAACCAAAUCCUUGCCAUCACACCAGGAAAAGGAAGAUAACAAACCCUUAGAGUGCUGCUACUGCCUACUAAUAACCAUAGCUAGGAGGGUAGGUCGGGCCACCGUAGCUCCCUCCGUUGUACUGCGGAGGAGGGCCCGCGGCGGCCGAAGAACCAUAGGAUGGAGCGGCUCCGUAUGGUGGUGGGUAGGAGCCGUAGCUUGGAUCAACUGGCGGAGCAGGAGGGUUAGAAGCUGGCGGUGGGCCUGGGGUAGCAGCUUCUGCCAUGAAAUUCUGCAAGCAACGGGUCGAAUUAGUUAACAUAAAUGAGGAUAAAGGAACGAGCGGAACAUGUUUUCAUAAAAAAGAUAGUUAUAUUGCAUCACCAAUAAUUCCAAAAAACUUGAAGCAGAUUACUAGAUUAGCAUACACGGUACCUGGACCAGUUGCUGGGCAGUUUGAACUUGAGAUGCAGUCCCAAUUAUCUCCACAGCCAUCUCUCCAGGUGCACCUCUGCUUUCUUGAAUAGUUACCGUUGCACCACUGUGCCUACGGAUAUAGCUUAUGCUAGCACCAGCUGCCCCAAUCACAGCAUCAGCGUAGGCAAGGGGAAUGUGCAUGUUAUGUGUCGUCACCUUUCAAAAGUACACAAAAAUUAGUUGCUGCUUAACCCACCAAUCAAAUAAAUGCACAAAUCAUCUUGAGAUCAAGUGCAAUAGAACUAACCUGGGAUCCUGCAUGAGAGGGCGGUUGAUUGCCUGCUGCAGAAACACCGCUUGGUGGGACCUCGCGCCCAUAUGCAGAAAUACCAUAGUGUGGCUGCUUUUCCACAGGGGCAGGGGGGACAUCAGGAGGAGGAUAAUAAUUGUCUUGUGGCCUUGGAGGCAUGAACUGUGGAUUUCCACCAAAACCCGGACCACCUGGAGGUAGGUUUGGAGGAGGACCCCAGGGUUGAGGAGGGCCCCAAUGCUGGGGAGGUGGCAUUGGUUGCUCCCUCUGCAUACUGUGCAUUUUCAUCUGCAGAGAUUGAAACUUACACAGGUCACACACUGCAUGCAAGACACUUGUUGCAUACAGGAAUGCAAGAUACCAGAACUAAGAACUUACAUGUGUUUCAAAUAAUGGGAGAACACUGCGAUCAACAAGAAACUUUCUUAAGUGACUUGCUAUCAAUUCCACUGCUUUGUGGACACCAAGAGGCUCGCCUUGUAUCUCCACAACUCUGUCAUCAUUUAACGCAACAGGAGGCACAUUCUCUGAAGAAAAGUACAGCACAAUGAAUUAAAACCAUAGAACAUCUAAUAUUCACAUUGAAGGAGCAAAUAAGGCACAAGUAUUUACAUGAACUACAAUUGAGAAAGUACCACUAUUUUCUCAUGGUCAUUUAACUGAGUUGCAUGUCACAACAUGUAGAUAUGGACACAAUUCGUGCCAAAGAGGAAGAAAUCUAGCAUAGAAAUAUGCCGAAAGCUUACCAACAAUACGGACAACAGACUUUGAAGAAUCUUGUAUGGAUUUAAUAGUUGCUCCCUGCUUUCCAAUAAGGCUGCCAGCUUGCGAAGCUGGAACCAGAAGCCGUGUUGGUCCAAUAUUACCAGCACUUCUUUGAGGCUGACCAGAUUCACCAUCUGAACUAUCAGUUAUUCUUUUAUGAACUCUAAGUAAACCAUCCAUAGCUGGAGAUACUGGUGCAUCUGGUUCAUCCUUUGCUGAAACCAUUACCUUUAAAGGAGAAAGUGACAACAUUCACAAUAUUAAUUAACAGUUAAAAAGAGAUGCUACCAGAGAAAAGUAUUAAUAUUGCCUAAUGGUUAGAAGUAUGAACACAACGAAUGGCAUAUGGUAUGAUGAUACUAUCAUUCACAAAUAUAAUGAAACUUUGCUGGUUGGGUUACUAGCUGGUGUAUAAUCAAGAGAUCACAUAUACACAUCACUAGCAAAGUUAAAUGAUGUCUCCCUCCACAAAAGAAAUAAACUAUGAUUUUACUGGAGUAUUGUUAGAUAUAAUGAUGUCAAGUAUACAUUUACCACCUCCUCGUAAAUUAAUAGUUUCCAAAUAUCUUGAGAUGAUAUCCUACUUAAGGUCAAGUUUACUUGAUUCAUACUACAAUUGUAAAUGCAGCAGUCGGCGCACAGCAACAGAAGCAUCUGAUGCUGAAACGGCUUUACAAACAAGACCUCCCAAAAGAUCAGAAGAGCAUUCCAUCCUACACAUUUAGUCAACAGUAUUGUGCAGUGUUCAAGAAGUGUGGGCAAUCAGAACUGUUUUUCUUUUGUUAUUCAAUUAGCAACCUUCUCUAUAAAGACUCCCUCAUUAUUUUAAAUGUGUCAACUUUUUUUCUUUGUCCUUCACCAAUGUCCAAUGAAGAAUAGAUACGUUUCGUUAUCUUUCACUCACUUGUUGAUAUAAUGUAAAUAGGUAUUUAUCUUUUCUUAAAAAAAUACUUAACUUAAUUCCAGAAUACAAAAAAAAAACAGUUCCAUAACAGUAGUUUUCCAAGUGUAUGCAUUUUUAUACUCCGCGAGCCAAAUUUAGUACCAAUAAUUUUUUAAGUUAUGUAGUACAUGUUGUAUAUUCAUUUAAAUGCAACUCUGCAUGCAUUUUUAUCCUUUUACCCUUUUCCCUUUAGUUAUUCCUUUUAGUUGAAAAAUUAAAAAAAAAGGAUGUGGAAUUACCGGAUAGUUUAUGGAGCAUCUUGAAAGGGAUCUUCAUCCAACACUCAAAUGACCUAUUCAUAUUUGCAGCACAGGAGCAUAAAAACUGGAGUUUCAGAACCAUGUCAAUUCAUCCAUUUUGGGAAAAGGUUGUUUUGUUUGGGAUCUUAGACUGCAGUCACAACCUGCAAACAUUAAUCUGUGUUAUUAUUAUCAAAGCUAUUCAAUUUUGGUCUUUGGUAGAUGGUCAUAUUAUGUUUGAAGUCAGUUUUUGAGCUACUUUCUUUACAGCGGAGAGCUUAAAUAUUUUUUUGGCUUCCUGAGUGUUGUCAAAAUAUUAACUAUGUUUCUUACAUUGACUUGUGGCACAGCUAUUAAGUAUCAAUUAUUAGAAAGAAAGGAUACUCCCAACUAAGAGUCUUAGCAAAAAUAUAAUACGCUAAAAAAUGAAUCAUGUUACACAGCUUUGGUGUUUUAUAAACCAUGUGACAUUGUGGUUGUCAAGAAAAACAGGUUCAAGUCAGUGAUUCUGCUGGAUAAAUCAUGUUAAAGAAGUGCUUAAGAUAGGACAAUUUUCAACACAGAACAAUCUGGUACGAAGUUUUAUGUUAAAGAACAACAACAUCGUCCACAAAACAAAUGCUAGCCUGGAGAUUGUUUGCUGCAGAUUAUGGGCCAUCUUUACUGCUCAAUGCUCAUGGAAAUACGCAUAUAAAGAAACAAAGGUUCAGAUCUAGGUAGAAGUCUGAAUGGAAAGGGCACACUGGUUAAGGAAAAUAUUACCAAUUACAGCUAUAUUGUUGCAGGCCCUCAACUAAGAUAAAACAGAACUGUUCCUAAAUUUUCAAGGAAGACGCAGCAAAUUUGUUUUAAGAUCCAGUAACAGAAGUUCAUCUGUUCAACUUUACUCUUUCUAUUUACCCCAUUAUUAUGAUGCUUUAAAGGUGCAACGAGCAACAGCAUAGUCCAACUCCAGCUUUCAGGCAUUAUUAUGCACACAAAAAGCCAUACAGAUAUCUAGAUAUCAAGAAGAAAUGACUAAAUGUGGAUUUUAAUUGCCAAGUCAAUAUAAUGGAUCUUAUUUGCACUUGUGGGGCUGCACGGAAACUAGGCAUAGGGGUAUCAAGAUGUACCUAGCUGAUCAUUUUGUACCCCAAAGUGUGUAAUUGCAAGAAAACAAACUGAACUUCAUGUACGAAUCUGCUAUACCUAAUGACACCAUGACGAGUUCUAAAAAUAUAUCACUUAAUAGUCCCAUUGCUGGCUGAAGCGAUGAGAUUACUAACUUUUCAUCAAAUACACGGUCCCAUAACGGCACUUACCGCUCUUUCUGGUACACCAGGUGGGCCAUCAAGUAUUUUGAUGCGCGCUUUAGACUCCUCACACAUCUUCUUGAUAAACUCCCCUUUGCGGCCAAUGAUAGCUCCUACCUUCUGGGCUGGAACCAGUAUACGAAAAACACUCUCUCCUGGCCAACCAGGCCAUCUGUUAUCCUCAACGUUAACCUGCGAGUUGUCCUGUCGGCUCGUAUCCUCAACGCUGUAUGCAUUCUCCAGCUCUUCCUGGUAAGAAUUUGCCGGCUCCUCAUCGUACUGAUUCCCGGUUUCCUCGCUGAACAAGUUUGCCUGCUCUUCGUUGUACAGGUUCCCAGACCCAUCAUCAUACUGGGCACCAGGUUGUUUGUCGUACUGAUUACCCAGCUCUUCACCAUACUGCUUCUCCACAUCGUCGUAUGGGUUUGGCUGUUCUCCAUCGUAAGGAUUUACAGCCAUCCCGCCAUCAUCAUGUCCCACAAUGUUCUCUACUGGUCCAUCCAUGUUUUCUAGCCACAAACGAAAAAAAAAACAGUUAGAAAUCACAAGUCAUGUAAGUAUCUAAGUUUUCAACGGACCCAAACAUACAACCGCAUCAAAACAGUCAGUGCCACCCGGAUCAGAACAGACACAGCCACCUGUUAAUCGAUCAGAGUAGCAAGUAUUGGGUGGCGGGCGCAAAAGCAACUCAUGAUCACCUGAGUUAACUCUGCCUGGACCUGGCAUCUCGCCAUGAGCCCAUGAGCCCAAAAUCAACGCGGGGUACACUCACGCCGAACCCUAAACCCCAAGCAGCGCGACGACCCGUCCCGGCAACAGCCUGUCCACCCCUUCGCCAAAAUCGAACCCGCGCACCCACAAAUCACGAGGCGCGGCGCUCGGAAUCUGCCUAAUCGCGUCCGCACGGGCACGAGCACCGGGCUCCAAAUCACGAGGGGGCAAGCGACGCGGCGGGGGGGCGGGCGGGGGGGGGGGGGGUGUACCUGAUGGUGGAAGGGUGGGUGGGAGGGGAGGCCACGACCCCGGCGAGGAAUUGCCGCCGGUGAGGCGGGAUUGGGCUCUGGCGGCGGCGGAUUCGGGUGCGACGAGGGGAGCGCUCGUGUCGUCGAGACCGGAGAGGAGUCGUCGUGCGGCGUUUAUCAUCGGCUAACGGAAUAAAAGGUGGGAUGUCAGGGUUGGUGGUUUCCCUGGCCGUUCGAUCAUGGCAACAGACGACCCUGAUCCAUUCCAAAUCUUGAGCGUUGCAGUCUGUCUGUCAGUCUGAUCAAAAUUAUUUCUGUAGCUGCGUGCUGACGCCACACCAUUUUGGGAUUCGAUCUGGGAGUAGAGAUGGAUUCGCACGGAUACGUAUGGAAUUCAUUAUUUACCGUAUUUUAAUUCGAAUUCGAAAUGAAUAUGAAUAAUUCUAAUUCGAAUACGAAUAUUGUCGGUGUCAAGAAUCACGGAUCAAGACUCCGGCAAGUAAAUUUGUUUUCUAUGCGCGUAAGGCUCGGAUGGUUGCACGAGACGACACGAAAUUUAUACUGGUUCGGGCAGGAAUAGCCCUACGUCCAGUGUUGGAGGCCGUUCGUAUUACUCGUGCUAAGUUUGUAGUAGGGGUUACAAACGGGCGAGAGAGGAAGGCUGGUCCCAAGUCUCUGUGGGUGUGCACUGAUGCUCGUGAGGUUGGAUUGCGGUCGGGAUCAGAUCGUUCCGCUCGAGCGCCCCCCUUUCUCGGGUCCCCUGGUCCUCCUUUUAUAGCGUAAGGAGGACACAGGAGUUACAAUCGAGCCCGGAGUAAAGGGAAGUAAAAAAGGUAAGCAAGGAAGGUAAAGCACAGAGAGAUGGGCUGAGCCACCGGGGUUGCUGCCUUCCCUUCUGAUUUCUGCGUCUUGUCAGCAUGGCCACCGAGGAGGGGUUGUUGCCGUUGGGUCCCAUCGAUGACCCAGCGGUCAGCCACUGUAGCCGAGCACGCGAGACGUGCGUGGCGACCGACCACUGUAGCUGUGCAAGUUGAUGAUGAUGACUGGCCACUGUAGCUGUGCAUGUCACGGGCGACGGGCGACCACUGUAGCCACGCGUGAUGACCGGGGGGCGCGGCUGACACGCCCCUGCCGCGAGGCCGAGCGGGAAACCGGGCGGGCACCCUCCUUCGUUAGGCAGCAUGGGCGAUGAGUGCCCUAUGACGAAUGUCACAGGGGAGGGUUAGGACGGUGCAGCUGUAGCCCUGUGCAGUCGUGGCAACAGUGCGCCGUCCGAACACUCCGGCGGGUCACGUCGAGGAACGCGGGCGCCUCUCCGUGUGUCAGAGCCGUAUUCUGGACAUGGGCGUUCCAUCGGUUGCAUUUAUGGCGAGAUCGGUAGGGCCCACAAGAUCUGCGCCCUCGUCUGAUGGUCCGCGCACGUCCUUGGGCGAGGCGAAGCUCUGUCCUGUGGGUCGGGCGCGUCCGACCCCUUGCGCCUGGGGUCGGGCAAGGCGGAACCCUCGGGCGGUCGGGCGUGUCCGACCCUAGGACCAUAGGUCGGGCGAGGCGAAGCGGAAUAUUCCCUAGUCAUGCCAAGUCGGCGGAGGUCACUGUCGCUGGAGGUGGGCCUCGAAUAAGGAAAAUAACAAAGUCGUUAAUAUUUCUCUCGACAAAUAUGAAUAGUUCGAAUUCGGAUACUUGCUCAACCUGACGAGUAUCAAUUUGUUUUAUCGAUGGUUUUAUAAUUAUCGAAACUCAUGUUACAAAUAGUGAGUAAAUUAUGAAUAUAGUACAUAAUAGAUAUCUUAUUGAUAAUAACAAAUUUAUUAAUAAAUAAUUAAAUAUAUCAAAAAAAUAUAUAAAAAUAAGCAUUUCCAUAAAUAUAUUAACAUCAUUUAAUAAUAAAAUAAGUACAUUGAUACGUUUAAAUAUAAUUUAUUCAUUUAAUAAAUAAUGUAAUGUAUUUAAAAUUAAUAUGAUUAGGCAUAUUAAAAUUACCGAAACUUUAUAAUUAUAAAUCACUAGUAAUAUUAGGUUAACAUAAUUAAUCAUUUGUCAUAUAGACAUUUUUUUAAUAGUUUAAAUGGUGUAAAAAUUAUUUCAUUAGCAAUAUUAAAAUAUUUUUAAUUAUUAUUUAGUGAUAUAAAUAAGUUCUAGAUGGUUUCAUUAGGUACUUUAUUCUUUGCGGAUACGGAUAAUGUCGAAUAUUUUGCAUUUUUAUUGAAUACGAAUAUGGAACCGAAUAGAGAAAAAUACGGAAAAUCGAAUCCGGAUACAUCCAUCUGGUAUCCAUAUUAAAAAUGAAUACGAAUACGGAUAAUUUGGAUUUCCAAACAUCCAUAUCCAUCCUUAGGUGGGAGGAUUUCAUCUCAUCCUUUGAAUCCAACCCUGAGUAGACUCAGUAGUAGUACCGAAGAAGUGAAGAUAUUCAGUCUAGUUCGGAAGAAAGUCUUCUACUCCUCUCAUUUCAAAUUGUCGAUCGUUUUAGCUUUUUUAGGCUUAUAGAUUUCACUAUGCAUCUAGACAUACGCCAUAUCUAAGUGCAUAAUAAAAAUAUCCAUAUAAAAAAGCCAAAACUACCUACAAUUUGGGACAGACGGAGUAUAUAGUAUCGGUGUAUUCGUAGCUAAAGAAAUGGGGUUCAAUGUGGGCUGCUCAUUUUAAAUUGUAUGGCUGAGAUUAUCACCAUACGAUGUGCUGUAAAAGUGAAAAUGCUCAUUUUAAAUUGUAUGUCUGAGAUUAUCACCAUACGAUGUGCUGUAAAAGUGAAAACCAGUUCACCUGGUGUUAUAACAGCAAAAUGUACGUCAUAAACCCUAGCAGUGAUUAAACAAUUGAGUCACUUUGCCAUAAAUCAAUGAAAUAACCUAGGCCAUGAUGAAGCCAGAGGCAACACUGUGUACUCGGGGCAUUUGACAUCGCCCAAAGAUAUGCCAGCAUUAAUAAGUUAAAAACAGAGCUGGCACAUGCUCGUAGGCACCAAAGCAUUAUUUGAGUAACCUUUCCAGUCCAACUACUUGCAACAACACUCUAGUCACCAUUCACCACUGAAACCAGUUCAGUACACCAUUCACCACUGUAAACACAAAAUGGUUGGACAAGAAACAGGGCGGUCUGUAUUCUCAGAGCAAGAUUUCUGGACCCUUCAGUCGCUCAUUUGCUAGCUCCUUGAGCCUCUCAGUCACCUUCUCAGCAGCAUGUACGUAUGCCUGCGCUGAAGCCGAGUUUGGUGAAGAUAUGACAAUAGGGUUGCCUUCAUCUGAACCUGUUCUGAUGCUGAUUUCAAGAGGUAUCUAUCAGGAAAAAAAUAACAGUGUUGAUCAGAGAUCAUAGUAUAUUUACAGACGUAACAUAGAUAAACUAUUAUCUCCAACAUUCCAUCAGAUGUAGACAAAAUUAGGCCAGUCACUCAUCAACAGAAUGUCCCCUAAAUCAUGUUCAUGGAUAUCUAAUAAUAGUCAAAGCAACUGUUGCAUGCUAUAAAAGGAUCAUACAUUUUCUAAUAUAAAAAAGCCAGAGAGCAUAGUUGUCACAACUGAAGAAGUUUGUGCAUAUUCCAAUCAAUCCUGACAAGAUUCACUCACCUCACCAAGCAAUUUCAUAUCCAUUUCCUCUGCAGUUCUCUUGGCUCCACCUUCCCCAAAAAUGUACGAUUUCUCACCACAUUUGGGGCACUUAAAACAACUCAUAUUCUCUACUAAUCCCAAAAUCUGCCAAAACAAUAAAGUCAGUUUAGCUAGGAAGACUAGACAUGGCAAAUGCAACAUGAAACUAAAUAUUUUCCAUUAGCAAAAUGAAAUAGGCCUCUUUUUAGGUGAAUGUGUGAUCCGUUCAAUUGUUGAGCUUGUAUAAAAGUGACUACAAAGUAGCAUCUUGUUGAGUUUGGCAAUGAAAAAAAAUGAAUAAGAAAGAAAAUGUAAGUUGUAAGUUCAAAAUAAAAUUGUAUCUGAAAACAAUACUUAAAAUACAAUAUGGACAAGCAGUUAAGAACUGUACAGGAACUUGGACUUUCCGAAACAUGUUGGCUCCUCUUCUAGCAUCGAUUAAAGCAAUAUCUUGAGGAGUUGAAACAAUUAAAGCACCUGCAGAAAACACAUGUGAAAAAGAAAAAUUCAAAAUCUGUAUAUGAAAGCAACAUUUGCAGCUUCAUAACCAGAUGUAGAUAUACCAGAUAAUUUAAGCCUUUGUGAAAUUGAUAGUUGAGCAUCACCAGUGCCUGGAGGCAUAUCAACAACAAGAAUAUCAAGAUUUCCCCAAGCUACUCCCCUUGUCAUCUUCUCGAGAGCACUCAUUACCUGAUACCAAGAAAAAAAAGUAGCAUUGAGAACGUAGAACUUAAACUUGCCAAAAGAACACAAAACUGGAAAUACAAAACCACAGUUUCGUUUACUAUACAAGUAAUGGACUCUCCAUGAUCAAUGGAUUCCAAGAUAGCAUAAGUCAAUGGCCAUUGCUAAACAGUGCAACAAAGAACUGUUCUGUAAAUAUUCUGAGUAAACCAGUAACUAAGAUAAGUUUGAAUUAGUCACUUCAAGCAUCUAUAAGAUUUCAACGGGAAAACAUCUGUGGCAUGGAAUAAACAAAAAGGUAAUGAAAUUCUCCAUGUCCACGUCCACGUCCACGCUCCCCAGAAACUAUCCCCAGAUCAGUUUUGUUGACCUAAAGGUACACAAUGGAAAGCAAGACAAGCUGCAACAGCAAGUAUACGACACAUUUCAGUUGAUGUUUCUUAGGUGUUAAGAAUGCAAAACAAAAGGAAACUGAUUUACAGGAAAAAUGUCCAACAAGGAUACUGAGAAGUUAACAGAAGCACAUGGAAAGACAAACCAUAGGACCUCUCCAAACAAUUGGUGCAUCUUUGUCAACCAGAAAACCAAUAGACAUGCAUCGCACUCCAUGGUUGUCAAUUGGAAUCAUCUUCAUGUCUGUAAACAAAAUAUAGUCACAAAUUUACAAUGAACCCACAAGGACAUACCGUGGUUGCAACUAUAAGCAAAAUGGCACACUUGUAAUUAAACAUAAAAAAUCCAUUUAUUACGGACAUGUUAGUGCAGAAUGCUUGUCCAAAAAGCUAUAUUCAGCUCAUGGCUCGGGUAAUAUAGAGCUUGAAACUGUGACGAAUGCAAAAUGUUGUUGUCAUGUAAAUUUAGGAGUGCCUGGAGUUUAGUUAUUGAAUUGAUACGGUCAGAAGGUAACAAAUUUGAUUUGCAGCUUCAACUAAACCAAACUACUGCAAUGGGCUAAAUUCAAUCAUUUAAGUAAACAGAGGUAUCUGUACUUCUGUAGAGUCUAGUAAAAAACUUAAGCAACAUUUAGUAAAAUAAAUGUUGGCACGGCUAAAGAAAGUAAUUUGAAUACUAAAAAAAACAAGUGAAUUGUUUCACUUCACCAUAUCUGGACACACAUAAGCAAUCUGGCUGCAGUAUGAGAAAAGCAGAUUACAGAACAUGAGAACAAUAAAUAACCACUAACCAAAAGUUUUGGAAACAGACUUCUUGCUGGUUCUUUCAGCAUAGAAUUAACUUUGUAAUUUUACUUUACAAAGGUUAUAUCAAGUCAACAUUUCUUCAAUUUCAAGUAUAAUUCAGUCUAGAUAAAUAAAAAUUGUACAUGACAAGUGAACAAACAGCAUGCUUGUUAGUUAGAAUAGGGAGAUGUGUCGCUGGAUUAUGAUAAAAGGAAAGCUAAAUAAUUUUUGUCUACUCUAUGACUUGGUUUUAAAGAGAUUCAACUGAUACCUUCACUUACUUCAGGCUUGGCAUGGAGAUUCAUCAUCGUGGGAACUGAUGGACCAUAUAUGUCAGCAUCUAGUAAACCAACCUUAAGCUUAAACUCCUUGGCAAGUGCUACAGCAAUGUUAACUGCACAAAAAUAAGUGCCAAGGUGAAGGUGAAAUUUUGAGGUAAAAAGUCCCACAAGCAUUGAUGUUUAAGCACGAGCAAUAUUAAUUCAUAAUCUUUAAUUAGAUCUGUUCAAUUGAGAAAAAAGUUGGCUUCCCUAUGAGGGUGGACUACUGAAAAGAAAUAUGGCAAUCGCUAGCCAUCUAGUGAUUACAUUGUCCAGUUAAGCAGAAAUUGUGCACCCAAACCGUUGGAAUCCUCCCCAAACACCUCCUAUUCAUUGUCCACUUCUGAUUUAAUAUACUCAAUGGGAAGAGUCUUCAAUCUAGCGCCAUUUCUCCAUCAAUGCGAAUUCACAAAUCAUGAAAGCUUGUCCUUACAACCUUGCCCACUAAGACCAUGUUUGGAGUGGGGGUAUUGCUUAGGAGACUUUCUAGAUUUAAUUGGAAUUUUGUACAAAUUCUAUAUAUUUGGGUUUCCAAACCAUGUUUCCAGGCAACUCCAGUGUGCAGAGAAGAAAAAAUAGAACCUGCAGUGGUCGACUUGCCAACUCCCCCUUUCCCUGAGGCGACCGCGAUGAUGUCACCUACGCCGGCGAUGGAGGGACCGCCUUUCGGUAAGGCGCUGUAGGACCUCCUACCUCCAAGCGAGACCUACACAAAAUGAAGUGCAAAACUUGGAGAAAUUGAGCAAACGAUUUCGGGAUCGAACGAGCACCAAAAAAGCUACGAAUUUGCGGAGCGUUCUUGGAGAGUGGGAAUCGAAUCACUGGUCUCACCGCGCGAGAGGCGAUCCGGAGCAUCGAGAAGAGAUUAUUAUUCCGCCGCACGGCGAGGAAGGGGCCACUCGACAGCGGCUGCCGGCGGCGGGGAAGAGGAGGACGUCCGGCGGCGGCGGCUCGUGGAGGAACUGGAUCGGCUGCCCGCCGUGCUCCAAAUCCCCCCUAGGUGGAUUAAAGUCCAACGAGAAAAGCCCAGCCGGCUACCAAAACAGCCCAGCCCAAUCCACCAGUGCCAGUGCUUGUACUGAGCUUUCCAAAGUUUCAGACUUCCAAAGUGAACCAGACACUUCAAACCUUAUUGACUGAAGUAUCUUUCCAUCAGAUGCUACCUGGAAUGGUUGUUUGGAAUUGAACAUGGUGCACCCAGGAAUUUGCAAGCAUCACUUUUGUUUACCUGCAUAUACCUUCCUCUGCGUUUGAUCCUACAGAAGAUAUGCACGAACUGAACUAAAACUGCUAACAGAGGACACGUAUGUUUCACUUUUGCGAUGAAAUGGGAUUGUGUUCCGGCAAGAACACGCAUCUCUCAGUUCACUGUGGCAAUGUAAAACUCACUGUAAAAUAAAGCGUUGUAACCUUUGACUAUCAUGUGGGCCAUUAUCAAUGAAUCAGAUGGGGCAUUCUCUCCCCUCCCGUCGACGUUCAAAAAAAAAAAACUUUGCGAUGAAAUUAAUUUUUCUUAUCUGUCAGCCACCCAAAACAACUGAUUUAUCUCUGUUUGCAUAUCCAAGAACUGAUUUACUGGUUAACCAAGCAUACAAGGCCAGAAGCUAGAUAGAGCUGCAGAACCAGUAGCAGGACGGAGCGUGACAAGUUUCUUCACUUCUAUUUAAGUUUUUCUAGACCAAAAGCUUAAUCUUCAUUAAUAUCAUGAGUGCAAUUGUACUGUAUCCAUGAUUCAACCAGAAUGAACCCUGAAACACAAAGGAAGCUUUUUUUUGCAACCAAACGAGCAGCAAGCCAGCAAGAUUACAUCCUGGCCUCAAGUAUGUAGUCAAAGUGAAUAAAAGAAAAACUCUACUCAUGCUAAGCUCUUGGAUUUCCUAGAAAGUUGGCCAAAUUGCUGCUCGGUGCUCUCAACGACUCCACCAGAAUGUCACCAAGUUCUGUCAAUCAGUUUUGACAACCACAUUUUGGGCCAGGUGGGAAAAUAUAUAUUAAUAACAUCCAGCUCAUGAUUAUACAAAUAAUGCUACUAAAUACGUACUCCUUCCAUCCCAAAUUACUAUUCGUUUAUACAUAGCAAAAUUUAUGCCUAGAAAAGCCAAAACGAAUAGUAAUUUGGGACGGAGGGAGUAGCAUACAUUGUAACGGACUGGAAUGGCAACCAGAGAUAGGUGGAUGGGAGGAUUUUUUUUGGUAAAAACACGACCUAUGUCCUGAAACAACCCACAAACUUCUCUUUCUAGUGAUUGUCAAUCUCAUGUGGUCAUAACAGACCUAUCAAGCCUAGAAGUAAUGCUAGAAAAAUCGAAAAACUGCGGAAGCAAACACGAAAGAAAUUAGAUAGAACCAAGCUAAAGGUCUUCCAUGAAACUAGGAACUACCGGAUUCUAGAGCACCAGGAACUUAUGGAUUCAAAAGCAACCUGGAACUGGCGAACGCUGUUUUUUAACUCGUUCAUCAGUUCUGUUGUGCUCCAUGUAAUAAAUGUGUCCCAGAAUAUAGCUAUAUUUAACUUUUUUUUAGGCAAAUUAAGGAGAGUGUUAAAAGGCAAAUUUUGGGACAGGAGGUACCUUGUUUUCUAUAAGGGUUCACGGUGAACUGGUGGAGUAUAGCACCAUGAGAAGUGAGCAUUUGUUGACAAAGAUGAAUGCUAGCUCUGUGCUUGCAGUCAGCAUCGAAGAUUUGUGAAUUCUAGCAACUGUAGUUCUGCGUUGGUAUUCAGGUCGGCAAGUAAUAACUAUAACGUCGGCAGUGACUGAAGUUUCUUCUUUGUUCGUAGAUUGGCUUGUAUGUUAUUUACAGCUGAAUUCAAAGAAGAUAAUUGAAUAUAGUGUGGAUGAAUAAGACUGUUGACCCCUUUUAGUGACUGUUACCUCCGAUUAAUGUAUGCAUUCCAAUACUUUAAUGUGUAAUCAAGGACAAUGGCAGGUGACCUCAAACCAAUACUCUUAUAUAUUUUCAACAAAGUGCAUCAUGAAAGUUAGCAAUGCAUACACAUAUAUACUAACAACUUCGUUUUGUAUAAACCAGCCGACAUGCCCAUACUCUGCUACUGGCCCCCAAAUAAAUUAUCUAUAAAUUCCAAAACAAAGAAAUAUGCAAAUUUCAUUGUAUAAUGUAAAUUCCAUGCAUAAUGAUCAGUUUUGUGACGGUUUAACUUGGCAUAAUGAAAUUUCUUUUCAAUGUACAAAGUCAUUACAUAUUUGGUCAGUAGAGAGAUGUUACUAGCAUAGCUGCCUUUUGUAGCCAUGUCAUGCAAAUUUGGCCAACCAAAUAAAUUGCUACAACUACAUAGACGUUCUAGGAGAGAAGCCAAAUAAUCUUCAAAUUCAUAUAAUAAAGGUUCUGACUGUCACAACUGCAAUCAAUUCUUGCACCUGGAGAGUUGUUUUACCGGUCAACAUACUUGGUCCCAGAGGUGCUUGUGCAUUAUUUGUUACUCCCUCCAAUCCCAAAUAUGAGUACAUUUAGCUUUCUCCUAGGUCAAAAUUUUCUGCCUUUAACUAUCAAUAACUGAAAAAUUAUAUGUAUGGAUUGAUAACAUGAGAUUAAUGUUGCUAGAUUUGCCAUUAUUUUAAGAUUGCUAUUGCAUUGAGCAUGUGCUUUUACAAAGUUCGCUAAUGACAAAUGUGCAUUUGCUGCUAAUUACUCAAUACUGGCGCGCGUGCUCUGUAGUGUGUGCAGAUGCAUGUAUCUUCCUUGUAAUUUUAAAAAGUAAACAAUUUAAAAAUUAGUAACUACUGCUGCAACAGUGGUCGCUGUUUCUUGGAAAAUGACAACACAUGACACGCUCGUAUGCCGACAUACCACACAAAUCAGUUGACACUAAAAGUUGUCGUUGAUGUUAAGUUUUUUUUUUUACAAUGUAUCAGAGCCUAUAUAAAUAACAGAGGCUAACGGCAGCAAUGUGCGCUUAUGGAAUUUUGGUGACCAAUUUACACUUUCACGAGUAUUUGAUCGACAUAAAAUUCUGCCACAACAGGUUGGUAUAAACAACAUUAAUGUAGAACAAUAAAAGGAAUAUUAGUACUGCUUUCUGGGCAAUAAUCUUGAUAUGUUUACCUAUGUUAUAAUUAAUAGAGAAUUUAAAACAUUUGCCAAAUCUGAUCCAAAACAGGGUGCAUGAAAUACUUAGUUAAUACUCCCUCCGUUCUUAAAUAUAUAUUUUAGAACAAGCAAAUUAGUUCAUUUUUGAACUAACUAUAUUGUCCUAAACGUCAUAUAUUUAAGGAUGGAGAUAGUAGUUGUCCUAAACGUCAUAUAUUUAAGGAUGGAGAUAGUAGUAGUUACAUGAACAGGCGCAUUAGACUGGAACAAAAUAAAGCUCGACUAGAUCAGAGUUUCUGAUGAGCCCAGUGACAAAAAGAAAACCUAAGUUAGUUCCCCUGAAAACUUAAGUUGACCUCGUGCUCCAUGCGUGAUGAAAGACCCGAAACCCAAAGAUACAUGCAUGCUUACUCUUAAAUACAUUUGACCUAUUUUUAUAUAGACGAUUUAGUUCGCCAAGUAAGCUGUCCAAACCAAAUUAUAGGUGGUAAGCUGCUAAGGGCAGUCUUAGUGGAGGUUUCAUAAAAAAUUUCAUGAUCAUUAAAUAACAUGCCACAUCAGCAAUUUUGCUGAUGUGGCAAGGUCAUUAUGAGGAGAGAGGAGAGGGAGUUUCAUCAUAUGUGAUAGAGUAAACAUAUACGGAUAAAAUUUUACCACAAAGGGACUUGAGUAUCUAUGCGAAACGUUGUAAGGAACAUGGCCCCAUUAGGUCAUAGUUUGUGUAUUUGGUGAUUGAGUGACAUUAUAGUCAUUGAAACUAACGUGUGUAUCAAGAAUGAGCACUUUGUAGGAUUUCAUAGGUUCAAAGGAUGCAACAUAAAUAAAGACAUUGAAGCUAGGACAAAGAGAGAAAUGAAUUGGACUUGUCCCAUGAAUAAUUAUUUAUGGGUGGAUCAAAUGGCUUGAAUUUCUAUAGAAUCAUGUAUAAUACUUCACAAGCUUUUCAUAGAGUCUAAGAUUAUCAAAAUCGAACUCCGAAGUAGAAAGUUAUGCCCAAAAUAAGAUGUGCUGAAAAAUAGGCACAGGAAGGUCCGUGGUGCCAUCAAACUAAGCAGAGGAAUAUCCAGUGCUUACAAAAAUGCACUCAACGAUUGAUCUGGUGAAUGUACAAGGGCAUGCACCAAAUCAUCUGAUGCUACCAUCCGAGUUUGUAUAUUUACUUUGUCAAAAUCUCCAGAGAGAUGGACAAAUGGAUGAGGGGGCACUAGAAGAGAUCUGACGCUUGAAAAAUUGUAUGCGUCAGACUUUUGAGGUAUUAAUCCUAUGCUAAUAGUUGAUCAAAAGGUCUGGAUUUUUUAAGGACAUUGUGUAGAAUUUCACAAGGUUUCCAACAAGUACAAGAUUAUCAAAAACUAAGUUCGAAGUAAAAAGUAAUGACCAAAAUACAAAGAGUAGCGACGUGGUGACCGGAAGGUCCGACUGUACCAUUGGAAUUUUAGCAUUCAUCCGGUGCUCAAAAUGUGAUUGAAUGGUCUAGAUUGUUUUAGAAUCAUGUGUAGAAUUUCAUAAGCUUUCCAACAAAUACAAGAUAAUCAAAAUCGGAGUUCGGAGUUGAGAAUUAUGGCCAAAAUACGAAGGAGCAUAUUGCAGCACUGCUUAUUCCGAUGGUUCCAUUGGACUAAGUGUCGGACGAAUUCCUGGAGCUGUUUUUCUAGCCGUUGGAGCAAUGGUUCUUUUGAUAUGUUGGGCUAUUUAUUCUCUACCCCCUCAUUUGGAGUAGCUGGAGUGUGCAGAAAUUCAUUGGAGAUCAAGACUUAUCAAGAACACAUCCAAGCUACCAAAAGUACAUAAGAGAUUAAUCAAAGGCUUAGCACAAGUUUAGAAGAGUGAUUAGUGCUGGGAUAGGCCUAGAAAAAAGGGAGUGCAAGGUGUUGCUACCUUGUGAUCGGUUCAAGGAGUGAACCACGGUCGUACAAGGGAGUCUUGGUGGCUCGCCGACAAGUCUUCGCCCCUCCGGCUUGGUGUGGAGCGGUGUCAACGACCGUGUGCGGGGGACGAAGAGACCCCUUUCUUGGUGUAGAAACUCCGUAGUGAAGACGGUGUCAAAGUAACCGGAAGAGAGGGAGUUGUGAGCCUUGCCUUAGUGGGAAACUCCUCAUCUGGCUUGGCAUGAGCCUUUGUGGCGAGUCCAAGACAUUGACCGGGAGAGACUUAGUGACCGAGAGCGUAUCCUCGGUGGAGCUCCAAUGUGGACUAGGGGCGGCAUUUGCCUACCGAUACCACGGGAUAAAUCAUCGUGUCCAGUUUGCAUUCUUUCUAACCCACUCCUUUACGUUUCCGCAUUUUAUACUUGCAACUUGAGUACUUUACUAGAGUGCUUUACUUACUAGAGUAGUAUCUUGAUAGGAUUGGCUCUAAGUUGCAAAACUUAUUUUGGGUAGGAAGAAUCACUAGAUCAACCAUAGAUUGCACAUCUAGAUAGUAGGAUCUAGUUUAUAUUUUGAAAUAAAUAGUGAAAGUCAUAGGCUAAGGAUUUUAAAUUUGUCUAAUUCACUCCCUCCCCCUCUUAGCCUAUAAACACCUAUUACUUACAAACGUCUAUCGUAAUUUCGUCAAUCUCAAUAUUCAUUGGCACAAUCUCUUUAAUGUGUUUGUAAGGGUAAAGUGUGCAGGCGUGCUUUUGUUGACAGUGCUGAUUCGCGCGCGUGUAUAUAAAGCAUCUGUGUUUGUAAAAAAAAAAUCAGCAAGCUGGAUUAUACCUGGAACGCAUGCAUGCUAAUUAACCACACGGGGCAACACAUGCUAGCUUUGCUAGUAUUGAAACUGCUGGUUACUCAGUACUUGGAAAAGCGCACCGUAGUGCUCGGUAAUACUUCUUCAAGCAUGCAUGUAGAGAGAUUAUAGUUAAUAAUAAACUGUCAAAAUAAAAAAGUGUCGGCUCAACACACAUUGUUGUCCUGCUAAAUGACACGCAUAGUCACAGGACAGUAGAUGGCACAUAUGACAGCAUGCAUGCUUGCAGAUGUCCACUACUGAAAAACUGAGUAUUAGUGAGUACCAGUUGAUUUUUAACCCAGUAUUAAUAUGAGCAUUAGUAUUGGGUCUAACGGGUAGUUCCUCAGGAGCCCCCCGUGAUCCUAUGGUUGACUUUAGUACCGGUUGGAGCCCCCAACCGGUACUAACUUCCCUCCUUUGAAUCAGAUGUCUUCUUCCUCCUAUCCGAGAUAUUUCCUACAGCUCGAGCUUCAUCCAUUCAUGGUGAAAUAAGGGAGGUGCUACCAGAUUUUUGACCAUUUCGUGAGGAUUUCACUCAUUCAAGUAUUCUAAAGGUUAGACACUUCAUCCUCCCUUGAUAUCUGGUUAGAUACAAAGUUUUAUGCUUUAGAGUUAGAGUAAUUUAUGAUUUUAGAACAAAGUACAAUGGGGAAAGUUUUCAUUUAUAUGCAUGUGUUAUUUAGAGCUCAUAUUUGUGAUUUUUAGAAUAAGCUACAAUUUUUUGGAUGCUAUAUGUUUCUUAUUAGUCAAAGAAAUUGAUACGAGAUUAGAGGAAUAAUUUCACAGUUUAGUUCUUUACAAAUAUGAGCUAAAUAAAUUACGGGGAAAAUAUAAUUUGUUCAUAUUUUAGUCAUUUGUAAAUAUGAGCGAGAUAAAUUAUGGUACAUAUGGAUAAUAAGAUGACAUAGAGCUAUGUAAUUAGUCAUUUUUAGAAUAACCUACAAUGGAGAAAAAUUUCAUUUAUAUGUUAUGUUUGAGCUAAAUAAAUUGUGGGGAAAAAUAUAAUUUGUUCAUAGUUUUAUCAUUUGCAAAUAUGAGCUAAAUAAAUUAUGGCACAUAGAUAUGGCUACUGCUGUUGGAGGUAGUGGCGAUGGUGGGGGCGAUCAUCGUUCCUCUCGUGGCAAGGGAAAAAUCAUAGUUGGCCCUCAUGAUAAGCCAAACAAAAUGAGUACGUGGGAGAGAGCAAUGCUUCGUUAUUUGUAAAGAUGUCAUGAAGAUGCUGUUGCAGCGGGUCAGGAAUCUCCUUUUGGUGGUCAUUAUGCUCCACCGCCAGUCCCGGAGGUUUCAGGUCCAUUGAGUACUACCGUCGCAGGAGUCACAAAUAAACCACAUGAUGAGGCUGGGUCAGCGAAACCUUCAUCUUCGCGGCCCAAGGAUGUUUAAAGUCCUCCUAGAAAGUACUCAUUGGAUGGUUUGUCGUAGUGUAUCAUGUUGUUUUGGUAUGAAAUUUAAAUUUGUGUAUUCCUAUCUAAACUUUCAGCAACAUUUGAGUUUGUUGUAGUGUAUCAUGUUGUUUGGGUCUGAAAUUUAAAUUUGUGUAUUUCUAUCUAAACUUUCAGCAACAUUUAAGUUUAAUGGUAUUUGUAUCAUGUUUGUUAUGUUUCAUGUAUAAUUCUAUGGAUGAUCAUAAUAUCUUUGGUUCAGUAAUAUUUUGUAGAUGGAUCGGCAAUGGAUGUACAACGCGGACAAACACUCCAUGGAGUAUAUUAGUGCCUCGCGUGGUUUUCUCGAUCUUGCAGAGUCCAACAAGCCGCCGUCUAGUUUCAUUUGUUGUCCAUGCUGAAUGUGCAAAAAUGAGAAGGAUUACUCAUCCAGAAAGACUAUUCACGCCCACAUAUACAGUUCGGGAUUCAUGCCUAACUAUUUCGUUUGGACCAAGCACGGGGAAAGAGGAGCUAUGAUGGAACAUGACGAUGAUGAAGAAGAUGGUAACUACAUUCCUGACUAGACUCAAGGAGGUACCUUUGUAGAUGCUGCAAUGGGCAAGGCUGAAGAAGAGAUGGUUGCAGAAGAAGGUCCUACCAACGAUCUAGGUCAGGUGUUGCGAGAUGCAAAGGAAAACUGCGAGAAUGUGAAGGAGUCAAAGAAAUCCGAGCGUAUGUUAGAUGAUCAUAAGAAAUUGUUAUACCUAGAUUGCAAACAGGGGCAAAAAAGUUGGGUACCACACUGGAAAUGCUGCAAUAGAAGGCAAAAAAUGGAGUUUUUGAUAAAGGUUUUGAUGAGUUAAUGAAAAUUAUAAAGAACAUGCUUUCCGAGGGAACGAAUUGCCAUCCUCAACGUAUGAAGUGAAAAGGUUGUUUGCCCUCUGAGUUUGGAGGUAUAAAAGAUACAUGCAUAUUCUAAUGACUGUAUCCUCUAUCGCGGUGAGGAAUAUGAGAAAUUGGAGGUUUGUCUUGUGUACGAAGCACUGCGUUAUAAGAUCAGGUGAGAUGAUCUCGGUGAUGUUGAGGGGCAGGCCAACAAGAAUAAAGUUCCUACGAAGAUAAUAUGGUAUUUCUCUAUAGUACCAUGCUUGAAGCGUUUGUUUAGAAAUAAGAAACAUGCAAAGUUGAUGCGUUGGCAUAAAAAAGAACGUAAGAAACAUGAAAUGAUCAUACGCCCCGUUGAUAGGUCCCAAUGGAGAACAGUUGACACCAUCGCUACCUGACUACGACCGCACAAUCGAUUGCCCCACUCUAGGUGCUUUCGGAGUUUGAUAAGAACAUGUUUCUAUUCGUCAAAGAUACAAAUCUCACCGCAGCUCAACUUCGAGGGGAGGAUCACAUCCCAAAACACACUAGGGUUGGUAAAUGGAAAUUUGAGUUAGGGAAAGAGCUUGUGUGGCCGCAGUUGAUGGAUCAUCUUCCAACGAAGAUGUAAAAAUUGCACCAAUGGUACAUGGAGGUUUCAGCCAACAAUUUACUCAUGCUCGAAGUUUGAAUUGGAGAUCAACAUUAUUUCUAUAGGGAAGAUAUUAUAAAUGUGCUAGUGGAGGAACUCUAUUUCCUUUUAUUGACGCACUUGACAAGUCACUCAUCAGUUCCUGGGUUCUGCAAGUCUUUAAAUUGCUCUAACUUCAAAAUCCCUACUCUAAUUAUUGUGCGAUAUCUUAACUCCUAUUUGAUUUUGUAUCAUGUAGGAUGGAGAUUCAAACUUGCCAGAGGAAAGGAUACUAUGACAUCGAUUUCAUGGACCCGGAUAUUAUAAACGAGUCAACUGCAAGAGAUAUACCAAAUCGGGUCUUGAAGAACAUAUAUAAGUUUCUAGACAACCAAUAUUACAAGAAGUACAUACUUGUACCGUACAACUUCGAGUGAGCGUAUUUCCCAUCUCUUUUCUUUUUGAACUAGCAGACUAGCUAGCAGUACAUUCGUGCUCUUUCCAGAAGAGGUGCGCAGAAUCAGCAGAAAACGGGCGGCGGCCGCUAGUCAGCGGUCAAAGAUAAAAGGUCAAUUAAUUAGUUUCUAGCUAGUGCUGUCGGAGUGUGCAUGCCGUUAACUCGCGAGUUAGACCCAACUGUGGUCAUCAUCAGUUACGUUAUUGUGCCAACAAUGCAGUAAAUCAAAAUAUUUGUAUCUCCAUAAUUUUUUUACCCGAAAUAUGUAUGUGAAAUCCCAACCUAUUUUUUCUACAUUUUUUUUAUUUCAAGACCUAUUUAAUUCACAUUUUGUGAGUAGAUUGGACCAAUUGAAUUAGUAAAGUAAGGCUAAAUUUUAUUUGGGUUAAGCGGAUAAAAUGGAUUGUGAGAAGUAAAAUGUACUUUUUUUCAAUUUUUUUAACUGUAAUCAUUGCACUUCAAUUUUCUUGUGCACAAUAAUACCUCUAGAAUGUAUAGGACCUAUUUUUGAAAGCUUGUGACCUUUUGCACCUGUAAACCGUAUUUCCUUUUAUCACUCUUGAUCAAUUGCAAAAAUGUCAGUUGGGUAAAUGUUGCAAUUCCCUUCCAAGAUCCAUUGUUAGGAAUUAGAGCUCAGAACAAUCACAUUAGAAACUCUAACGCAAGGUAAAAAAAAAAUUCACACCAGAACAUCAAGUAACUGGAGAAAAUUCAGACCUGAGCUAAAAUCAUCACAACGAGCAUGGAAUUCCAUUGCAGAGCACGAAAUUGGGGCUUCGAGCAAUGCUGCAAGAUCUGCGGUUCUGCCAUGGAGGGUCUGAAGAACAGCAUAUCACAUAGUUCGUAGGUUGCAUGUUUGCCUCCGCUAGAUCGUCUUAAAAGUAUUUUUUGCCCAACAAACAAGUUUAGCCUGGCAUACAACUAUCAAUCGUGCAAAAGAGCAAUGCCCCCCAGUUAGGUUUGACAUCCUUGCCGAAGACAAGUUGUUCUUUGCAAUCGAACACACACCAGAAGUUAAUGAACUUACCGACCAGCUACUCCAGUGACCAUGUCACGCACCCAUCAGAUCAGAAAAUAGAUUUCAACGCAUCUGCUUACGAGCAGUCAUGUACAGAAAAAAUGACUGCAACCUUCAAAUGAAUUGAGCAGCUUAUAAUUACAAAUCACAAUAAUCAAGCAGAACAAUAUAGAUACCUAUUCUAAAAAGGAUAGCCACCAUUGCAGGUAAUGGUAACCAAAUCAAUUGAGUCAGGCUUGUCUCCAGCAGUCAUUAAUCAUAAAUAUACAAUAUAAUAUUUUCCUGAAUAAAAUACAAUUCACUAAUGGGGAACUUUAACUGCAGCUUUGUACACCAAGAAUUAGUCAACAACCAAAUUAAAAAAAAACAGAGGGUUGAUUUCAGCCAGAAUUUUGAACAAGAAAUGAAAAGGUGUUAUUAACAACAAAGCUUUGACUUCUCGGAACGAACAUACAACUUCUGAACGGUAUGGCAUCUGCUGAACCUUCAAACCAACAUUGGAAAGCUUGCUUAAAAAAGCACUGGGACUACCUUCUGAUGUUUCAUUAGGGGCAAAAAAGGAUCUCAUAGUUUCAUGUAUCAUCAACCUGAGAAUGGAAGACAAAGCUUGGAAAUGUAGUGGUGAUGUCCCUGCCCAGCAUCAUUAUGAUUAGACUCUGAAUGUGAACUUUGAGGUAGGCAGAGAACCAUACAGAAGCAAACAAGAAGCAAUUACCAAGACCAAGUUACAACAGAAUAUAUAAUUUAUCAUGCCUCAAAGUUAAAAAUAAAAAAGUCAAAAAGAUAUGAGAUGAUGACUUGAUAAUGGUUUGACAUGUCCCUCUGAACCAAGCACUAUCAAAAAAUGGUGUGGUUCAAACUGAAACAUUAACAUUAAUUUCUAAUUCAUGAUUCAAUGUGCCUUGAGUGAUAAUUAAAGGCUUCUUUUUUAUGUGGAUGAUGUUAUGGCCAUCGUUAAUUACUUUGUCGUUGACUGAAUUUGAUAUGCCAACAGAAUCCUUCCUGUCUUUGACAGUUUCAGAAUUACCAAAUUAGAAAAAAAAUGUUCAGCUAUGCCAAUCAGCUGCUUGUCUAUAGGAUUUGCUGCCUGCCAAAGUUGCCUAAGUGGAAAGGUGAAUUACGCUCACUGGGUGGAAGGUAGUGGUCGAAUCAUUCCCUUCAGCCAUGCCAAUUUAUCAAUUAUUAGCUAUGAAAAAUGCAUAAAUAGGUGAUUAAAGCUUGUUUCAACUAAGUCAAUAAGGACAGCAAGUCGCAAGUAUUGCUUUCCAUGGAAUAAAGUCUGUCCGCCAAUUGAAUUUGAUGACUUUGGUGUCCCAGAUCUUUUGAUAAAUCAUGGUUAUGCACUAAGUUUGGGAUCGCUGGACCGUAGUUCAAGCACACUGAUAACAGAACAUCCGAUAUUUAUAUUGAGAAAAACGUGGUUGUGCAGGACUACACAAGCCUCAAUCAUGGUGAAGGUGGGCAAUGGGAGGACUACAUUGUUUUGGAUGACAAAUCUGCUAGGUGAAGCAUGUGUCAAAAUUCCCAUGCCAUAUUUUUGGGAGUUACUCCAGUAAGUAAAAAUGUUCAUCAAAACUAAUCUGUUGCAGAAGCUCACUGAACAUGCACGGAUUCAAGACAUUCAUGGAGGACCUAAGCACGGUUCACAGCACUCCCAGUGGUAUUUAUUUCACACACGUGGAGCCCACAGCAUUCACAGCUCUUUCCCCUUUUCCCUGAUUUUCCUGCAGCCUCAUUUCUCAUUCACAUUCUCUUUUUAUCUCACCCGAGUCAGCGCGAGGGAGUCCUGGCAUGAUGGUGACCAGCAGCCAAGCCUCGCAAGGGCGACCCUCCUCAAUGCGGCAGAGGACGGUCUCGUGGGGAGACCCAACGCGGACGCUCCACCACCUCCCACAGAUCUGCCCCCUCCCAUUCUCUCUAAGAUCCGACAGAUCUCAGCGACUGACAGCCUAGCGCGCCUCGCAGCAGGGAUCGGGGACCUGGUGUCGUCGUCCCGCUGGAGGUCUGCAUGUGGCCUCGGCGCUGUGUGUGUGUGUGUGGGGGGGGGGGGGGGGGGCAGGCAGUUGACAGGGUGCAGCGGCAGGCGGCUGCCAAGCAGCGCAACACGCUGCAUCCUCAGAGCAGCAAUGUGGUGCAUCCUGAGCAGCAGCUUGGCAAGCUCCGUUUUAUUUUAUUUUUUCAAUAUUUCUUUAUUUGUCAAAGAUGUUCUUGGGAAAUGUUGUCGAAAGAAGUUUCUCUGAAAAGUUUUCUGGCAUUUUUUAAAAUGUUUCCAUGUCUAGAAAAGUUGUAUAAGAUGCAGCAGGUAAAGGAUACUGCAUAAGUAAUGCAGAGAUAACUCUAAUGUGUUAGUAAAACUUUCAAAAGCAGACCAAAACUCUUACGUUAUACUGAUGUCAUGGCCCAUGAACAACUAGGUGUCUAGGCCCAAUAAGUGACCCAUCAGGGCCCUAGGAACUGUUAACCGGCGUGAACAGUACUAUGGGUACUGUAUCGCAGUCCCUCCCAGUCGGGCACGGAGUCUAAUAAUGAACAAGGAUCUAGAGCCUAGUUGGAUAGGAAGUCUAUCUCUUGUAAUGGAAAAGGAUCCCUCUAAAAUAAGGAAGGUUAGGAUACUUGCAAUCCAAUUAGAGUCUCCUCAAUAUAUAUAGAGGCCUCCUGUACCCUUAGAAACUAUAAGUAGAAGAUCAAGGGCCUAGCCCCCUCUCUGCCCAGGGCUAGGACACCAGCACUCUGUGGCUGUCGCGCCCCUGCACUCCCCAAAUCCUAGGUCGAUGGCCACCUCCUGGGGCCGCCUUCCUCUCUUUAAGUCUUUAUAUCCCCCAAUUCUCCCACAAAUCCCCGCUCCAAUCUCUAAAAAUAUGUGCACAUAACACCUGGCCUUAUCUCAAGUACUCCCUCCGUUCUUAAAUAUAUGACACCGUUGACUUUUUACUCCAACUUUGACCACCAAUAUCUAUUGAACGAGUUAGUUAACUAAAGUAAAAUGUGUAUCAUUAUGUCUAUUGUCAAAUGUACUUUAGAUUUAACUUGUAGGUUUAUCUAUUUGCAAAAAUAUUUGUAGAAAAGACGAAUAGUCAAACAAAUGAAAAAAGUCAACGGCAUCAUAUAUUUAAGAAUGGAGGGAGUAUCAUUCAUCAACAUCACUAUCUAGUUUCACGGAAAACCAAUUAAAAAGUAAACAGUCAACUGUGCACAAACAAGAUAGUAUUUCUUACUUGAGGUACUGAAGAGUCAUGUUCUUUAAUAACGAGGGAUGCCUCAGUACUAGAUUCCGCCAUUCUUCUUUAUCGAUUUUCCCAUCAUGUUUUGUGUCUGCCUCCUCGAAAGUCUUGUAGCAAGAGAAAAACACAAAUUUAACAAAACAAUACAAUAGCACGCAAUGUGCCAGUCAGUUUGCAAUGUGAUAGCACUUGUUCAACAAUUUGCUGUUACAAACCCACCUUUUGCCGCCCCCCCGCACCCCCCCCCCCCCAAAAAAAAACAUAUAGUAUAAAGUGUUUUGUUUUGGGGGCAACUAGUAUGAUUUGAAACUACGUCAUGACUCAAGUCUGUUAACUCAAAUCAACACUCAAGUCUGUUAACUAGUAUGUUUACACUAUAGUUUAUAGUAACUAGUAUGUUUUGAAACUACGUCAUAACUCAAGUCUGUUAACUCAAAUCAACACUCCAAAUCAAAUAGGCACUAUUGGUUAUAGCCAUCCAUUUGUGUUACCACAAAAAGUAUGUUCAAAGUAUCUACUAAAAAGUAACGAACACAAGCUAAGAGCUCUAUUCAAUAAGGAUCGACAUAUAUUACUGAGUGACAGCCUCAAUUUAGCCUGGCAGCGGUAAAAUCUUGUGUUGACAAAUAUUAUUGAGUGACAGCCUCAAUUUAGCCUGACAGCGGUAAAAUUUGUGUUAUCAACAGAAAGAUUAUGUUAUAAUCAUUCAUUCACAAUGACACUACCAUACAGGGAAAAGCCAAAUGGCAUUGCUUAAAGGAGGUUAGUGUGUAAGGAGUUCAAACAUGCAUUGGGGUGAGUCACUAGGGACUAAUUCUUAUUUCAUCAACAAAAAGAAUACAACCAUAAACAAUACUAAUACUUUUAUAACCUAACAAGUAGGUCCCACAGAAUUAUCAAUUAUGGGUUAUAUAGUUCAGUAACUUGACAAAAUUAGAAGACAUCAACUUCUACCAAGACUCUACAAAGCGUUCUACUAGGAUAAACUCGUAACAAGACAAAAAACCCCAAGCUCCACUAUACAUGUUCAUCUUUCCUAAAUCUCUUCUUGGGCGAGUUAGACAGCAUUAGAGCCACUUUAUUGCCCUAGUAUUGUUACAUGCUGCCUCCCAACAUACUUCUUCCACCAACCAGUGGACCACAAGUCCACAAUAGUUACAACCAACCAGGAAUCCUCUGCGGCCUUGCCACAAGGUGAUGCUGCUGUCUGGACUCCUUUCUUAAUCUAAUUCCAAGACUCCUAAUAAACUAAAAACGCUUAACUGGGUACGGAUUCUAAAUGGCAAAAAUAAAUAGCUAGGCAGGUAUGUGAAAGCAAAACGUUUCAAGUGCACCUUGUCAAUGAUGCUCUCUAUGACUUCAUCUGAAAGAUUCAUUCCUGACUCAGCAAGUGUAGCAACAACCAUUUGCUUAACCUAAUAGCAAAAAAAAAAACGAAAUCAUUAAGAUACAGCAUGUAAAAGAUGAUGAUCACAUUUCUUUUAUAAACAAGCAUAAAUUUGCACAGGAAAGUUAUUUGGCUCAAAUAAAAAUAACAGCAAUUUCAAACAAUAAAAGGUAUACUUCCUCAACAACAAAAAAAGAGAGAGAGUACAAGUGUAACUCUGCAACAUAUGUUUCAUGAACCAUGCCAAUCUAUUGCAAAAGAAAAACAAUCUGACCUAAAUUAGAUUUUCACUGUCUGUUGGAGGCAAACUAUUUCGGCUCUAUACACAUCAAGCUACUUUGGUAGACCAAACAAAUUCAUAUUGAAGGGUCCAGUUCCAACAACUUUACCCAAGCCCACAUCAGCACAUGAGAGGGCUGGUUGGCCAAGUGACAGAAGUCAGAUUAAGACCCAGCAUGCUAAAGUUCAAACAGUGAUAUAUUAGUGGGGAUUAAAGUGACAAACUAGUUGUAGGGUUAAAUCAAACUCUGACAUAUUUCCAGGUGAAUUAUUGCAAUUUUUCCUUUAUUUGUAUACCAGGACCAAGCCAUUGCGUGAUUGAUGUAAACCUGUGGUCAUCCAUUUCUUAAAUCUUUUAACGUCUCCCAACAUUCUAUAUUGACUGAUUCCUACAAACCUCCCAUGACAGGAACCCAAAGCUCCUACGGCUAAAACCAGUAUACACGCAACAACAAAGUCUUGUCCCAGGCAUGUUAGAUAAGGCUAGAGACAAAGUCCAACAAGAAAAACAAGUAGUAUAUAGGAUGGAUGAAAAAGGCUGGUAUCAAUUUGAACACAAAUCUGAUUCAUGAUAACCAAAUACAUUGCAAUAAAAGUUCGGUAGCAAGUAUUUAACCAGAUGGAAUUGGGUGAUUGUUUGGUAGUUCUGGCUAUACAUGACCAGCAAUCACGGAUUUUAAAGCGUUAAGGCGAGGCGAGGCGAGCCACCACCGCCUUAUCGCCUAGGCGACGCCUAGGCGGGCUAAGGCGACACCUUAGGCGAGGCGAACCACCACCGCCUUGUUGCCUAGGCGACGCCUUAAAAACACUGCCAGCAAUGAUUAGAGAAGAAAAAUGAAAAACAAAAACUGAUCAAAAUGCAGAACAAAAAUAAAGAAAACAGAAAACAAAUGGAAAAUGAAAAGGCAGAUAUCAAGUGUGCCAGCUAAUCACCCGGGUUGUUGGAUGCGCUACCUAAAAACCCUUAUCCUACCAACAUGUUAAGUUCAGUAGCAAAUACCUCUUGUCUUUCAAUGAAGCCUUGUUGCUUAAGGUCAUAUAGCUGGAACGAAACUGCAAGGAUUGUAGAGACAGCUCUAAGUUUUUUUUUCUACCCUCAGUUACAAACAUAGAAGGAACAAAAGCAGGAUUAAUAUAGAUAAGGCACGAAUAUAUGUUAAAAACAAACUUAUGGAAUUCCCCUGUUUUCCUACAUUGCUGUGCAAUAUCAAAGAACCGAACUGGAGAGAGUUACAGCCCAUAUUGACAUUUCCUCCAAGUCAAGAAAGACCAAAUAUUCACAGAUAGCAAGAUGGUCCACAGAAGGGAAAACUUCAGUAUGGAUUAUGACUAGCAGCUUUUUGUUGCACUCACAAGUCUGAAUUACUUGUUAAAUGCACACAGAACAAGGGAGAUAACCUGUCAAUUCCUUUUGAGUUUCAGUAUUGCGACCGUACUCCCCAGACUGUGGCGAAUGCUUGACAUGAUUUUCUGCUAACAUCUCUAAUAGCACUAUCAAACAAAUAAUGGACAGGGCAUUUGGUGGCAAAUAUUGCAUCAAAACCCUAAGGCCUCAGCAUCUACAUGCAAGGCAGAAUCAAAUUCAUAAAACUGGAUAGUACUUAACUACUUUUGCAAAUUAAUCACACUAGGUAGCAGUACAAUGUUACUAAGCUUCACUUUUUGAGUUGUAGCGAUGCAACUAGUGGUCACAUUCUGGUAAUUUAUUAGUUGUUCAAAUAACUAAAUUUGCCAUGCAGAGUGGAGGCAAAAAUGAGUUGUUCUUCUAUAAUAAACCAUGUUCAUGUGUCCUUAAAGGUAUCCUUUUGUAUUGUUUUGAACAGAGCAAUAGAGUGUGCGGCUGCUCUAGUGCACUGGUUGAUUUUGGACUCAACCGUGGAAUUGCCCUAAUUUUUUUAUGAACUUACAGUCAAUCUUCUCAUCAAGAGGAGCAUUGGGAUGGAAUACUGAGAGAGCACGGGCAAAUUCCUCAAAUCCUAGAAUUCCGUUGUGUUUUGUGUCAAAUAAAUCAAAUACCUGCAAGAACAGGGGGUAAUGGUAAAGACUAUUGCCAUACAAGAUGGAAUAAAUAUCAUGUAUCAACAUCAUUCUCACUUGAAUACUUUCUUAUUGGAUACAAUUACUGGCAUAUAAAUGCAGCAUCAUAAAUGAUUAUUGCAAAUUCUGAUUGGAGGGCAUGGAUCAUGUUUUUUGUUUAGCAAAAGAAAACUUAGCAAGUGUAGCUUUAUGUUCUUGGCAUUAUAGCUUCAAUCCAUAAAUGAUUAUUUUUUUAGCAGCGCAUAGUGGACAUUCUACCUGCUGGUUUCACUGAUAAUGAUGGGGGUGAUGAGAAACAAAUUACAAGUGAAUGAUGAAGGCACGAAAAAAAAACGCAUUGCAGAGAAACCUCCUCCACUAAUAGAAUCUAUGUGCCCAAUCAACAAGUCAACUUUCCACCAACCCCCAAGAUCUCGUGCUCCAGAGCAUUGAGGACCAAUAAAUGAUCAUGAACAAUAUACGAAACAGCACUAAUUUUUCAUGCACAACUACACUGAACAAACAGUAAAACAGAAAAAUACAAUGUAGUCUUACACGAUAAGCAAAUAAGCUCUCCUUCUUACUAGUCUUGAACAACGCCAGCUGAAACUCCUCCUGUCAUGCCAAGACAAGAGCAUCAGGAACCGAAUCACACCUCAAGAUCAUAUGUAUAGAGAAGCAUCAUUCUAUUCCCCGAAAAAUGGCUGGGCCUGUACCCACUAACCUUGUUGAUCAGCCCAUCAUCAAUCACGGCACUGCUGAUCUUCUUGAACAGCUCAUACAGCGCCUCGAUCUCGCUCACGCUAACUGCAAGCACAGCCACACACGCAGACCAUGCCGUAAGACAAAGAGAACACAACUGGAAAUGGAAUCGAUUGCGCUGCUAGGAAAACGCGAGGGGCAGAAGCGAAAGUAGCAGCCUGAACGUACAGACGGUCUCCCUGGCGAGGACCUCCGGGUCCUCGAGGCCGUUGGGCUGCUUGAGGUCGAUGUCGCAGCACUUGAGGAGCACGCCGCAGAGGUGCCUCACCCCAUCCAGGCACUGCAACAUGGUACCGCCACCGCCGCCGCCUCCUCCGCUAGCCAAGCAUCGGCGGGCGGGAGCCGCGGCUCGCGGCGCCUAAUAUUCUGAAUCCCCAAUCAACGCCCGGCGGCGGAGAGUCCCGACCGGAUUUUGGACGGCCCGGCGCGGGAUCGGCGUGGCGGGAACGGAUCGAGGCGCGCGAUUCGACGGGUAGGGUUUGGAAGGUGGGGAGCCCGGGGCUCGUCGCGAUUGGCCGCCGGAGGGGUUCCGGCAGUCGCCGCCGUCGUCGUCGGCUGCUGCUGCUGGUGGUGCGAUCCGACGGAUUGGGGAAUGGGAAUUUCGGAAGAGGAGGAUGACACGGUGGAGGUCUUCGGUUUUUUUUUUUAGAAUUUCUUUUUUUUUCUUUUUUGGUUCUCCUCUUCGGUCAUCCACACUCUUCCCUGUUCCGUGCUUGGGUGCCACACUGCCUCGUGCUAAUUUUUUUCCCCCGUGUUCCGAGGACGAUCAGGUGCUCGCAUAGGCGCAUCAGGCACGUGAACCCGAGAUGAACGGAGGGGGAUGGGGCCAUUCUUGACUGACUGCUUCCCGAUCCAACGGCUGAGAGAGGGAGUACUUUUAAUCCAGAGACCGGAAGGCGGUACGAAGCUCGAUUAAGUUCUUUCCUUUAAAAAGGAUGAUUCAUAAUUCUCAUUCUUCGUGUGCACAUAAUUAGUAGAAAUAUGAAAAAUGGUAUUAUCCUUCUACAUAUUUUACAUAAUCAACUUGUGAUACACCAGUAGACCACAUCAUCUCAUCUAGUCUGAGUCUUCUCACUUCUUUAAGUUUCCAUAAUCACCUAAAAUUUAUCCUGUUUGAACUAAAGCUGUUGGAGAUAAAAAAAAGUCCAUUUCAUCCUCCCUUUUUACAUACGCGCCAAGAGAUAAUGUGGAGGUCUUAGCCCCACCUGUUUUUAGUCCCGAGUCCCGAUUAUGUGGGUUAGCCCAGUCUUAGUGCACAGUUCCAUUGUACAGUUAUCUAGACUGAGAAUUAGGUAACUGUACCAGAUGAGUGUUAUGGGAAUGAAACUCUUCUCUCAUCUGAUGAAACUCCCCCUAUUAAUUACCUUACCAAGUCAACAAUUUUGCUGAUGUGGCAUUGAAUUUAAUACCACGGAACUCUCAUGAAACUCCCCAUUGAAAUUGGCCGGACUUGCUGCAAGCAAACUGCUCCUAUAAAUUAAGCGAAAAUUCUAGAUCAAACAUGGACUACAUUGUACAGGCAACUCCAUGAAUCUAGAAUCACAUGACACUGCAUCAUUAGGAAUCAGACAUUAAGCAAUACAUUCAAGAGUCCAUAUAUCAAACAAUUUAUUGAAUGAUAAUUCAAGGUAUUAUGCAUUGUGAGUCAAGAGUUUCCUGCUGUUUUGAAUCACAUUGAUUGCAUCCCACGAAAUAUGUGGAAUCCAUUAUUGAUUCAAGUGUUGACACAUCUAUCAGCUGUUUUUGCUAUAAAUAUUGUCGGGACUCAACCAUAGUACAUCACAAUUUAUCGAUUAAUCAAUGGCCAUAUCUAUCAGCUAAAAGGUUAACAAAUGUAAAAUCAAGCCCAAAAAGGAACCUGCCGAUGAUUGCUUUGACAACCACACUUUCUCUUACCAAUAGUGUAUCUCUUCUUACCUAAAAGGAAGGAUCUAUUGCUGAAUCUUCAAGACGGGAAAGGCAAUAACAUCCCUUAUGCUGGCAGAGUUCGUCAAAAGCAUUACUAACCGGUCGAUACCCAGGCCCUGAGGUAAAGUUCCUAAAAAGUUAGUUACACAAGCGACAUGUUCUUGAUAAAUAAUUAAGUGAAUAGUUCUAAGAACAAUAGCAAAUUAGCAACCACUAUAACACACUAGCUGCAAGCAGUUGAUCAGCCAUACCAUUCCUGAUGCUGGUGGCAUUCCAUAUUCUAAAGAAGUUAAGAAGUCUUCAUCUAAACAAACUUCAUAGGAAUAAUCAUCCUCAUCUCCUUGAUCCUCAGUAGAUUUGACCUUAGCACUUGCAGCACGUUUAGCAUUGUGCUGUUUUAUUUGAUUUUCAAAACGGCUCCUCUGCAAGAAAAGAAAACAUGCUGCUCCUUUGAAACUAAAGUGACCUAUAAAAUGAUGAUAGCUUGAGAUAGAAUUCAAGACAUGGAGCUAAAAAGCAUGUAUGUGAUUUCCAGCUAUCUUAAUGAUCAUCAAAAACAUCCUAUCACUCAGGGACUGAACUGUAUCUUUUUUCUCUCUCCAUUUUCCAGGAAGGAGCUUUUGCCGGGGAAAUUUGAUAUCUACUUUAAGCUGUAAGGUGGUACAUCACGGGCAGACUGUUGGAAGUUAAUAGGACACCUUGGUUUGGCCUUGCUGUCUAGUUUACAAGCCUUUCGAGUAUGGACCCACACUAAUAGCAAUAACAAGCUGUGUCAAUACCCAGAAGUAACUGUUUGCUGCAGAUUAGGUUUUAGUUUAACCAAGGUUUUGGGGUUCUUGCACAUGGACCCAAGCUAGGUCAGAGGUCAGUGGGACAAAGAGGUUUUAAAGCAAAAUAAAAUAAAAUGUUUCAUACUACUAGACCAUUCCAUACCACAUGUAGUUUUACAGCUUGUCAACUGCAAAUAAAUUACAAAUAUUUGCAUAUGAUCACAGGACACAAACUUCUUUUCGAUGUCCUUACCGAACUUCACAAAGAAUGCUUCAAAUGAUGGUACUUAGGUAUGCAGUAAGAAAGUGACACAUUCUUACCUGAUCAAUUGGGUCUGUGAGCUCAGAAAAUGCAUUGCCAAUCUCACGACCACAUAUAAAAAGUUCGAAUCGCUCAGUAAGGCCAGCAUAACUACAGCAAGAGAAACAAACUAUUGAAGUGAACACAAAAGUUCAUCAUAUAUACAGACACUCUAUUCAGAUAACCAAAAUAAAUAACACAAUUAAUUUGUACCGAAAGGUCACUAGCAUCCAGUAAAGAACAUUAUAUAAUCUGGAACUGUGCAUGUGUGGAAAAGUUUUAAAGUUAUAUGAGCAGAUAACCUAUUAAUGAUCUGGCCUUUAGCACAGAUUGCAGAAGCAUCAACCGUUUCUAGAAUGAUGAGCGCAAAUAGGAGCCGAUGUGAUAUGGGAGUGGGAUUUGGAAGAUAGGUAGGCUAAUUCGGGACAAGAGAUAAACAAACUCGCCCUCAUGAUGCAGGCUCUGAGCUAUUAAGGUUUAUACUUGCUUACUUUUCCUGAUCAACCUCACCCUCAAUAUAUAGGGUCUGUGCAGUUACAAUUCCAUAAGCUUACAACUCAUCCCAAGUCUAUCUCUAACAAACCAGCCUAACAAUCUUCAAGCAGAACUCUAAAAAAAACUCGACCUGCGGGGGGGUAAGACAGCCCCUGAGCAUUUUGCUAAGAAGAAGACCUUCUCACGCAGGUCGAGAAAACCCCCGAACCCCUGCCCCACCCUUACAUAGCAGCACCAUAGCCCGUGUGAGACAACCAACGACCUGGGUCGGGCCUUAGACCUAUGCUUUGGCGUGGGACAGACGAGGAGAUUUUUUUUUUAACCCCAGCCUGAAAUUCGCUCCCACGAGGAGUCGAACCCAGGACCUGAGGAGUGCUACUGGAGCCACCUAACCAACUCAGCUAGAGGCCUCUCCUAUGCAAUAUCUAAACAAACCGACUAAGUCUAUCUCUGUCUCAAGCUGACUCCUUGCUGUGCAUAUGUUGCCUGCCCACAAAUGUGUCUACAACACGAGUCCAAAUGGGCGUAAUGCAUAAUAAAACUAUUGUGUAUUUGUGUGCACAAUUUUCCAUUAACGAGAUUUUUUGUCAUGGAGUUGCAUAUCUAUCGAAAGCCCCUAAAAAGUGCUUAACCAGAAAAAUACCCCUCCAUAUUGAAAUAGUGAGAUAUAAGUUGUGUUUUGACUUUUUAAUGCCCCAAAAUGGAACUUAAUGUUAAUUUCUUUUAUGUUAUGUUGACAAUAAACACAAACAAUGGUCACAAGGAAUCAAACAGUAAGAUUUAUGUCACUAAACUAAUAAAAUGUUUAAGAAGCAUAAACCUUACAGUAUUUGACCCUCAAAAUAUGUAGGCACCAUGUAAACUGAAACAGGGGGAGUAUUUACCUCCGAUGUGGUUUUGCCAAUGGUGAUAUCUCAACUGGGUAAUCAAGCACAAAUGUUGGUUGUACUAGAGUAGAUUCAACGAAAGUCUCAAAAACCUGCCAUUAGAUGUAGAAUUGUUAAAUGAGCCUCUUGACAGCAUGAUAUAUAAGACACAUUGAAAUCUUGCAGUUUCGAGGAUGGGGUGUUAUGUUUGAUUACAGCAUGCUACUUAAACAACGCACUGCUGCAAUAUUUCAGAGCUACUCUAAUCUAAAAGUCUCAAAAACCUGCCAUUAGAUGUAGAAUUGUUAAAUGAGCCUCUUGACAGCAUGAUAUAUAAGACACAUUGAAAUCUUGCAGUUUCAAGGAUGGGGCGUUAUGUUUGAUUACAGCAUGCUACUUAAACAAUGCACUCCUGCAAUAUUUCAGAGCUACUCUAAUCUGAACUUCAAGGCACAUAGCUAGAUACAAUUAACAGGAAAGGCAAACCAAGAAAGCACAAUUCUCACAGUAAUCUUGGGUGUGCAUAUUCAACAAACUACACCAUCUGUAAAAUUCAUUAGUAAACUCCUUACGCAUAAAUUAUUAGAAAUAUUCCAGAUAAGCUUUCAACAUGCCAUCCAUAUCCAUGAUUAAAUUUGCAACAAUAUAUUCAUAGUUAUAAGAAAGUAAGGAGAAGAUAAUUCUUAAAUACAGAAAUCAGCAACACACAUUAACUAAUAGCAUGCUUACUCAACAUACUACUGCCUCUGAUCCCAUAACAAGGAAGCAUGCCAAGAUCAAACCACCCACAAAAUAGGAGAUUGAGAGCUAUAUUGGCUGCCGGAUUCCAUGGAGUCUGGUAUCUAUCUAAAGGUCUUGUAUGUUCUCUCCCUUCUUAUUCUUUGUUCCUUUUCUUUGUCUUGUGUGUACUUAUAUUUUUACAAGCUUUGCAUAUAGUAGGAUCCUUCCUAAUGUUUUCCAUAAAAAUUAGAAUCUAAAUCUCGUCUUUCAAAAAUGUGGGCAUUUAGCUUCUCCAAACUCUGACAAGUGCAUCAAGCGUUCAUGCCACCUACAGUUCUCAGCUUCAACCUUCUACUGAUGGCAAGGCAACAGCUAACAGAAUAUUUUUACUGACUUCUGUUUAUGAUAAAUAAAAACUUCACUUUUUGUUUGUAGGAAAGCUGUCUAAUUCCACUUGUUAAAUAACCAAGGGAUGACUCGUUACAUUUAUUGAAAACUAAAAAAAGUGUAUAAAAAAGCCUACCUCAUUGAGAACAUGUCCAACAGAUGAACAGGAUUGCAGUGAAGUACUUUCACUGCUUCCUACUUUGAUCCCUGGCAGUCCUCUUGCAGCAAUUUUAGCAGAUUCAACAUCUUGGCCAAAGUUGUUGAAGUCAAUUCCAGUUGCUUCUUUGACAAGAGAAUGCAUGGUUUCCCUCCUCCAUGGUCUUUCGAGAGAAAUUUCAGUUCCCUGCGUUUUAUUGAACAGGACCAUGUUAACUAAUGGGUAUAAAGGGAGAAAUAUAUAGCUGUGCAUCUUAAGUGUCAAUGGGACUGGUUUCCAUCAACAUCUGUGCUACAAGGUAAGAAUGAAUAUUCGAUAGUAAAUUGGUGAAAUUGCACAAAAACAGGUUUCGAGGUAAUAUAGCAAAUUGGAAUAAGUAACAAAUCGUGGCAUGAUUUUUCCAUGAUAAAGCAUGCAUUUCCACACAAUUCUAAACAAAAGAGGAUGUGAUAUAAACUUAAAAUAAAUGGCAGGAUAAAAACUGAUUACCUGAUAAUCAACCUUAAGCUUGCCAUGAGUAGCCAUAGCACAUCGAGUGACAAUUUCUUCGGCCAUAUUCAUCAUGCUUUCAUAGUCUGAAUAUGCUUCAUACAUCUAGUUUGCAAAUACAAGGCAACAAGCCAGGCUCAAUUUUAUGUAGCACAUUCUGCCAUGCAAAAAGGGAGGCAGACAAGGAAACAUAGAAUAUAUAGUGGCACGGAUAAAAGUAAACCAUUAAUUACAUGCAUAUUUGGAGAGAGUUUGGAGGGAGGGAGGGGGAGGGGUUGGGGGAUAAACUCCUACCUCAAUAGUGGUAAAUUCAGGAUUAUGACGAGUAGAGAUGCCUUCAUUCCGGAAAAUUCUUCCAAUCUCGUAGACCCUCUCAAGCCCUCCAACCUGCACUUUGUCAACGGUAGUCAUAACCUUGAAAAUAAGAAAAAGAUGGGUGCUGAGGCAGAAUAGUUGUACAACUCUUCCAAUGGACCCUUGGCACAGUGCAUGGUCUCAUUGGCACCCAUCAAAUGCUAAUGAACGGCUAAAAAGGUGGGAGACACCAGUUAUAUAGCAUAAAAUUCUCAAAAUGAUAAAUUCCUCUAAGAAGAAAUAUAAUAUGCCCCUAAUUGUGUGACUUUAGUAUUUUAGGAAAAACAAUUGAUAUCAACCAGUAGAGAGACACAUGUAGCUAGGAAAAACUACAAAUCUUAUUGAUUUAUAGUUGUGUUAACAUGCUAAAUUAAGAUCAAACUGAAAUUAAUAGAAUACCAUUGUUGUCUGUUAUAUACUACAUUUAUGAAGAUACUACAUGCAGCAUUUCCUAGCAAUAGUCUUAUCAAAGUACAGGAAAGAAAUUGUAUCACAUAAAACGAUAGUGUCAUGGACUGGUUUGAGAAUCAACUAUGCAGUUACCGAAACUGAAGAACCGAAAACUGAACUGUAACCUCACCAACAUCCUUUUCAAAUGCAGCUCUGUUGCAAUCCUCAGGUAAAGAUCUCUUUGAAGUGAGUUAUGGUAGGUUAUAAAAGGCCUAGCUUCAGCACCACCUGCUGCUCCCUGUUUUUACCAUUUUGAUGUGUAAUGUUGUAAAAAAAGGAUCAGAAAAUACAGUACUAACGAUUCAAGCAUAGUGGUACAAAAAGAACCUAAUUCUUUCAGUAUACACCUGUAGAACUGGAGUUUCAACUUCAAUGAAACCAAAUGAUUCCAUUGUCUUGCGGAUUUCAGAAACCACCUGUCAAAAAUGCAAAUAUCUAAGUUAAUUGUAAAAGAAGUUGUCCUGAAUUAGCCAUUCCGGGAGGACCUAAGGACGUGUUCUUACAACAUAUACAUUUUUCUUUCUCCAUCCCAUAACCUUACUUUAACCUCUAAAGAAACACGUGGUUCCUGUGCCACAUAAUAUUUGAAUGAUAUAGGAGUUCCCAAAUCAGAUAAUAAUAGUUGUAGUUAAUAGCCCAUCAUUAAACAGAUAACAUUUUUGCUCUUACAUCUCAUCUAGUUCACAAGUUUCAGAAUGCAAAUUCAGCACUCCAUGUAGCCAAUACCUUUGCUCUAGUUCGGAAUACAUCAGCAACCUCAGGAUUUGCAAUCAUGUCAACAUACCUGUCAUGGAUCAACGAUGGCACAGAUGAAUAUUCCACUUUCCAUUAAAAAAAUGAAAUCAUUUAAACCAGGACCGAAGAAAUAGAAAUAAAGAUGCUAAGACAGUAAUUCUGAAGGGAGGGGUACUUUUUUAUCCAUUAGUCAACCUUGUACACUGAUAGAAUAUAUUAGAGUAUCAAAUGGGUACUAGUUACAAUCAGAAUAAAAUCUGACUUAGAAGGUAGAUGAAGCAAGGUGAAAGCCAACCUUUGACGAUAACGUUUGUCCACAUCAGUUAAACCAUGAUACUUGUCUGGUAGUGGCAGUAAGGAUUUUGUGAGGAUCUCAAAAUUUUUCAUAUAAACAGAUAGUUCCCCUACAGUGAUAUCCAACAUGUCAAGAAUAUGGACAACAGGUAAACAACAAAAUGAGGAUAAGCAAUGAAUCAAUAUCAAUAUUAUCAGGAUUACACACUGAAAUCAAGUCCUAUAAUCAGAUAUAGCCCUGGACUCUAGAAGCCCAGGUUGAUUAAUUGUGCAGUCUGUUAUUUAGCUGUUUUUUUAUUCUAUCUGCUAAGUGAAGCAGGUUGCUUAACGUUUCACUAUUCAAAUUUAAUUUACAAUCAGGUGGUAAUACUAGGAACUCAAUCCACACAAAACAAAUUCUUCUCCACAAAUUUAAAGUUUAUAAGCAGCAUAAUGCAGAAAAAAAUGGGGAGUCUAAAGAGCAAACGUCAGGUUUGAAUGUUUGCUCGGCCAUAUAAGAAUAAUACUGGCAACUCUGAGCAAAGUACUGUAGAAAUAUACUUCAUGAAAGUCAUUGAUAUCCUGUGCUUUAAAAUUGAGGUGAAUACUGACCAGUGAAGCCAUAGAGAAAUUAAAUAUUUAGUUACUGAACCUUUCUCUGUCUUCUUUAUGGAUCCACUUGCACCUAAGAUAUCACCAAUAUCAAUAAAUGCCUUCAGUUGCUCAAAUUGGUCCUCCGUAAGGCUGUCUUUCUCACAGUAAAGCUAUCAUAGCCAAAAGAAAAAAAAUGCUCAGAAACACACAAUCAGUGCCAUACAAGUUAUCAUAUUUCUCUAGCUACUAAUAACAAUAAAUUCAAUUAAAACUGCAGAACAUGAUCUACCUCAUUUACAUAGUGGCUGAAUCGUUCGAGAAAAAAGAAUCAUACUGGCAGAAUGAAGAUUAUGUCAUUACCUAAUAGCGUUGGUGCCUAACUCAGCUGCUAUGUAAAAAUGCCUUACAAGUGCAACAAUAUCAGGUAGCAUAUCCACCUGAUAUCAAAUUCUAAGGUGAAAUGGUAACCAUGAUGAAUACAAGAGAAUCCUACACAAGAUCACAUUAUAAAUUACGAGUGUUGAUUGCAAACAUUAAGCUGACUGAAAAAUAAGUUGGCUAACAAAAAUACAAAAUAAGGCAAGUCAGUUUCAAGAACCUACCUGAAUAGUCCCAGUAUCGUCUCUUACAGUCAUGAAAACAAGCUUUCCAAAUGCCCUUCGGGCAACAAUCCUACCGGCAAUGGAGACCGCUGCCUCCUCACAGACUUCACCAUUCUCAAGAUGGGUGUACUCUUCCUGGAGCUCCUUAGUCGUGUGAGUCCUAUCCCACUUGUAAGCAUAUGGCUCAAAACCCUUUCCUCUUAGCUCCUCAACCUAGCAACCAGUCAAACCAACGAUCCCAAGCAUAUCAGUAGCAGCACCGACCAAGAAUUGGGGGGUAACAGAACGCUCGCACCUAACACUGCAGAACUGAAGACGCAUAGCUGAAGACGCACAGCAAGGCAAACCUGACCUUUUUGAGGCGAAUGGCGCGGAUGGAGUCGCGGUCGGAGGUGGAGCUGGAGCUGGAGGCACUACGGCGACGACGGUCCUGAGGCGGCGGCUUCUGGUUCGUGGUGGCGGCAGCCGCAGAGCAGCAGCGGAUGUGGAGUGGCCUCGCGGCGGAGGCGGCGGUGGCGGCGCGGGAGGCCGCGAAUCCGAGGAGAUUGGAGGAGGCCCUCCACGCCCGCAGCGCCUCCAUAAGAAUAAAUGGAUUUGUCUGGUGGCGUCUCCGCUGCUCUUCUCGGUUCGCUGCGCGAGUUGGAGAGGACGGCGGCAGACGACGCAAAAGGAAGAGUUGGAAAGGACGGAGGAGGUGGCCGGCGGCGCGGGAGGAGCAGGUCGUGGCGCGGGAGGGAGGACCAGGCGGCGGUGUCGGCGGCCAGCGGCGUGGUGCGGAGGCGGCGGCGGCGGCGGCGGUGUUGAGAAGAUAAGGCUGACGGGUGGUGUCGUUGAGGGAGCCGGUUUCAGUGACGGCGUAACUUGCGGCCCCAUAUCCGACGUCCAGAAUCCAUCCAACGGUUCCGGCGUAACUUUGAGAUUCUGAUCAAUUUUAUAUAUUUUGUGUAGCAGAAUCAUCUACGAUCAACUUCCCAAAUUAACAUUCGCGUUUUGAUGUCUUUAGAUACAUAAUUUUUCACUAUAAUUUUUUACUAUAGAUCCAGAUAUAUAUUAUAUUUAGAUAUAUAGUUUUUUCGGAGAAAGUAAUUAUUAAUAAGAACUUUUUACCUUAGUCCCGUUGGUGAGGGUUUAUUUCGACUUCGGUUUCACCUGUUUUGCGCAAAACGAGGCACUAUAGCAUAAUGCCGUUUUGUAAGUCGAGGGUAAAAUGAACCAGAAGCUAGAUAAAAUCGUUAUUUUUAACUUCACCGGCUUUAGCUUAGGAGAAGCCCCUCCAAACGGAUCCUUUACAUAUUCACAUCGAAAUAUAAGCACUCAAGAAGAAAUUAACUAUUUUGUGAGGAAGAACAAUUUGAAAAUCUGAACUUUGCAUUAUUCAGGUUCGUGGUGAGUCCAAUUCACUCUUCGAGUCUUUGACUCGACAUGAAUGCUCGUUUUUACAGCUAAUUAUUCUUAGAAUUGUAGCGACAUAUCUGUCGACGGUGAGACAUUUGUGUAACUUCAAUACAAGAUCUACCAGCUACCGGAGGUGUUCGCGAGGGUAAGUCUACCGUGUACGGUGCUGCAUAGCAUGGCCAUCUGUCUCGCUACUGUUUAUAUAAACGAAAAACAAUUCAUUUUAUUUUGCGGGAGAACAAUCGAAAUGACUCGGAUCAUGAGGGGCGCUCUAUACAUCGUGCGGAAGACAGGAAGUCUUUCCGUCGCACGGCCCAUCAGGCCCACGACAGCAUUUCUUCUUCCUCUCAACACCGUUCUUCUUCUCCCUGUAGCACUGCGCCGCCGCAUCUCCCUUCUUCAUCUCCGUCCAGAAGCCCCCGCCGUCUCUACCGCCCCGCCCGGCUCCGGCGGCGCCCUGCCGCCCCCGCAUCUUGCUCUGCCCAACCGGCCUCCACCACCACCGCGGCAGGCGGCGCCCCCACCGCCUCGCCGUCCCGCCCGCCCACCGCCACCACCGCCGGGCCGGCAACCACCCCCACCGCCGGGCCGGCAACCACCUCCACCCAUCCCUUUAUAGCCUCGGGACAUGGAGCAAUCCUAAACCCAACCCAAUCCCUAACCCUAACCGGAAUCCCAACGGGCGGCUCGUCGGCACAGGGGGUGGCGGCUCGUCGGUGCAACGACGGCGAGCGGUGCUGGAGCCCGAGUGUGCGGCGGCAUCAACAGCAUCUGGAGUGCGGCCGUGCGCGGGUAGAGGGGAGGAGAAAGGGUGAGUCUGCGCCAUUGAUGACUUAUCCUCGCACGAAUCUCAAAGUGGAAGAUUGAUAAGUUCCUCCCUCCCGGAAGAUGGAUAGGAUUGCCGGAUCAUGAGAGAACAAAACAAUGUUCGGGCCUAGCCCAGCCCAGUAUAGGUGUACAGGGCUUAGCAUCAUCAUCUCGUCGCCUGAUUUGUGAUGGUGGUGCUUCCCACCGGGCCGGUCCAUUCGCAAGCAGGCCGUGUCCUCUCCAUGGACGAUUUGCCCGCUUCUAUUUGUCGUCUGUCAGUGAUCCCACUCCGGCCAUAUCACACGCGUGCAGCUAACUGCCAACUCUGGCACAUGCGUGCUUUGAAUGCACAUGUACAGGACAAGUACUACAUGUAGUCAGUCUCGUAGUUUGUCUCAUGCAAAGUCACGUAUAAUUUUUGCUGAUGUGAAGAAGAGAGACAAAGAAGAGAGAGAAAAGUUGUUGUCUCGAGAAAAAACAGGCUCAUUGACAAAGUUUUCGCUUGAUGGGACAACCUGACUGCUGGAUAUAUAAGCACUUUUAGUUUUAAUUUAAUCCAGAAAUAAAUCAUGAAUACGAUCAACAGAUAGUAGAUUAAACUAGACAUGUCUACGCAAGAUCUAGACAAGUCUAUCAUUGCAAAUAGAAUCAUAUAUUCUACCAUACUAUCCAGUGCUAUCAGACUGCAACAGAUCAUAAUAGCUAGUAUGGAAGAUAUAAUUUGAGAUAAGAGAUCGUACGUUUCUUUCUUGAUGAAGACCGGCUCCUGGACGACUACCGAGUACAGCAGGUGACGACGAUCAGCAGCCUGACGUUGUUCGCGACGAUGAGUGACGCCCGAGCAACGAAGAGGUAGACGAGCCGUGGUGAAGGAGUCGACGAAGAACUUGACGAAGCGGAGGAAGCGAUCGAGCAGUCGCGCAGAGCGCUUCCCAAAAACCUUAUUCGCCCUCUCCCGGUGUAGGAUCGCUGAAGACGACGGUUCCGGAGACCUGCUCUCCCAAUCUCCAGUGCACGCCGACAAUCGGGAUGGAGUAGACUACGGUGGCGGCGCAGCAGCGAGAGUAGGCAAAAACCUAACUAGUACAGACCACCUUAGGGAUACCCUAACCUAGGGUCCUUCCCGUAUAGUAGUCUAUAUUGCAUCUUUUUCAUGAGGGAGGUGGUCCAUAUAUAUAGGGAGGAAAAGCCCCAACACCCUCAUCUAUUAGCAAUAUGAGACUAAUAGAUGGUGUACCUCCUCUUUACGCUAAUGGGCCUUUGAGAUUUAUUCAAAAUUAUCAUUUAUAUGGGCCAAGCCCAUAUAUCUAACAAUCCCCCACCAGAUCUCAAAUAUCCAUUUAGGUGUUUUGCACAUUUCUCACUACUGUUUGAUAUACCAGUAUUUCAGCAAGGACUGUUAAGUUGAACUCUCGCCUAGAGCUUCAAGCUACAUUCAUCCACAACUUGAACAAUGGACUAAGCCUUGAAUUGCAAGUUUUGUGCGGACAAGUUUCACUCAAAGUCGCAACUAGUACCUGGCUGCCAGUAGCCUACCACGCGGGUGGAGCAUAUACGUCAUACUGCCUGGUCUCUUCAUGAGCUUACUAGAGAUCACCCAAGUCUCACAGACUGCGACCUUACAACAGUCGGGCUCAUAUAGGUAUAUUUUUCCAAGAUGUUCUGCAGGGCAACAUCUUUGCUAAUUAAAGCCAACAAAAUAUAUUAAGGCAGUAGCCACCCUGCCAUGCAGUGGUUUGAGAGUGUUGCAUCAUUUCUCGAGUGGGUUAGUAGGAUACUCUCAUGCUAUCCAAUGGCUUGUUCUUCCCAGAUCCUACUUCAUGGGAUCUCUGAUCACAUAGGUUGGGUUACCACCAUGGUGUAGCUCAUAUGGGUCUCAUACCCAUCUUCUUUGAUGCACUGUCUAUCACAUUACGUGACAGCCCCUUAGUGAACUGAUCUGCCAAGUUGUUAUCAGUUAAGAUGUAAUCCACUGAUAUUACUCCGAAGUUUCUCAUUUUCCUGACAGAUUUCAGACGUCUCUUAACGUGUCUUGAUAACUUCAUAUUGUCCUUAGAAUUGUUCCCCUUUGACUAUCACCGUUUAAUUGUCACAAUUCAUAAGUAUUGUCGGCAUAGGUUUCUCGACAAUAGGCAAGUCCAUCAAGAGUUCACGUAGCCAAUCAGCCUUAACUGUGGCUGUAUCUAAUGCUGCAAGUUUUGCUUCCAUGGUAGACCUCGUCAAGAUAGUCUGUUUGGAUGACCUCCAUGAAACAGCAUCACCACCAAGAGUGAAGACGUAUCCACUUGUGGCAUACAGUUCAUCAGCAUCAGAUAUCCAAUUUGAAUCACUAUAGCCUUCCAGCACCGCAGGAUACCCGGAGUAGUGAAUUCCGUAAUCCAUAGUACCAACUAAAUAGCGCAUGACUCGCUCAAGCGCACGCCAAUGAUCAUCUCCCGGAUUAGAGGUAAAGCGGCUCAGUUUGCAAACAGCAUAUGAGAUGUCAAGCCUAGUAGCACUGGCUAAAUACAUAAGUGAUCCAAUAAUCUGAGAGUAUCUUAAUUGAUCUCUACCAAUUCUCUUGUUUUUCCGAAGUAUCAAGCUCGGAUCAUAAGGUGUGGGAGAAGGCUUACUGUCCUUGAAGCCAAACCGGCUCAAGACCUUUUCCACAUAAUGAGAUUGCGUGAGAGUAAUCCCAUUCUCUCCUUUGAUCAACUUGAUAUUCAGAAUUACAUCAGCCUCUCCUAGAUCUUUCAUGUUAAAAUUUUGGCACAAAAAUGACUUGACCUUUUUAAUCACGUCAAGAUUUAUACCAAAGAUCAGUAUGUCAUCGACAUACAAGCACAAUAUAACUCCCUCACCCCCACCAUGGUGGUAGUACACACAUCUAUCAGACUCAUUGACAGAAAAGCCUGCUGAUAUGAGUGUAGUAUCAAAUUUCUCAUGCCACUGCUUAGGUGCUUGUUUCAGGCCAUACAAAGAUUUCAGCAAUUUACACACCUUGUUCUCUUGACCCUUUAUUACAAACCCAUCAAGCUGAUUCAUAUAAAUUUCCUCAUCCAACUCUCCAUUAAGGAAAGCUGUCUUAACAUCCAUCUGAUGGACGAGAAGACCAUGCGAGGCAGCAAGGGAAAGUAAUACUUGAAUACUGGUCAAUCUCACAACAGGUGAGUAAGUGUCGAAGAAAUCUUCGCCUUCUUUCUGGGAAUAACCCUUAGCCACAAGUCGAGCCUUGUACUUAUCAAUAGUACUAUCAGGCCUAAGCUUAUUUUUGAACACCCACUUGCAACCCACAGGUUUACAACCAUGCGGUCGAUCAACAACCUCCCAAGUUCCAUUAGAAAGAAUAGAGUCCAUCUCACUAUGGAUAGCUUCUUUCCAGUCAUCUGCAUCUGGAGAUGCAAAUGCCUCUGAAAUAGUCUUAGGAGUAUCGUCUACGAGAUAGACAGUGAAAUCAUCACCAAAGGACUUUGCAGUUUUUUGUCUCUUGCUCCUCUUAGGAGCUUCACUGUUAACCUCCUCAUGAACUGGCUCAAGUGUUUGUUCAGCAUGAUCAGGAAGCACAAUAGGUUCAGGAGUUGUCUCAGCAAUCAUAUCAGAAGAUAGUCUAGACAUACUAUGCAAUUGUUUCAUAGGAAAUAUAUUCUCAAAGAAAGUAACAUCACGAGACUCCAUCAAGGUAUUAACAUGAACAUCAGGCACCUCUGAUUUAACCACUAAAAAUCUAUAGGCUAUGCUAUGAUGAGCAUAUCCCAAAAAGACACAAUCCACAGUUUUAGGUCCCAACUUACGUUUCUUGUUGAUUGGCACACUAACUUUGGCCAAGCAACCCAAGUGCGUAAGUAUGAAAGUGAUGGUUUUCUUCCAAUCCAUUCUUCAUUGGGAGUUUUCUCCUUAUUCUUCAUGGGUACUUUAUUCAAGACAUGACAUUAAGUCAAUACAGCCUCCCCCCACCAUGCCUUAGAUAAUCCAUUGGUGUCUAACAUGGCGUUCACCAAGUCAGUCAAGGUGCGAUUCUUUCUUUCGGCAACCCCGUUUGAUUGGGGCGAAUAGGGAGAUGUCCUCUCAUGUAUAAUACCAUGUUCUUCACAGAACAAGUCGAAAUCAUUAGAGAAAUACUCACCACCACGAUCAGACCUAAUUCUCUUGAUCUUUUUCUCAAGUUGAUUCUCAACUUCAGCCUUAUAGAUUUUAAAGUAGUUAAGAGACUCAUCUUUCAUUUUCAAUAAAUAUACAUAGCAAUAUCUAGACGCAUCAUCUAUCAAAGUCAUGAAAUAUCUUUUUCCACCUUUGGUCAACACACCAUUCAUCUCGCAUAUAUCAGAAUGAAUUAGUUCAAGUGGUGCCAAGUGUCUCUCCUUGGCCACCUUCUGAGGUUUUCGAGGUUGCUUAGAUUGCACACAACUAUGGCACUUAGAACCUUUGACAAUGGAAAAAUUCGGAAUUAAACACAGACUGGAAAGUCGAGACAUAGAACCAAAAUUCAGAUGACAUAAACGUGAAUGCCAAACACUAACAUCACUCUCAUUAAUACCAUCACAAAUAUAGUUCACAGACUUAUUGCAAUAACCUGAUAAGGAAAAGCGGAACAAGCCUCCACACUCAUAGCCUUUACCAAUAAAUUGUCCACUCUUAGACACGACAAUUUUAUUAGACUCAAGCACUACCUUAAAACCAUCCCUACACAAAAGGGAGCCACUAACUAGAUUCUUCCUGAUAGAAGGGACAUGCUGCAUGUUCUUCAGUUCCACGAUCUUUCCCGAAGUAAACUUCAGAUCUACCGUACCAAUACCAUGAAUAGAAGCAUGUGACCAUUCCCCAUUAGGACGAAGGAAUCCCGAGCGACCUGGUAAGAUGAAAACAAGGAGGCAUCAGCACACACAUGAACAUUAGCACCAGUAUCAAGCCACCAAGUAUUAGUAGACUGAAACACUGAAAAAACAGAAGGUAAAUUACCAUACCCACUAUUUCCGUCUCCAGCGCUGGUUACCAUGCUCACAGACUUCUGCUGUGGAGGUUUUCUUCCUUUGCGAUUUGGGCACUUCUUUGCCCAAUGGUCAGUAGAACCGCACACGAAGCAUCCCUCGUUCUCCUUGUUCUUCUUCUUCUUGAAGGUAGUGGACUGCUUAGGCUUAUUGUUCUUGCCCUUGCCCUUGCCACCAUUGCCAUUGUGAUGUGAUUGGUGCACCAUAUUGGCACUGGUCUGACCCUCAAAAGCUUUAGAUCGUCCAUCUUUAGCCCGAUCUUUCUCCUCAACAUCAAGAGACGCAAUCAAUUCUAAAACAGAAAUUUUUGUCCUCUUGUGUUUGAGAGAAGUAGCGAAAUCCCUCCAGGAUGGAGGUAACUUGAAAAUAAUGCCCCCAGCCACAAACUUGUCGGACACGACAAUCUUUAGCAGAUCGAGUUCCUUUACCAUGCACUAUAAUUUAUGAGCCUGAGCGACUACAGAUUUUUCAUCAACCAUCUUGUAGUCAUGAUACUGCUUAAUGAUGUACAGUUCAGUGCCAAAAUCUGAGCCACCGUAGUUGGCAGUCAGAUCGUCCCACAACUUCUUUAUGACCAUGUGAUGAAGGUACACAUCCUGCAGAUGUUCUGCAAGUGCACCAAUCACAGCGCCCAAGAAGAUUGUGUUGGCUUCCGAAUAUUCUUUCUCCUUUUCAGGAGAGAGAACCCCUUUCGGCUUGCCAUUGGACACCCAGAACACCUUCAUGGCAGUAAGCCACAGUGUGGCUUUCACCUGCCACCUCUUAAAGUGCACGCCAGCAAACGGUGCUGGCCUCAGUGCAUCAAGAAAUCCAGCCAUAAAACUAAAGUACCUACAAUAAGGUUUUUGGAUUGUUGGAUAUAUAAGUACUUUUAGUUUUAAUUUAAUCCAGAAAUAAAUCAUGAAUACGAUGAACAGAUAGUAGAUUAAACUAGACAUGUCUACUCAAGAUCUAGACAAGUCUAUCAUUGCAAAUAGAAUCACACAUUCUACCAUACUAUCCAGUGCUAUCAGACUGCAACAGAUCAUAAUAGCUAGUAUGGAAGACAUAAUUUGAGAUAAGAGAUCGUACGUUUCUUUCUUGAUGAAGACCGGCUCCUAGACGACUACCGGGUACAGCAAGCGACGACGAUCAACAACCUGACGUUGUUCGCGACGAUGAGUGACGCCCGAGCGACGAAGAGGUAGACGAGCCGUGGUGAAGGAGUCGACGAAGAACUUGACGAAGCGGAGGAAGCGAUCGAGCAGUCGCGCAGAGUGCUUCCCAAAAACCUUAUUCGCCCUCUCCCGGUGUAGGAUCGCUGAAGACGACGGUUCCGAAGACCUACUCUCCCAAUCGCCGGUGCACGCCGACAAUCGGGAUGGAGUAGACUACGGUGGCGGCGCAGCAGCAAGAGGAGGCAAAAACCUAACUAGUACAGACCACCUUAGGGAUACCCUAACCUGGGGGCCUUCCCGUAUAGUAGUCUAUAUUGCAUCUUUUUCAUAAGGGAGGUGGUCCAUAUAUAUAGGGAGGAAAAGCCCCAACACCCUCAUCUAUUAGAAAUAUGAGACUAAUAGAUGGUGUACCCCCUCUUUACGCUAAUGGGCCUUUGAGAUUUAUUCAGAAUUAUCAUUUAUAUGGGCUGAGCCCAUAUAUCUAACACUGACCACCGUUGUACGCCGCGUCGUUGCAAGGGAAGUCGAUUUUUUCUCCUUGUCGGAUCUCCUGCGCAGUUUCCUCUUCUCCGCGCUAAGCCUUCUUCCCUCCACGCGCAAAAUCGAUUUUGUAGCGUGAAGCUGCGUGCCAUUUUUUCUAUUGUUCAUUCUUGGCUUAUCAUCUGCCGCCUCUCCCUGACAUAUAAAAAGAAUCAUCUGAAUCUCCUCCUUUGCUCUCAACCCACGUCAUCCCUCUCCGGCUCUCUGACGCCCUAGGCCAUGAUGGCGCUGAUGGUGACCGGUGAGGUAUGAUGCCGUCGAUGCCUGCUGCUCCAAAUGGUGCACGUCCCGACAGUCGAACCCAGCACACCCCUCGUCGUCCCUGCCCACGAGCAUGGCUCUUUAAGCAAAGAGGGCUGCAGCACCCCAGGGGGCAUCUCCAUCACCGGCACAAGCAUCGAAGGCAACUCCAGAUUCAAUCGCCACUAACCCUACAUGGUUGUCCAUGCCUCCUGCCUUUGUACCCAACUGUUCUUCCCCAAUGGUCAACUCAGAUCUGAAUGCCACUUACGCUGAACUAGGUUCUCACCCACCUGGUGGUUUCCUAAGUUACUUUCAACCAUCAGACUACUCUCAUCCUAAAGAAGUUCGACGUGAGACACCCAUGUCACCUAAUUUUGUUUAUGCUAGUGGCCCUACUCCAUAUGCUCCAUUCCAGGCACCACAACCAUGGAUGGCUGAAGGUUGGACAUCGCAAUCAGCCCCCAAACAAGUCACUACACAUUCAUCACUUGGCUCACAAGCUGCUCCUGUUGUCGAUGUUGAAAACAUUGAUGAUAAUGGAGUCAAUCCAAGCACGUUAUCGAAAAAAGAUGCUGGUGGAAGUAGAACUGGGAGGAGGAUGAUAUGGACAUCUGAUGAGACCAUGAGAUUGGUAAAUUAUCUUUAUGCUUCCAUUUAGUUCUAUAAUUAAAUCUCUAAAUUAUUAUCCAAUAUUCUUAAUGUUUCCACAUUAUCUAAGUUUCUAUAUAUACAAUGCAGAUCAGUGCUUGGUUGAAAAACUCAAAUGAUCUAAUUAAAGGGAACCGGAAGAGAAAUGAUCAAUACUGGGGAGCACUAACUAGCAUGUUUAAUAGCACGACCCCAAGUGAUCGUAUUAGAGAAGUUAAGCAAUUGAAAGAACAAUGGCAUCGUGUGAACAGAACUGCAAAUGCCUUUCAAGGUUCUUGGAUGAAAGUACAACGUCUUCGUGCCAGUGGAGAGUCUGAUGAGCAGGUAAUGGACAAAGCCAUAGCUUUUUAUGAAGAGGAUUUCGAAGAAGGUCAAUUCAAACUCAUAGCUUGUUGGAAGGCUCUUCGAGAUCAACCAAAGUGGCAUGCCUACAAUGAGGAUCUUAAUGAAUCUAACAAAAGAAAGAAUUCUGAGUCAGAGGCUGUGGACCUGACAUCAUCUCCUGAUGUUCUCAAUGAUCUGCCGCGUCCAGUAGGGUGUAAGAAAGCUAAAGAUGAAAGCAAAGGGAAAGGAAAGGGGAAGGGUUCAUCAUCAACUUUGGAUGAGAUUGAAAAGUUGAGAGAAGGUCAAGCCAAAUCUAAGGAAGAUCGCAUUGAGGUGCUGGAGAGACACCAACAAAUUGCCGCGGACAAGAAGGAAUCAGCAAGACUGAACCACCUUGCAGCACGAGAGAAGAAGGAGGCAAAAUUACUUGAAAAGGAAGGGAAACUGCGUGAUAAAGAAUCCAAAUUGCUGGAAACAUAUAAAUCACUUCUUACUUUUGACACAAGGCAUAUGCCUGAGGACUUGAAAGCUGAGCAUAUGAUUGCUGCGAAGAGUACGAGGGAGAGGAUUUUUGCUAAUUUUGCUUCGUGAUAGGAGGUAUGUUUUCUUUUUCGAACUGAAAUUUAUGACUAAGAAACCAAUUUGCUUGAAAUCUCAUGUAAGCAGGUCUUCUUUUUUUCAGGUUGUUUGAGAGGAUGGUCCAGCAUUGCUAGUGCCUUGGAGGGCUUGUUUUACUUUUUUCUGGUACUAGUUAAAAAUAAAGCUGCACAUUUAGGUAGCCUCGUAUAAGGUUAGGUUACUGUUGCAGCUACGAGCUUACAUAUGUUUUGUUUUAUCACUCGGGCCAUUGGAUAUUUUUUUUAAAAAAUUAUUUGCUAUCGACAAUUCAAUUGUUUUGGUUCAGAGUACUAGUCUGAUUGGCCUAGGAGCAACAUUAUUUGUUAGUCAAGUCCAAGUCGGACUACCGUGCCUUGUGCACUUACGUCAGGUCCAAGUUGAGUCAGGAUUGAUUGCCGGCUUUGGACUCUAGCAUACGCGUUGGAUUUUCACUUUGCAAUACAACUUUAGCAUCCGAGUCGAUUAAGCUCUGUAUAAUUUACGGCUGCUGCGACGUAUUAUUCACAUAAUCCGGUGCAACGAACAAAAGCACAAAGUGCAGCCGUAAGACUAGUCAUAAUCCAGUAUGUCGCAUCAAUCAAGUUCAUCUAGCUCCUCCAACUAUUCUGAUGAGUCGCUUGAGUCGUUGGACUUAGACGAUGACUACAAAGAUUUUAUGGGCGAGCAAGAAGCUUUUGACUCUAUCGCCGAAGCUUUUGAGUCAAAAUUGAAGUCACAACAUGAAGCAGAAACUAUCGAAGAAGCAGCACUAGGAUAUACAUAUUGAGGGAUCGAGAACAUGCCCACGAAGAGCUUGUGUCCCAAUAUUUCUCAGAGGAUCCCAUCUACACCGACUUCAUGUUCCGCACAAGGUUUCGGAUGAAAAGGCUGCUCUUUCUACGAAUCGGCGAUGCCCUACGUAAGUGGUCUUAAUAUUUCACUCAACGGACAGAUGCCAGUAAUCGAAAAGGACUUUCACCAUUGAUCAAAUGUACGGCCGCAAUGCGUAUGUUAGCAUAUGGCACCCCGCAGACUCGCUUGAUGAGAACCUAAAUAAAUUAAGCUGCACGUUAGUUGCCUGUUGAUUGAACAGCUCUAAAUAAAUUAACGCUAUUGUACCAGCAUAUUCUGCGCGUCUCAUAUCUGCAGGGACAAAAUCGAUCUCCUCGAUCGAACCAUCCAAAACCUAACAAAAGAAAAAGAGAGAGAUCAAAUUAGUGCUAGACAGGGAGAUCAAUAGACAAAAUUAGAGGAGGGAUAAACAAAGAAUUUAAGCUCAAUACAGCCGCUUAGCAGCUAGCCGAAUCAAAAUGUUUCCCUGUGAAUGCGAGGCGACGACGAUGAUGAGCAGAGAUAACAACGCCAGUGCUGGCGUCAUCAUCUCUGCAGGGCCCCAGAAGCGGAAGAACAGGUGGAAAUGGCAUUAUACUUGGCGGAUCGACUAAUCUAUAAUGAAGCAGCAGGUGCAUUCUUAUUAAGCCAGUCAUUGUUUCAAUGUACAUUUAUUAAGAUUGGAAAUUAAGCCAGUCAUUGUUUCAUUGUACAGUUAUUAAGAUAGGAAAUUAGGUAACUCUACCAGUUGAGUUUCAUCCUCUCACAUAUGAUGAAACUCCUCCUUCUCUCUCCUCAUAAAUAGCUUGCCAAGUCAGCAAAAUUGAUGAUGAAAUAUAAAAAUUAAUGCUAAUGAAACUCUUCAUAAAACUCACACUAAGACCGGCCUUACUUACUUACUAGGGCCUAGUAAUCAGGUUAAAAUAGUUUCCACGGAUCGAUUGAUUGGCCCGUUUCUUCCGCGCACAUUUCACCUAGAAAUUAGAACUGGUGGCCACCUAGGUACAAGACUGCUCGUGUAGUCGCGUGGCACACAAAACUGAUUGGGAUGGCCGGCCAUCUCGUUAUCGAAGCACGGGUCCCGCUCGCGGAUCCGAUGGAUCCGGCGCAAGAACGAACAACGCUUCCGGCCGGCGUGGCUCGAAUUCGCCCCGCACACCGAUCUUUGACGUUUUCGAUGUUUUGGUGUGUGAUGUGAGGUUCAGGCGCUGAUGAUCCAAUGAAUGAUAUAUAUGCUUCCUGCAGCAGUAUUGCUCAUCGGAAAAGGAGAUGCUGCAGACGGCUUGUGUUGUGUCCGAUCCUCGAGCAAUCUCGCUCAGCAGAAGCGGCCGCCAGGAGAGGCGCAGCGUCGAACUCCGGAAGCAGGUUGGCGUCUCUUUCGUGCAUGACGGGACGGCUGGUGCUUCGCCAUCCUCUCCUCUCCAUCCAUCGCUACAGUAGUAUGCGUCGAUCGCUAUAUAUAGCUAGCUAGCAGUACUGGUGACUGGAACGGUGCCGGCCCGAUUCCCGCCCAACCCACCAGCAGCCCAAGCCAUCAGCCAAUGGCAACACCACUGCCAGGGCCCAGCAGGAGCACAGAAAGCUAGUGUGAUCCGGCACGGUGGUGCGACGGGCAAGGGCGGCGCUCGAUUCGUAUGGCAAGACGCACAGGGGAGGCCGCCGGUGGAGCUGCUGGCCGGAGCGGCGGCGAAGACUUGGACGCAUGUGUCACUGUUGUGCGGGAACGCCGGAUCGGGUGGGCGCGAUACCGGCCGGCGGGGCCAGCCCCCCGGCCGUCGCGUUCGGGAUUCCUACCUAACCAACCGUCCACAUCUGCGGUGACCGACCUUACCACGUCGGCGACGACUGACCUGACCGCCUCCCCCAGCCGGAGCAGCUAGCGCCUCUCACCGCCGGCGAGGGGCCCGGCCCAACCAACUCACAUCGCCCUGAGUCCCUGACCCGACCCAACCCCUCCAUCGAGCUGAGCCCGACCCAUGUUUCCAACGAGCCGGACCGAUCUUGUUGUCGAUCCACUGUGCCACCUUGUGGUCCAAUCCUGGAUAAAUACACAACGUGACGGGUCGAUUUGGACGCAUCAAAGUGUCAAGUUCUCAUAUUGAAUUAAUCAAAUUACAAGUUCUUCACCCUACUUCUUGUAUCUCAGAUGUAAUUUACUCUUCAAUAAAUUUAGUGUUCGAAAACCACGCAUAUAUUGAAGCGAAGGUACUAACUAUACAUGUACAAGUGAGACAGUAUAUCAUUUUAAAAAGAUUAAAAAAGCGAUUCCGUGUAAAGGUAACAAAAUUAACUAGCACGUUCUAUUGAAAUAAAACAUUUGAAAUAAAGUAAAAAAAUACCAUGAACACAUUUUUCAUGAUAAAUUUAGUAGCAUCCAGCUUGCAUUAUUGCUAACCUACAUAUUUUUUAUAUCGAUGGUUGAAAUUAAAAAAGUUUGAUCAGCAGUGUCCGAAAAAGCAGACGUACUAAUCAUACAUGGAGAGGAAAGUCCAACAGUAUAUCAUUUCCAAAAAAAAUUAAAAAUUGUUACAUUUAGACUAAUCCCAAUGACUUGUAUCAUAGGACUACUCACUAAUAAGGUGCCACACGGGAUAUAUGUUCUGAUAACGUGGCAGGGCAUUUAAUAGGAAAAAGAUGGAAACUAUAUCUACGAUAUAGCUUUGGCAUAAUAUUAUGGCAUAAAAUCUAACGAUAUGGCCCACUCUUAUAGACAGAACCUCACAACAACAAAUUACUUUGAUACUGGAGUACAAUACUACACACUUAUGAGGGUGUAUCUUUCUAAUAAGUAUCAUAUACUUCUCAUCCCUAUAUGGUAUUAUUGGAUAUUGGAGUAUGAUAUUGUGGAUUAUGAUGAACCAGAUACUCCAAAAUAGGCCUACCUACUCUUUGUCUUUGCCCUUCUCAGCAGCAUUUACUCCAAAAUAGCCAGCCGGUGCCCCUGCCUUUACUCGCACAGUUGCAGCAGUAGUACAUCCAUCCACCAGAGACAGGGAGAGAGAAGCCUAUAUAUAACGCCCAAUCCUGUUAGCUGCAGAGAGAGCCUCUACCCUCCCCUGCUAGUGCUGGCAGCCGCUGGUUUGGCUGCUUCCAUUGCAUCUCCGCACAUCUCCAGCCUAGGUAGCUACCAUCAAUGGGGAAGGCGGUGCUGAGCAAGAGCUGGCAGGAGUCGAAGCUGCUGUGGCACAUCGCGUUCCCGGCCAUCCUCACCGCCGUCUUCCAGUUCUCCAUCGGCUUCGUCACCGUCGGCUUCGUCGGCCACAUCGGCUCCGUCGAGCUCGCCGCCGUCACCGUCGUCGAGAACGUCAUCGAGGGCUUCGCCUACGGCGUCCUGGUAAUUGUUAAUCUAUCGAAUUCUCCCCCUUAUCAUUAUGCACGCCAACUAAUUAACAAGUAUACUUACUGGCUGCCUCUCAUAAUAAGGCGACGAUCUGACCACAUGCAUCACUGCAUAUACAUAGUAAUACACGAUAGCUCUGUAUUGUAUAUGCAACGCUGAACAAACUAUAGCUGCAUGGAACGUAGCGUCUGCGCGUUCUUAUCAUCUCGAUUAAAAUCUUGGAAAGUAAUAAACUUUUCAUUAUCGAAAAAAAAUUCUUCCCACUUGGCAUAUAUUCCCGUUGUCUUUCAUCACAUAUAUACCAUUUUCAAGUGAAAAAAAAUUCUGUUUUUUCUUUCUUUAGAAUUAGGAUACACAAUUAUGGUCGGAUUAAGACAAUGAUAUAUCCGGGUAAAGUAAAUAUAUGCUAAUCCAGGAAUUGCUGGCGGGGUGCAGUGGUUUGCACGUCUCCAUCGCCCGUUCUCACGUAUCUGCAAUUUGUUCGGUUCCUUGUCAUGGAGGGUGCAACGAGAGGACAAGGUUUUCUGGGGGAGGAACACAUGCGCGCACAGCUAAAGAAACGCUCGAAUUGAUUCGUAAACUAACGCUGCCUCGCGAACCUUCAUGUGCUCGAAUAUAUGCUUUAUGAAACAGAAUCAAGAAACGCCAGCAGCUAGCUAAUGCGAGUGAGUGCUUUAGUUUUCACGAGCCUGCUUGUCCUGUGAUAAUUUUGGCCGUGCAUGCGUGUAGCUGGCGGUGAUCCCACGCACUUCGAAUGGAGAAAAAAUAACCAUGGACAAUCUUUUCCGGUUGUUUUGUCAAAUAAAAGGCAGUGCGAUCGAACUUUUAUUGUUGGGACGAAAGCGACUAGGAUCACAUGCGUAUAGUAUGCACAAAAAGGAGAAAGCGGAUUGCAUGUACAUUGUGUGGCAGAUGGAACACCAAGUAAACGUUUUUAAAGGUAAAAAACGAACGCCAUGUGUAAACCUAACCACUAGCUAACGAUGACCCGAGCACGGACCUACAUUGGUAGCAAGUCUCGUAGUGAUGAAUCGGGUGGGGUGACCGAUUCGAUGGCCGACAUUGCACCGCCUGUAAAAGCAAUCAGGCCAAGAUGAUGCACGAUAAAGCUGGAAAAAGGAAGCAACAACACAACGGGGAGAUUGCGUCUCACCCAAAGUACCCCUAUCUAGACCUGCCAAGCUCCACACUCCCCGGAAGUUGGUGGAAGCAACACACGCAUGGCAUGUACACCUGUUCGAGACUAGAACACAAACCGUGCAUCUAGACAGAUUAUUAGCACCGAAAUCACGCAUGUUUUGUGCGGCAGCGCGGCGCUCUAAGUGUCCUCCGAUCCGUCGUGCAACCACGAACUCAUCAUCAUCGGUGCACGGGUCUUGUGGCUCCUUUUCCGUGUCUAGGUGGUCAAACUUGCGUGCACAAAAUGUGGCGCGAAACAAGCUGCCUUCUGGCUGGUUGCGGCGUCUCAUCUCUGGUGUGUGGCAGCGGCACCAUCUGGGGAAAGGCCAAACUCGUGUGUUGACCAGCAAGCAAUCGGCCGAUCGAUGGCGACGACACGUCGGGAGAGACGCGCGCCAUCUGCCGGCGGUCGUUUUCGAAUCGGUAGGUGACGCCGUGCCGAAGGAUGAGGGAAAGUAGCUGGACCCGAUGAGAACUAAGAGAUCUCUCUGUCUCUCUCUCGAUCGUCACCUUCUUCCCAGCUACUGACAACCAAGUAAGCCCUGUGUGAAGCUUUCCUGCCGCGCAACAAUGCAGUACGGGACUCGGGAGCAAGGCAGCGCAUUUCUCUUUUCUCGUUUUCUUUUCCCGUCUCAUUUCCUUGACCUUGUCCACACGCUAAUUAAACAUAGUACAUCUCGUCCAAUAUGCUUACACACUGUUACACGAAUGCGUUCUUUGCUCUCUAAUUCUUCCUUUUUAAUAUUAGAGGCACAAAAAUUGUUCCUAGUUUACCUGAUUCGAGAAGUACAUCUACCACUAUGUCGUAUACGGUCACGAGCGCCGCCAAUAGAUUAUUAUGCUAUCCUCUCUGGUUACCAAACAGACGUGGACAUGGUCUUCAAAAUAGAUUUUCCCCCCUUUUGGUUUGGAUUAUUCGAUAUUAUAUGUUUCGGACCUCUUGUCAUUAUAAUAUUACUAGUCCAUCAACCCGUGCUCCCGCACAGGCUACUAUUUUUAAAAUCUAUUGUAUUUGAAAAUUAUUUAGAAAUUAAACUCCUAGCUAUUAAUCAAAAUUAUUUACCUACUACUCUCUCAUGUUUUCAAUACUUCAACAUAAUACUCAUAUAGAUGUAUACUUAUCUUUGUCCAGUUAUGAUUGAUUUUUAAUUAUCCACAUUCACAUUUUUUUCAUAUUGUAUCGCAACUCCAUGCAUUGUGUUUAGCAUAAAAAUAUAUUUUUCAUCACCUUUUCACAUAUACAGGUAUAAAUAGCCUAUAUGGUGACAUUCAUCAUGCGUAUAUACCUUAACUUAGUAUUUCUAUAUUAACAAUAACAUAAAUAGGUAAUUUGGAAUCAUAUAUUAGCUUAAUUUUGGAUAUUUUUGUAUGAUGCGAUGAUAAUUAGAUUAAGAUUUAGGUGUUUACUUUAUGUUAUUUUUAAUUACAACAUAAGUGGGUAACUUAGAUACAAAUUUAGAAUGAUAUUUUAAGUUAUGCUUUAUAAUGAUAUGUAUGAGUAAAUUGGAUGAAGAUUGUAACGUUACUUUAGAUUAUUUUUUAUAAUAGUAAUGAUCGGUAAUUUAGAUAUAGGUUUAGGGUUUAUUUUAGAAUAUUUUGAUAAUAAUAGUGGUGGGUAAUGUUUUAGAAAAUAUAAUAGACCAAUGACUAUGAUUGUUAGAGUUUACGUGAUUGAUGUUUGAUGUUUUGAUUUUUACGAGAAUUUCUAGGAUUUGUAGGUUUUUUCUAGUGUGUCUCGUGAUAACCAAUAUGGAGUCUCCAAUGGAAAAAAAAAUAAGGUCACAUUGCUACAAAACUAUUACUUUAAACUACCUCUCAUUUGUUAAAUGUUCGAACAUAAUAAUUAUAUAGAUAUAUACUUAUUACCUUCAUUUGAUUGUGAUAUAUUUCAUUAGUAAUUACUCUACAAUGUUUUCAUCCACAUUUACAAUCCUUACCUUUUCACUUUUCACUUUGCAUUGCAGAUUUGUGAUUGAAUUUAUUUAAUACAUCCUAAAUUUGAGCUAUAAUUUUAACAUAGAAAUCUAUAUUCUCAUCGCAUCCUUUAUAUAUUUAUAAAUGGUGACAUACAUCAUGCGUAUGUAACUUAAUUAUUAUAUCAUAUACCAAUAGUGUAAGAAAUAUAUGAUUUAGAAUCACAUAUUAGUGUAUAUUGUUAAUUAAGUGUAUAUUGUUAAUUAAGGUGAUUUGGAUUCAAAUUUAGGGCUACCUCAUGUUAUUUUUAAUAAUGGUAUAUGUGGGUAAUAUAGAUGCAAAUUUUAGAGAUUACGUUUAUGUUAUUUUUAAAGUAUUAGUGGUGGACAAUUUAGUUGCAAAUUUAGGGGGUUAUUUUAAAUAAUUUUUAUAAUGGCAUCAGUGGGUAAUUUUGAUGAAGAUUAGGGGUUACUUUAGGCUAUUUUCAUAAUGGCAUAGGUGGGUAAUUUUUUUAAAAACAGAUCAAAUGGUCAUGAUGAUUUAAUUAUACUUAUUGAUGACCAGAUGUUUUGCUUUUUUUGAGAAUUUAUAGGAUUUCUCUAUUUUUCUACUUUUUUAAGAAUUUAUAUAAUUUCACUAUUUUUCUAGAGUGUCCAUUUAGGAUCAUAGGUGGCUUCAUCGAGAUCAGUAAUAGUAAGAUUUUGCGAUAGAAGUUGCAUGAACAAAUUUGCACGAACCAUAAAGUAGGUGCGAAAAUACUGAAACUUCACUUGAUUUGUUAUCCUACAAUGGCCGGAUGACUUCGAUUUAUGACCGCUAAGGUUUGAUCGAUCGGAUGACUUCGAUUUAUGCUCGCUAAGGUUUAAUAAUCGGAUUAACAAAUCUUGCGGAUUCGAAGGUUGAACUCUAUUUCCCGCCGGCUGACCGACGACGCUGUGUGUUGAUCAUCCAUGGCACGCAUGCAGCUCGGCAUGGGCAGCGCGCUGGAGACGCUGUGCGGGCAGGCGGUGGGCGCCGGUCAGGUGGACAUGCUGGGCGUCUACAUCCAGCGCUCCUGGCUCAUCUGCGGCGCCACCGCGGUGGUCCUCACCCCGGCGUACCUCUUCACGGGCCCCAUCCUCCGCGCGCUCCGGCAGCCCGACGACAUCGCCGCUGUCGCCGGGACCUACUGCCGCUGGGUGGUCCCGCAGCUCUUCGCCUAUGCCGCCAACUUCCCGCUGCAGAAGUUCUUCCAGUCGCAGAGCCGGGUGUGGGUCGUCACCCUCAUCUCCGGCGCCGGGCUCGCCGCCCACGUCGCGCUCAACUACGUCUUCGUCACGCGCCUCGGCCACGGCCUCCUCGGCGCCGCCGUCGUCGGGAACGUCACCUGGUGGCUCAUCAUCGUCGCGCAGAUGGGGUACCUCGUCUCCGGAUGCUUCCCGGAGGCGUGGCGCGGGUUCUCCAUGCUCGCGUUCAAGAACCUCGCCGCCUUCGUCAAGCUCUCGCUCGCGUCCGCCGUCAUGCUCUGGUUGGUACAUCUGAUUAUCUCUGCUUAAUUAUUGAAGCAGCGGUUUUGGAUUAAACUAACAAAUUAAUUCGUUCAUUUUUCUUAGUUUGGAGCUCUGGUACUACACUGCGGUGCUCAUCCUUGUGGGUUACCUGAAGAACGCGCAACUUCAGAUUGACGUCAUGUCCAUUUGGUGAGCAACCCACAACAAUAAUUCUAUGUGACUUAUAUAUCCUCACAUAGAUUCAAUUUAUUUAUUUAGAACAGGGUAAUUUUGUCUUGAAAAACAUUUAAAGAUAAUUUAACCAACCAAUUGCAUGGUGCGAAAUUUUACAGCAUCAAUUACCAGCUCUGGACACUGAUGGUUGCACUGGGCUUCAACGCAGCAGUCAGGUAAUUAAUCAUCACAAGAACUCGACUACUCGAGCAUCAUUCAGCUCGGUAUCUCAAUUGAGAGCUGACGCCCAAAUUUAAACUGCUCUGCUACAAUACAGCGUGAGGGUGUCGAACGAGCUGGGCGCGAACCGGCCCAAGGCCGCCAAGUUCUCGGUGAUCAUGGCGGUGCUGACGUCGGGCUCCAUCGGCGCCGUCUUCUUCGCCGUGUUCCUGGUCUGGAGGACCGGGCUGCCCCGGUUCUUCAGCGAGGACGAGGACGUGCUGAGGGAGGCCGCCAAACUGGGCUACCUCCUCGCCGGCUCCAUCUUCCUCAACAGCAUCCAGCCCGUGCUCUCCGGCGUGGCCAUCGGCGCAGGGUGGCAGGCGCUCGUCGCCUUCGUCAACAUCGGCAGCUACUACUUCGUCGGCAUCCCGCUCGCAGCGCUCUUCGGCUUCAAGCUCAAAAUGGACGCAAUGGUAUGUCAGACUGAUCGAGUAGACAAUUUUCAGUUUGAUCAAUGUAAACAUCUGGAUAUUCGUUUUUUUUUCGAAACGAACCGGCAGGAGAACUACUAAAGAGGGAAAGCCUAGGUAGGCGAAAAGGAUAUUCAGAAACUAUAUGCAGUGACGUGUGCUUAAAUUUCUGCAGGGGAUUUGGGUGGGCAUGACGCUGGGCACGCUGCUCCAGACGGCCAUACUCCUCUUCAUUUCCUACAGGACCAAGUGGGAUAAACAGGUGCAGUCCUAGACUGACGAACUGUCAAUUAGUCUGAGCUAAAGAGAUUAUUUUUAUCUCAGAAAAUUGUUCUGAACUAUCUGAAAAUGAUGCAGGCUAUGCGGGCCGAAGAGAGGGUGAGGGAGUGGGGAGGAAGGAACGAAGCCCUGCCGUCGGCGACGCAGGUUGCGCCGGCGACCGAAGAUGCGGGCCGGUUGUCAAAUGGCUCUCAAAACUUGGAGUUGCAACCGCAACAGAGAACAGGGUAGAUUUUUUAUGAUUAAAUAUGUACAGAUUGAUUGGGUGAAGCAGGAGCUUAAUUUAUAGUGCCGGAACCUCCUUUAAAGUUUUGUUUUCAAGCUUGAACAACUUUUGCCCGUUUUUUUCUUUUGUCAGAAGAUCAUACGGUGUACCUAGGUUCAGUUUCAGUUUUCAUAUGUUUAGAAACAUAAUUUUGAUUAUAAUGUUUUCCUUUUCUUCUUUGUACUUACUGGCAAUGGGUAAAUCCCCAUCAGGUAUGGCCACUUCAGACCCAUCCCCGCCAUAAAAAUUUAAGACCACCAGAAUCCCAUACCCGCUAUGGGUGGGGAAUUUUCCCCAGACCCAUACCCGGUCGGGUAAAUCAUACCCGGCGGGUCACCCAUACCCGCCAAUAGUUUAUUCACGGCGUCGACGAGCUCAGGAUCCAGCGGCUUCAGGCAGUCACCGUCCUCUGGGACCUCCACGAUAUCCCUUGACGCCAUAGUGAACGAGCUGGUUAGUGUGAGGGAGAAGGACUAAAGGAGGCAAGGAGCACCUGGGCACCUAGCGCCUGCAAAGCAUAUGAAGGGGAGAAGGAGAAUGGAGAAGCAAGAAUCACCAUCCGUUGAUGCUUCCUUGCUCCAUCAGUGGCAUGGCGUCGGAUGUGGCGGCUUCCUGGCGCUUGGAUUUGGAUGGAGUGCGAUAGCGAGUCAGCGAUGCAAAAGCAAAACGAGGUCACGAGGGGGGCGCAGCCGUGCAGGCGGCCAGGCGCUAUUCACUUGUUUUUUUUGCGGUGGCCGUGGCGAGUAGGAGUAGCAACUAGCAAAGUGAGCGGCGUGCGGGUUUUUUUUUCGACGGCCAGCAGGGACCAGCGGUGCGCUGGUGGCUGGGUGUGAUAGGGUUGGGAGGGGUGGGGAAUGGGGAUAAGAUUAUAUAACUAGGGUUACCUUAUGGGUUAGUGAGCUUCUCUACUUUUGGACCGGAUAUUUUUCACCCAUGGGUUAACGGGUAUGGGGACUGCUAGAACAUACCCGUACCCACGUACCCGAUGGGUGAAGGGUUUGGUCCAUUUACGUACCCGUGGGUACUGUGUUUAGUCCAUAUUCAGAUUCUAAUGGAGUAAAUACCCGUCGGGUAUCGGAUCGCGGGUCUCCAUUACCAUCUUUACUUGGAAGAGACUAGUAUGUUCUCUGUUUUUUAUUCCGAAGAACUAGCAUGCAAUUGAUAGCUUGCCAAAAAUAAAGGAAAGGUGUCGCACAUAUCCACAAUCCACUGCAGGGAGUCAUCACUUAUCUAAGCAUAAUGCAAUGCAAUAUUUUUCGCAAUAGCAAAAUCACUAUAGUAUUUAGCAGUAUCUGGUGAAAAGUCACCAAUCUGUUUUGCUUCUGUGUGCGGCAUUGCCUCAUAGGCUCAUACUGUUUCUUGAAAGCCAAAUGGUUAACAAAAUUUUUAUUCAAGGGACAUGUCUGGUUAAAAUGGGUUUGGUGUUGAACACCUGUAUAUAUCCAUGGCGUCACCUUGUGAUGUAGUUGUUGAUACCACUUGCACCAUCUUAAGAGAAGUCAAAAUGAUGUUUUAUGUUUACUUAGUUAAAGUCCUUGUGCUAUGCAACAGUUUGCUAAAUGUGCUAAAUGGGGGAUGUCUACCUCUGCUGCCAUGGCUUUUGAUAGCUAUAUUGACCAAAACCAGAAACCACUGCAAGAUCAGAUGAUGAAACGCUUACAGAGAAAAUGACGUAAUCAAUUGUGAAACUUAUUUUUGCAUCCACAUCGAAAAAGAAACGAAACAAAAAAAUCGAGGAAUAAUAAAGUUAAAUUCAGUAUUGCAAUCCAGUUUGCAAGCAACUACCUAACCAGAUCAAACCAGUACGUGUGUGGAUUAAGUAAUCAGAGACGUUUUCUACACUGGUUAACCUCGUCCAUGAACUGCCCUAUUGAUGAUCCAAGAGGUCGUGUGCAUCCUCUCUACUCAGACUUCCCUAUCAACAACGGAAAAAUGAACUCAUUUUUCUGGAGCAAUCAAACUAUACUACCUGCUCCGAUUCUGGCGUCUCAAUUAGUCCAUCGGUUCUUCACGUUUCAUUGGAACAUCUCUACUGGCUAGCUCUUCAUAAGAAACGUGAAAGGAUUAUUUCGGUUAAUAUCAUGAGUAUAUGAGGAUAUCCAUCCAGCCCUGUUUUUAAGAUAAUGAAACAAAAUUCUGCGUUUAGCCACUUCAUGAAAAAGACAUGAGUCUAGCAUUAUUACAGAACGUAGCCAACGCUACCCAAAAUCACCAAUGGGUAAAGUUUGGCAUUACGUAGCGAACAUGAUCCUAUUAAGCCAUAAUUUGUGAUUUUGGUGAUUGAGUCCAACAUAGUCAUUGGGACUAAUGGAUUGUCUAGCAUGUAUCUUAUAGGUCCCAAGUAUACAAACCAAACCAUGGCAAGGUCCAAAUCAUGGUAUUCAAGUAUCCAAGCUAUGGUAUCUAGGAUUAUUCUAUGGUAUUCAAGCAUCCAAAUGACAGAAAAUUCUAGAGCACCACAAUGACGGUAUUUUCGGUGCUUGUAUUGGAUGAGUUGAAGAGAAAAAGAAACACGUUCCGAUGGUCCACCUGAGAAGCGUCAGAGCAACCAUCGGACGAAAUGGUACAACUGCAGGCGGUCAAGACCACCGGAUGUUCUGAUGCCCUGAUUUCUAGUAGCGUCGGAUGAAUUCUGAGGAUAAGACUUGGAAGACAAAGAAAACCCUAUAGCACCGGAUGAUCCGAUGGUAGGCCAAGAGGAGCGUUGAAGGAAACAUAUUUACUUUGCGAAGUUCCUUUUGCUAGAAGCUCUUCAGCACCGAAUGAUCCAACGAUACCAUCGGAUGAAUUUUCGACGUGUUAGUGAAGAACUUGGGCGCGGGGAGGCCAACAGCUAGUAGCACCGGAUGUUCUGAUGCUACCCAAAUGUAUAGCAUCGGAACAUCCGAUGGUACACUUUAACUAGCUAUUGGAGCAGCGACUCUUUUAUGCCUUGGGGCUAUUUAUACCCCCUCCACUUACCCAUUUGAAGUUACUGGAGUGUGCAGAAGUCCAUUGGACAUCAAGGCUCAUCAAGAACACAUCCAAGCCACCAAAAGUGCUUAAGUGACUAUUCUAAGGCUUAGCACAAGUUUAGAAGAGUGAUUAGUGCUAGGAUAGGCCUAGAGAAAGGGAAAAUGCAAGGUGUGCCUACCUUUUGAUCAGUUCUAGGAGUGAACCACACUUGUACAAGGUAUGCCAGCGCCUUGGAGCCUUGGUGGCUCGUCGGCAAAUCUUCGACCCUCCAGCUUGGUGAGGAGUGGCGUUGACGACCGUGUGCGGGGAACGUGGAGAUCCCCUUCCUUAGUGGCAAAGCUCCUUAGUGGAGACGGCAUCAAUAUGACCAGGGAACUUGACGUGAGCCUUAGUGGCCAAGCCUUUGUGGCAAGUCAAGGGGUGUCCCGGGAGAGACUUGGUGAUCGGGAAGCAAUACUCUUGUGUAAGUGAUUCAACAAUUUGAACUAGUGGUGGCUUAAUGCCUACCGAUACCAUGGGAUAAAUCAUCGUGUCAAGAGUUUUUUCCCCUCAUCCCCUCCUUUACGUUUCCGCAUUUCAUACAUGCAACUUGUGUGCCUUUACUUUCUUAGUGUAGUAUCUUGCUAGGAUUGGCUCUAGGUUGCAAAACUCGCUUUGGGAUGAGGGUUUCACACUAGAUCAACCAUAGUUGCAUAUCUUGAUAGCUUUAUCUAGUUUAAGUUUGAUGUAAAAGUAGUAAAAGUCAUAGGUUAAGGAUUUAAGUAGCCUAAUUCACCCCUCCUCCUUUUAGGCUACAAGCACCGUUCCACAUUAUUAUGAACUUCUGAAUACGAAAGGCCAUUCAUGGGUGGCAAAAAAUCAACUCCAGCUGAUGGCAAUCUUAAGUCAUCAACUCCCCUUUGUUCAUUACUUCGUUGUAAUUAUGCCCAGAAACAUAGCUAACGCAUCCCCUGACUAAGAUCUGCGAAAACGUAUCCAGCGAUGGAUACACAUUUUUUUUUUUGCCUUACCAACUAUCUCCCUCAAGUACAUUGUAUAUAUGUAAACAUCCAACAGUUUAGUUUUCUAUGCUGCUACUUGAGGAAGAAUUUAGCAAGAUCCCGCAAGACAUAUGGGGCAUAUUUUUGUGCCCUCUUCCAACUGCCCACGAACAGCUCUGUGCCUCUGUUUCACGCCAAAUAUACACACCAAGAUCAAUGUCAAACUAUUAUCUAUUUCUUCGUACAGACCAUUGUAUCCACAGGAAGCAACUUGACGUAAUCUGGCUUAGUUUCCGGCCUUGUUCAUCUCGUCCUCUCACUAAACUUCUCACCCGGGCACUGGGGCACGCCCCCACUCGUCGACUUUGGAUCUGGCUUGAAAUUUUUUCAUAGAUUUUUUCUUCUCUUAUGAUAUGGCGACCAAAGUUGUCAAGUGAGUAGGUAGCUGCUCCAAUCACACAUAGGUCAAAUAGAUGAUGCUCUCUGUUCCUUGACAAUGCAUGAGCUAAGUGUGUUGCAUAGGAUCAUAGCUAGGUUUACUUCAUCAUAUCUAGUGCAAACCAUCUGCCUCGUGCAAUCUUGAGAACUAUAAAUCAAGACCACAUGAUGCUAAUCCAAUGGCUAGGUUUAGUGAUGCAGCACCUUUUCCAUGAUAUGCAAAAGUGGUCGGCGGGUGAAGGGCUUAACUGCAAAAUAAUCCUACCACUAACCCUAUCCACUGGAUUAGCAUCUUAUGGUCUUGAUUCAUAGUUUCCAAGGUUGCACAGGGUAGAUGGUUUGCAUGAGAUACGUUCCCCUAAAACAAACCCACCUUUUUUGCCGGAAGCUUUUGGAGGAGGUUGUUCAACCAAUAAUGACCUGGUUUGUUGGUAUGAACACAAGGUCCACCGGUGAUAUUCCUUCUGGAAUGUAUUUCAUUUCAGUAACAUAUUGUUUGAGAAAUUAAAAAAAAUGCUAGAGUCGACUUCGUUAAGUCUAAACCACACUGAACCUCACAAAAACAAUUCUGAACGACAGUAGAGCUAGAUCUAAGCUUACUACUACUUGCAUUUAAUUAAUAGAUAUUGAUUGCUAGUGUAAGGGCAGUAUGGUCAACAGUUUUAAGGGGUGUUUGGAUUCGAGGUGCUAAAUUUUAUGAGGGUCACAUCGAAUGUUCGGACGCUAAUUAGGAGGACUAAAUAUGAGCUAAUUAUAAAACUAACUGCAGAACUCCUAUACUAAUUCGCGAGACGAAUCUAUUAAGUAUAAUUAAUCCAUAAUUAGCAAAUGGUUACUGUAGCACCACAUUGUCAAAUCAUGGACUAAUUAGGCUUAAUAGAUUCGUCUCGCGAAUUAGACUCCAUCUGUGCAAUUAGUUUUAUAAUUAGACUAUAUUUAAUACUCCUAAUUAGUAUCAAAUAUCCGACGUGACAGGUACUAUGAGUUAUUAUCCAAACACCCCUUUAAUAAUGUUGUAUCCGGCAACUCGAUUGCAUGCUACCAACUCAGCUGCGUGGUCUGGUUCAUGAGACUUGCAGUCUUUGAGGUGUCACCUACCCAUCGACUGGGACAUAAUCCUAACACGAAAGGCACCGAUUCUUUUUUCUAGGACUGCGCUGGUAAGAGCGUGAGAGCAACGCUACCGUGGCACGUACGACCGCUGGUCGCCGGAGUGAUGGGCAAACGGCUACGGAGCGCUGGAACCGGAAGCGAGGCUGGCUGAGGCGUGAUGCGGCAACCUGUUUUGAAUUUUGAUCCGUGAACACGAUUCAGCAGAAAAAUAAAAUUAUGUUGGGGUAUCCAUCCAUCAGUGUUUAACUACUCUACCGGUAGAAAAAUAAAAUUCAGAGGUCACCGCGAUUCACCAGAUAUAUAGGAUAUAUCGGGACAAAUUCAAUAAAUUUAUUUUUUUUCCAAAUUUUUUUUGCAUGGUUCCACUAGGAAUCGUCCCCGAUCCAAUAAAGAUAACAAAAUGCACAUAAUUAAGAACAAAAAGAUUAUAGCGUUCUAGCACCCCUGCAGCCUGCAAAGCUUUGCCAGACAAAAAGAAUGGGCCAAGGUCUCGAUCGUCCUUCCAGAAAAAUAAGGCCUGCCUAAGGGGCUUCUUCUUAAACCAUUAGCGGCCUGGCCCAUUAAGCUGCUUGGUUGGCAAGAAGAGAGCCAAAGGUCAUAAAAGAAAAACAAAAAGGGAAGGCAGGCUUUGGCUGCAGUGAAGCACUCCUGAUCUAGGGUCUCUUUAGUAGAGCUCCCAAAACGGCUCCACCACCGACUUCAUCGGGAGCCCUACCAAAUGGUUGUUUGCAAAAUAGCUUUGAGGUUGAAGUCCACCUGGAACUAGAGCCCUUUUUUACUACGCGCAGGAAACUGAAAAAUAUGGCUCCCCGUAGCUCCUCCUCAUCCCGGCAUGCACAAGUACACAGUUGUCCCUCGAAAUUGCAAAUACUACAGCCAAAAUGCCACUCACCGGGGGAGCGGCGCGCUGAGGCCAGCCGCAGGCGGUCCGUGCGUCAAGGGAGCAGUAUGCCGGGCGUGGAGCGUGGCGGCGGCACGUCGGUGCCAGAGCGCGGUAGCUGGUCGGCGAGCAGCGGCGGAUUCAGCCCACCUCGACUCCGCGUGGCUCGGAGCAGCGCGGCAGGUUGAGAGCAGCAUGCAAGGUUGGAGCGGUGUGCGAGGUCGCCGGUCGGAGCGGCGCAGCAGGGCCGGAGCAAAUCGACGGGACGAGCGAAGCGCGUGAGCGCCUGAGGAUAGAGACGGGGAGAAAAAGAAGGAUUGGAUAAGGAAGAACGGAAGAAAAAGGGAAGAAAAAGGCUGCGGUACAAAAGAGAAUGGAACCGGAUAUUGAGUAAAAAAAAGAUGCGUUUAAAAAAAUGGUAUAGAAUAAUCUAUAAUUUUAUUCGUUAUUUCUUAUUACAUAGUAUAAAAUCAUGUUAUAAUUCCAUUUUUUUAUUUUUUUUAUUUCAAAUGCAUCAUAAAUUGAGGGAAAAAUAUAAACUUUACUCAAUAGUUAUGGGCAUAUUGGACAUUUAACCUCUUCUACGUAUUAUAAAAAAUAGAAGAAGCCAUUUUGCCAAACGUUUUCCAAAACGACUUCAACUCUAACAGAGGAGCCGAAGCCGAAGUCAUUUUAACCACAACCAGAGCUCUGCCAAACUAGCCCAGAUAUGCUUGUGCCGUGGAGGUGGGUCCAUACAUUUUCAAGUACCUCACCACCUGACUUCACUUAUUACAAGAACUCAGCAGAGUUGGUAUCAUCAUACGACCAUGAUGAGUGAAAAAUCACCUCCUGAGUUCAGUUGAUACUUCUGUUUCGAACAUCGAUGCAUAAAGCGGGCACUCUGCCCCCCUUACAAAAACAAAUUCAGAGCUGAAGCACCCUUUUACAAAUAGUAGAAGAACAAAACGUCGAAAGAUGGGAAUCUACCACGACACAAAGAAAGGCAAGAAAGAGCCCUCAAAAAAAAAAAGGCAAGAAAGAGUAAAGGGGCAGAGCAUCCAAGAUUGCAUUUCAAACGCAGCAAAGUAUAUAGUAUGUUCGACUUUCUUUUGCAUUAAGUGAUAGCAGUCUACAUGGCUGGUCAAGCUAAAGACCACUUAACUUCAUGCGUGAACUGUGCAAUUAUAUAAUUGUGAAGGAAAAUCAAUACUUCUUUUUUCUGCAAUGGACGGUAUAAACUAAAUCCUUAUUUAUCUUCUCGUAUAUACUUCGUGUACUGUAGACGAUAUAUACCCUUUGCUAUGCGUAACAUGAACCAAGAGUUCUCAAAAUACCUAUACCCAUGUUCGAACUUGAGGGGAAAACCCAGCUUCACUAUGGAAAAGACCCCGUCAGCUUGAUAUGAUCGAGGGUACUCCUCAAGCCAUACCGCUCAACGGCUCGCAUGCCUGCUCGAAACCCAUCUCCGUAGGCCACGGAAGGAUCUGUCUCAAUCUGGUGCUUGAAGAACUCGCCAAGUCUCUUUUCGAAUUCUGUCUUUGCACCCUUUUUUGAUGAGGAGGAUGUUGAAGAGGAUGAUGACGCAGCUGAGGUGGUUGCCAUGCUACCAGAACCUGAUGUGAUUUCCGACUCAAGCCACAGGUGAGCUAGAACCUGACAGAUGCCUUCUUCAACCUCUGGACUCAGGGUUCGGUAUCCUACCAAAAAUGGGGUAUUAAGAUGGUAUAUAUUUCUGUUCUAGAAACAUAGAAGUAUGAUGAGGAUGCUGCAAAUGAAAAUAAAUAAGCACAACAGGAGUACCUUUAAGUCGGAGGUAAGCAUGCAUCAUUUCAUGAGCCAGAAUUGAGCCAGUUAGCAGCCUGCAUGCAAUCAAACCAAUGAAAAUGAAAACAUGCAGGGCAUUCCAAUGGAUUGGUAAUAGGCAUUCAUCAAAGGAAAACAAAAUCAAUUGUAAUUAGUUUGUUAAAUAAUGAAAGAAAAAACCUUGGCAGCCCGUACAGUAUAAGAAUUGCAGUCACUUCACACCGUCGAACUAGUUUGUAUGGUCCUGUGAUCAUAUCUAUGAUUCUGUUGCCUGGUCCAAUUAUUGGUCUUCUUAAUAUCUGUACAAUAUUAUUACAUUAUCUUAUUUUAUCAUAAAUGCCCUCGAAUUACAGAAAAUCAGUAGAUCAAUUUAGCAAAACAAGGAAAUGUUUUAAGAUCUUACAGUUCUGACAAUCUGCUCUUCAGAUAGGCAGAGACCUCUGGUUUCAGGAAGGUGGUGUCCCUAAUCAAUAAGAGUAAAAGAAUAAUAUUAGAUGUGCAUUAUGUACACCACACGAUAACGGACAGAAUGUCACUUACAAUUUUCUCUGCUUCCAUGGCUUCAUUUAGAGCUUGUCGCUCAACCAAAAGCAAGGGAACUUGUUGUUCUACUUUCAUGUUCAUACCCUCAUAGAACUCCUGAAUAUCAAUGUAUAGUGGCUGGCACUCAUUGGUGUCCAUAAUUGCAGUAUGCAGACACUCCAAGCAGAGUCUCCGGCCAUCAUCUAAUGUUAUAUAUUGACUGUGCUUUGGCUGGGUUUGACAACAAAACAAUAAAAGAAGGAAAUGCCGUUGGAAUCACCAGAGCCAUGAAGAUGUGCACUAUAGGUGGCACAAGAUUAUACAAUUCAUCAAAAUUACAGGUAAAUUUCUGAAAAUAGGCGCACAAAUGCAGCUGUUGAAGUAUUUAAAUGCCAUGCAGGAAUGGCAUUGGUUUGUUUUAUAUAAAUACAUCAAUACAUAUAUAACUGUACAUAAACAUAACACUAACCUCCAUUCGCUCACAGCUGCAGCACCUAGGUGUACCAUCAUUUUCAUGGGAAGGACAAUACUUCUGCAUCCAGAAAGGAUGGGCCCGGUAUUCAAUGAGGCCAUUUUUAUUUGUGGGAAUCUGGUUACCAAAAUGCCAUCAGUGUUAAGAAAACCUCAAUGGAUAAUCAAGGUUAAAUAAUUAGUUUUUACUAAACUUUCAAGCUCAUCUAUCAAACUGAAGUGAAGAAUGCUUACAAAGCUAUUGCAAACAUCACAUUUAGGAUGGAAACGCUCCUUGUAGCAGGACCUGUGGUAUGCAUGGUCUUCAUGAACAGCAAACUUCCAAAAAGAAAGGUUGGUGUUAAUUAUCUUGUGAAGCUGAACCAUGUAGAUCAGGGGUGUUCCAGAUUUUAUACCUCAUACUCUGAUAUUGGUAUAUCACAACCGUAACACCUGAAGCACUGGGGGUGCCAAACAGAGUCCAUACAACUGAGAAACCGUCCCUGACCAAUUGGAGUUUUGCAUCCAGCACAGACCCUACAGAAGGCAGUGGUGCAACCACAAACAUAAAAAUUACAGAACGGAAACGCUUAACCAGAGAAAAUGGAGAGAAAUCUCAUAAUAAGAUUCUACAUCACAGAGUAGGAUAAGGCUCAGAUAACCAGACAAGACAAUCGAUCCAUGUUGCAUAUCCAGUCAGGAUAAUUCUAUACUAUGAGACGUAUAGGCUUCUGAGUAUUACCCUCAUGUAUAUAGCCUUAUUUGAAUACUGGCUCAUUAUAUAAUAUAUAUCUCACCCAGGUAGCCUUUGAUAUAUAUGAGUUUGCAGCCAUAACAUGUUUUCAGAGCAAAUGGUGCUUCUUCAAACAUUUUCCAAACUCUAACCCUAGCCCUACCCUAGAAUCCAGAGUUGUUUUUUUCUCCUUGUAUAUGAGAGACCAACAAGCUACUGCAACGGAACCAAGUCUAAUACAUCUGAUGACUAAUGUAUCAGGAUGGUUUUCCUCCUGAUUAUCAGACGUAUCGUCCUAAAUUGUCAUUCACCCCAGUAGUGUGACAUGCAGUGUGUUUAUGCUUAAUAGUAUUUUGAAACGAAAAAUAACAAAUAAGUUUGUGCUGAUUGGAAGGUAAGAUUAUGUCAAGGGGCAGAAGCAACUAGUGAAGCAUCACAUUAUCUUAAUGUACCAUUGCGAGAAAUACCUCGAUCCAUUUGUGGGGAAAACAUAUGGGGGCAAGCUACUUGCUGGAGCACUUUCUGAGUGAACAUCUUCAAUUGGAAUAUGCUGACGAGGAGGAUGUUCAUCAUUCAUACUUUCUUGCAGAGCCCGUGCAAGCUGUUCAUCUUCAUCUAGAGUAGGACUGGUAUCUGGUUCAUAAUAAUAAGACAAAGCAUUAAAAUUCCUGGUUCUGAUCAACAGUACUCAUUUUCAUAUGCUCAUUUGCCAAUCAAGAACUGCUAUAUGCUAUUCUUUCUGUAAUUACUAAAUAAGAAAAUUUAAUAUUACAGGAAAACACUGUCCCAAAAAGAGUUAUGUUAUUUUUGGUCCCUGAACUUGAGAAUUCCAUAUUUAGCCCCUGAACUUGUAUAUGUGGUCAAGGCACGUCCAAGCCUUAUUUAAUUGGUAAUUAGACAUGAAAUUGAAUUUCAGGUUGAUGUGAAAUCAAUGAACAGUUAUCUGAAUGAAUAUAUCGAAGAGGAGGUCCAUCAUUCAUACUUUCUUGCAGAGCCCGUGCAAGUUGUUCAUCUUCAUCUAAGUGGUGCUCCGUAUCUGAUUCGUAAUUAAAAUAAAAAUAGAAAAGCAUUAGAAUUCAUAAUUCUGGCUAACCGUGCUUAUUUGCACAUGCUCAUAUUCAAUCUAAAACUAGCUGUCUGAUACUUCAGGUAAUUACUAGAGAAUAAAUUUCAAAGUUAGAGAAAACCCGUGUCCAAAAAUGUGUUGCUUUUGGUCCCAAACAUGAGGACUCCAUAUGUAGUCCCUGAACUUGUAUAUGUAGGCAGGAGGUAUGCCCUAUUUAAAUGGUAAUUAGAGAUGACAUGUCGUUUCAGGUUGCUAAUUCGACCUUGCAACCAUCAUGCAAAAUCAAUGAAGGGCUAAAAUUUUGGAUUUGCAUGGAGUUAUGAUGUGCUUUAAUAGUUUUCAGUUAGUGUUGCUUCACAAAAGAUAUUGUCAAACAUUACCAUUAAUUAGAACAAAAUGCUUUGUUAUCACUGGUUGCUAAAUUACGUCAGGUUUAGAACUGUUCUUACUGAUAACAGUUUAGUAGAUCUGAAAUUCACUCUCAAGUUUAAGGACACAAGUAACGAAACCACACAAUACAAUAGGAAUUUGCUAUGCACUUUUUUUGUCUCUAAAUUAGAAAUAGCCAAAACAUGCAAAGAUGGGUAGAGUAAUACAAACCAAUGGCCUUUCCCUUCCUUUGAUCUUGCUCUGAUAAGGAUAGUGCAAUAGCAUGAUCCAUGUCUUCGUCCUCAUUACCAUGCGCACCCUGCUACAGUAAGUUUUUGUAAUAAUCAAAUAAGGAAUAAUUAAGUAUGCAAACAGAACAUCCAGUGCUGUUCCUUCCCUCUCAGGAGUCAGGACUGAGGAACAUCCAGCAUAGUUGUGAGUCCUAAUAUAUAUUAAAAAUACUGCGAGUCCUAAUUAACCAAGCACAAAUCGAUAAGUUGUUCGCUAUUUAUAUUUUCUAGGCAGACAUACCACCAAUUGGCUUUAAUCAACAUGAUUUAUCAGAAACAGGGAAAGACCCAUUUCAAAUUAAGAGAGUAAAGAAUUAUGGGGAGUGCCUUGAGCAACUGAUUGUAUAUAAUAUCAAGGAGCACACAUUUUGAUGAACUAUGGUUCUCUUCAUUUUUUUACAGUAGGUAUUACUUAAAACUAACUUAUUUGCAUCAGUAAAUAUUAAGAUUAAGAGGAUAAGAUGCAACUGAGCAGAGUGGUACAUAUGAUUUAGUGUGUUGAGUUGAAUAGCCUUCAUGGGAGUUCCCGUUGUAAUGUCCCCUUGAAACUCUAUUUACUGAACCUUUAAAUAUUUUACUCAGCCAACCCAUGUUUAUAAUCUGGAGGGUCAAGAGCCUUCUUCCUGCACAGCCAAAAAAAAAGAAGAGAGAAUCAUAUUUAGAGGAAACUUGUGCAUAUGAGCUCUCCAUAUUUAGAGAAGGCAAUUGAUGGUCUGUCUAUAUCACAUUCUAGUAUUUCUUAUGUAGCAGUUGACCCAGAGAAGGUUAUUUCUAUAUCUAACAUAUUACCAUGAUACCAUCUCCACAAUUACUCCCUACCCCCAUCCAAACACCCACCAGCCACCAAACCUAUGUUCGAUGUUGCCUCCCCUCCUUCAAUACCAACUCUCUGUUUGCCUCUCCCCGACUCCCCUGUGGCCUUGAUACUCGAAUCAAUACAUAGGAAAACUAAAAACGUUCAUAUCUUGGGAACAUAAACACAUCCGGCAAAACAGGUAUCAAGUUGGCUUUGCUGAAGGUAAGAUGCAAGGCACCAUUGACACUCACUAAGCAAGAGAUGAAGGUGGAAGAAUCUUCAAGCACAUUCACAGGCUAGAAAUUUGCUAUGGUCCCCAAAAAUUUUCAUUGACUGCUUUAUAGCAAUUUCUUCUUCCUUGCCAAUUUUGUGAUGUGUAUUCCAGUAGUAAGCACAGACCUCAGAGGUAGAGUGAAUGCGCAUGAAUUUUCAACAGUCAAGCACAUUCAUAGGUUAUAAAUUCAACCAUAAUCAUCAAUGUUUAUAAUUCAGAAGAUGUAUAGCAAUUCUAUAUUUUUAUUUCCUUAUUAUCUUUUAAUGUAGAUCCCAACAGUAAGCGUAGAUGCAUACUGCAAGAAAACAUCAUUAUGUUUCUAGAAUUUAUCACGCCUAAAUUUUGGUUGUUACUUCUUCAGAGUGCUCUUUGCUUUGAAACUGAAUAUGAUCAACCAUGUAAAAAGGGGCCAGGCUCAGUAGUGCACUCUACAUUACUUUAAAGGGUGAGAUCAAAACACAAACAGGCUUGUGGGACACCACAAUGAUGAAAUGUUUCAAAAUUCCAUAUGCAUGGCAUCCCCAAUGCAAAAUGCACAUAAGUAACCCCAAAGAUUGUCACAACUAAAUAUUCCAAGGGCAAACUAUCAGAAAGAACCGUAGUUACAUUAGAACUGAGUAAGAGAGCAACUGGCUUACCUUGGGAAGGUCAGAUAUGCUCCAAUGUCCUUUAAUUCAGCAAAAUACAGUUGGAGACGGAAAUGGCAUCAACGAUGUUAUGUAAACUACGACAAAGAGACCAGCAAUUGAUCACCUACACAGCUAUAUCUGCUGUAUAUUUUCCCCUGAGUUCAUAAUGGAAAAAUGUAAUCAAUAAAAUUUAUUUAUGCUGUAGAAUCCUUAAAUCGAAAAGUAUACUGAAAUUCAACAAAAUAGCUUAGCAUGUCUCUUACUGUCUUAUAUUUACUAUACAUGUAAACCCUUUGAGAACCUGGAAUGCCAAAAAAUGCAGAUGCAGCCCUGCUUAUAUAAAUAUAAGUCGUGCGGAAAUCACUGGUGACCAAUCAAUCCUUAUCAAGUUGUCACCAUGGUAUGAUGAAUCUAAAUUCCAAUAUCCAGUACCAAAAAAAAAAAAUCUGUAGAGAGAAGGCAAGUGCACCUUCAAAGGAGAAGAGACUACAGAAUAAACUAAAAUGGCUAAUGUCAUUAUCUUAUCCUUACCUAGAAAGGAUAGGGAGGAUCUUGAAUCCAGAGAAAAAAUAUGUACAACUUUAUGCAGCAGGAAACCAAGACAACCAAACUAUUAUGCCUAAUUCCUGUUCCGCAACAAACAAGUCAUCAUGAAGCAAUACGGAGCACGAGAAAGGGGAACAAUUAGAGCUUUUCCUCCCAAAAGUAGAUGCGAACUAGUUGAGCACCAAAAAGGGUAAACAGCAAGGUAUAAGUACCUUGAUCUCAGCAUCAUAGGAUACAUAAUUUUGACUGGGAGAACAGCAGGGACCGGUGUGGAGCUCACUGGGGUCUGGGGACAACCCCCACCUUAUGUCCCCAAUCAGGCAAUGGCCACACUCCCAACUCCUGCACCUGAGCAGAGAGAAGCCAUCAUGACAGUCCCCACAAGGCAUGGAAGUACAGCCACCGAAUUCAUCACAGUAAUUCACCGCAAAAGGACAUCAACUACCAAAUUAACCUUGAGAACAGGUGAAGCAAGUAAAUUACGGCAAAAACCGCCCAAGAUCAUCGUAAUUCAACUAGAAGAAGCAGGGAGGAAAGACUCACCAGUUCAGAGCCUACGAAUUCAGCAAAGAUCCCCUCUUUCUGGCCUUCUUGCACCAGAACAGCCGGCCGGCCGGAGAGACACGAGCCGACAGAAUAGAAGGGAGACGAAACGGGGAGAGACGAUGGAGGUGGAGGAAAGAAAGCGAACAAAGCGUGACACGGACGGGAAGGCGGAGGUGCGGCAGCAACAGGGAGGCCGAGCCCGAGAGAUGGAAAAAAGAAAACAACCAUCUGAGGGUGACAUCUCUCUCUCUCCCGCUCCCACUGUCACUCGCCCACCGCCCGCCCGCCCGCCCGCGUCGCUGUCGCGGCGACGUCAACACCCCCCAUGCGCGUGGCCGGCGGGAGGGGGAGGGGUAGGAGGAGGCCCACGUGGGGCUUAGGCUGGCGAGCAGGCGCGGCGGCGUCUCGCGCACGCAUUGCGUCGAGCGCCCUGCCUGCGCGUCCAGGAAAUUCCCUGGCGGUUGGGCUUGCGGGGGUGGGCGGGUGAUUGGGGAGGUGGAGGGAAGAUGGGGACUUGGGUGACGGGUGGGAGGUCGCUGCCAGAGUCAAUGGCAGAGCAGGCCAGGUUGUUUUUGCAGCAAACCCCUCUCUGAUUACGGUAUUAAUCAAUGCAAUGCUUCUUCACCCAUGAGAAUGAUAGCUAGAAUGGGUAAAUCUCUUAUCUUCGUUUUGAGACGUGUACUCACUGUAGCGAACAUGAUCCCAUUAGACCAUAGUUUGUAAUUUUAGUGAUUGAGUAACAACAUAGUUAUUAGGAUUAAUGGUUUGUCAAGCAUGUGCCUGUAGAUUUUCUAGGUCCCAAGUAUGCAAACCAAACCAAACCAAACCAUGGCAAGGUCCAAAUCAUGGUGUUCAAGUGUCCAAGUUAUGAUAUCCAUGGUAUCUAAGAUUAUUUUAUGGUAUUCUAGAGCAUCCAAAUGACGGCAUCUUCGGUGUUUGCAUUAGACGAGUUGAAGAGAAAAAGAAACUAUCGGAUGUUCCGAUGGUCCACCUGAGAAGUGUCGGAGCAACCAUUGGACGAAUUGGUACAACUACAGGCAUUUGUCUAAGUCAAGACCACUGGAUGUUCCAAUACCCUGUUUUCUAGUAGCGUUGGAUGAAUUCUGAAGAGAAGGUUUGGAAGACGAGGAAAAUCCUAUAGCACCGGAUGAUCCGAUGGUAGGUCAAGGGGAGCGUCGGACGAAGCAUAUUUACUUUAUGAAGUUUCAGAGAGUUUUUGGCUAGAAGUUCUUCAGUACUGGAUGUUCUGACAAUACCAUUGGAUGAAGUAUCAGAUGAAUUUUGGAUGUGUAAGUGAAGAACUUGGGCGCGGGGAAGCCAAUGACUAGUUGCACCGGAUAUUCUGAUGCAUGCUAAAACAGACCAUCGGAAUAUCCGAUGGUAUACUUUAACUAGCUGUUGGAGCAACGGCUCCUUGAACUCUUAGGCUAUUUAUCUCACCUCCGCUCGCCUUAAAAAUCAAAGACUUAGCACAAGCUUAGAAGAGUGAUUAGUGCUAGGAUAGGCUUAGAAAAGAGAGAGUGCAAGGUGUGCCUGCCUUGUGAUCGGUUCUAGGAGCGACCACAUCUGUACAAGGUGUGUCGGCGCCUUGGAGCCUUGAUGGCUCGCCGGGAAGUCUUCAACCCUCCGGCUUGAUGUGGAGCGGCGUCGACGAUCGUGUGCGGGGUACGUGAAGACCCCCUUCCUUAGUGGAGAACCUCCUUAGUGAAGACGACAUCAAGGUUACCUGGGAACUUAGCGUGAGCCUUAGUGGCCAAGCCUUUGUGGUAAGUCAAGGGGUGUCCCGGAAGAGAUUUGAUGACCGGGAAGCAAUACUCUUGUGUGAGUAAACUAGUGGUGGCUACAUAGAUUAGUGGUGGUUUAGUGCCUACCGAUACCACGGGAUAAAUCAUCGUAUCAAGAGUUUGCUUCCCCUCAUCCUCACCUUUUACAUUUUCGCAUUUCAUACUUGCAACUUGUGUGCUUUUAUUUUCUUAGUGUAGUAUCUUGUUAGGAUCGGCUCUAGGUUGCAAAACUUGUCUGGAACGAGGAUUUCACACUAGAUCAAUCAUAGUUGUGCAUCUUAAUAGCAUGAUCUAGUUUAACUUUGAUGAAAAAAAUAGUGAAAAUUAUAGGUUAAAAUUUUAAGUUGUCUAAUUCACCCUCUCCUCCUUUUAGACUGCGAGAUCACCCAUUUCUUGCACUCUCUUGGGCAGAAAAAUUGCAAGCAUCGGUAGCUAUUGUUGUCAGGUGACAAGAAAUGCCUCUGGGUUGGCCCGUGCUCUGAACACACAAAAGUAAGCCCUCUUUAGCUGUUAAUGGUGCUAUUUCCUCGUUCCCAACGCCAACAGACCACUUCUAGUGCCUAGUGGUUGUCUUCUACAAUCAUUGUUGCCUAACAAGCAUAGAAUGCUCUCCCGUGGUUCUCAACAAGUAAAAAAUUAGGCGCAUGAUAUACGGUGUUUUGCGUAAGUAAAAAGCAGUAUAUGUUAGAGGAAAAUGUUUCUUAUGGUCCACAUCCAUACAGGAAUAGUUGAGUGCACGAGGUGUGCAAAUUAAAUAUGAUCAUUUUUAAUUCAUCGGACUGGAAAAAAUGGUUGUGAACUGUGAAGUAGCUAGUUUUGAGUCCAAACUGGUUGAAUUGACGGUGCAAUAAUACAACAGGUCCCCCGAGGUGUUGCAUGCAAAAGAAAUAGGCUUAAGUUGAAUCUGGUUGAUGCAUCAGCACGUCAAAAAGAGAUCACUGGUGAGCCGCCCGGGCACAUCUAUGGACUCAUGGAGUUAGUACUACACACAUUGUGCUUAUUAAUUAACUCCACCACUAGUACUGCUUAACAGCUUAUUGUUUUAGGAACCUGUCGUUUUCUUGCAAGACCAGUCAUAAUGCCGUAUCAUGAAUUUCGUGCAUCUCGGCUAAAAUGACUCGCUUUCCACUCGUGCGUGGCGUCACACAAAUUUACUUAAUUCGCACCACGUCAAUUAGGGAUAAACUAAAUUUCCAUACUUUUGAGUCCAAAUUGGUCACGAUGACGAUGCAAUAAUACAAUACUCUCACGUCCGAUCCCGAGGUGUUGGAUAUGCAAAGAAAAAGGUUGACGAUGAAUCUCUAGUUGAUGCAUCAGCACGUCAAAUUCAAAAGAGAUUGGUGGUGAGCAGGGGACAUCUAUGGAGUAUGGACUUAGUACUAAACACAUUGUUCUUAAUUAUAGCUCAACCACUAGUGCUUAAUAGCUUAAUAAUGUUUUGAAGCACAUUGUUCAACUGCGAACCUGUCAUUUUCUAUUUUUUAGAGUAAGGAAAGUAUCCGGUGCAAAUGUUUACGACCACAAAUGGUUCGCUUUCCGCUCGUAGCGUCACACCAUUUUUAUUUUCGAAUUGUGCCGCGUCAAUUACGACUAAACUGCAUUUCAGAGCUCAAACUUUACGCAAUACAACAGAACAAGCUUAGAAACUUCACCUUUUAUUCAGACGGAAGUUAUGUAUUCUAAAAGAGUCCACCUUUUAUACUCAUAGGUAGAGCAUAAACUGCAAAAAUGAUGGUAACCAACAUUUAUCAUUAUAAUCGCUAUGAGAGAGUGGAAAUACGGUUCGCACACCACCACCACAUGAAUGCAUAAAACUGCACUAUAAAUACCUUCAAGUGUUUGGACCGACAAAUCUUAAGUUCGGUAAAGUCCCAACCAUGAGUAUCUCCUUGUCGAUGGGCACGUCAUGUUGAAUAAAUCGCUAUAUUUGUCAUUUUGUGAGAUACGGUGAUGGGCAAGGAAUACAACUACUUUCAUGAAUGACUGAGGUGAUGUUUGUUGGUUCUUAUAUAGAGGGACGUAUGUUUUCUUUUCUCCAGGUCAUUGGAUAGACACAAAACUUAUCUGAAUGAACUGGUCCAGAUUUCAAAGCAAGAAAGGUGUAACAUCCCAUAUUUUUACGAGAUGUUUUUAAUUGCAAAAAUGUGAAUUUCAAAAUCUUUGUUGUGGAGGUGUGAGAAUUUUCAAACUAUUAAAGUGUAUUUAUUACCCCUCUCCCAAAAUUCCUAGAUUAAUUUGAAUUAAAAUUUAAAAUCUAGGUUGAAUAAAUGCUAGUGUGCCAUUUGGAUUUUAUUUGAUCAUUAUUUGAAUUUUUAUUUGAGUGGAUUCAAAUUUAAAUUCUAGAUUCAAAUUUGAAUUAAAACUAAACUAACCUAACUACCUAAACUAACUUGGGCCGAAACCUCACCCCGGCCCGCCUAAGCCGCACGGCCCAUCUAACUGCCGGCCUGCCUAAGCCGCCCCUUUCCCCCGCCAGGCCACUAAGUUAGCCGGCCCAAACCAUGGUCCGAUACACGCCGGCCCCUUCCAGACUCCUCCACGCCUUCUGCCGCUGCCAACCUGGGCCCGCACGUCAGCCACUCCAGGGGAAUAUUCCCCUUUCACCUACCCCCGGCCGCACGCACGCCGCAUGCGCGUCAUAGCGACCGCGUCGCCGCGCCACUACCACUCCGCAUCGUGACUGCUUUUGAGCUAGCCAGCGCCGAUGAAUGCCACACCGCCCCUUCGCAUCACCGCCGUCCGUUCCGCGUGCAAACCCUAGUCGCGGCCUACUUAAUCCCCGCAUCGGCCGCUCCCGGUUCCGCGCUGCAAGUUUGGGGUUUUCCCUGUCCGCCAGCGGUUUUGGAGAAGAAGGGGGAGAGCGGAGGGUGUCGGAGAAGAAGAAGAAGGGCGAAGAGGAAGAGGAAGGAGCCCGGGGAGAGGAGGAGGCGCCGUGUACCCGGAGCUUUGCCAUCACCUUCGCUAAGCCGUUCACCACCCGUCACUGCUCCGCCUCGCAACCGCGCCGUCAUCACCGCCGCCUUGACCGCCGGUGAGCCGCACGCCGCCCUUCUCCAUGCCUUUACCUAUCCACGCCAUAGAUAGGGCGCUAGGAACCGCUGGCACCACCGGGCACGCACGCCGCGGGCGCGGUCACCACGCACCGCGCGUGCGACAUCGCCCAUGGGCGCACGCCAUGCCACGGCCGGGGCUUGACCCCAAGCCCACGCUUUUGCCCCCGCGCGUGCCGCCGCUUCACCGUCGCCCUUGCCUCUGUGUGCCGGCCUUCGUGCCGAGCUUUUCUUGCAGGUGCCGCACACCGCCGCCAUCCACUACGACCAAGGCUCGGCCUUGGCCUGCGAGCACGCCUAGCCACCGCUAGAGCCCAAAGAUCGAGCAAUUAGGUUCCCUUGAGCCACCACUGUUCCAUCUUGGGUCGAGCCGCCGCCUCUCACCGCCGGCCGCCCGUGAACGCGCCGCCCGGCCGUGCGCCGUUAUUGUUGGCCAUAUGGCCCGUGGCCCAUGGGCCGGCCCACAGCACGCUUUUUUGGCCCAAUCUAGGCACGGCCCGGCACGGCGGCCAUCAUGCCCGUGUCGGCCUAGCCUACACCACGGGUCGGGCCUGGGCCGCUCCCUCAGCCCGCGUUCUAGCUCGUCACGGCCUAGCCCAUUUGGCCCGUGGACCACCAAUGGGUGGCACGGCCUGUUUAGGCCUAACAGGCCUGUUUCGGCCCAGCUAAGAGGCCAUAUAAAAUUGACCAAAACCUUACCUCCUUCCCCUUCCCAGCCGCCUCCGGCUUCCUCGCCCCUCGCCUCUGGGCUCCAGCUUCCUCGCGGCCUCGCCGCCUCCCCUGCCCCUGGCUCCUCACGCCCUCCACCGCUUAGGUGUCUGGUGCUAGCGUCGUCGUCGUCGCCUCAUCGUCAUUGCGGUCGACGAGGUGGUGGCUGGCGCCCUCCGUGCCUCCACCUGCCCCCCGCGCUCCUCCACCGGUGUCGAGCUUUGCUCCUGGGCGGCGGUGGUUGGGAAAAGAAGGAGUGCGGCGGUAGGGAAAAGAAGGAGAUGGCAGCGGUGGGGAAAAUAAGGAGCGCGGUGAUAGGAAAAAGGAGGAGACAACGGCGGUGGGGAAAAGGAGGAGCGUGGCGGUGGGGAAAAGGAGGAGACGGCGGCGGUAGGGAAAAGGAGGAGCGCGACGGUGGGGAAAACGAGGGGACGGAGCCGUGCCGGCCAGCGUGCCGGCACAGCCCGCCUAAAAAGGUUGUGGGCCGUGCCUGGGCUCCUGCUUUGGCACAUGGGCCGACACAGCCCGACACGAUUACUGUGCUCACCUGCUUCAACUAUGGCAAGCCCAGCCACAAGUCCUACGACUGCCCCGACAAGAAGACCAACCCGACGCCCACCAAGAUACUGGCCCCAGGGGGGAGAUCUCCUCAGACUGCCGCUCGGCAGCCUGCUGGCCACGGAAGACUCAACCACCUUACCAAGGAAGAAGCUCGAGAUGCCCCUGAUGUGGUGAUCGGUGAGUUUGUAGUUUGUGGCACUAAAGCUUUGAUUCUGUUUGAUAAUGGAGCAACUGGCUCCUAUGUUUCUUCUAAGUUCAUGACCCAACCGUCUCUUCCCAUGGUCCCCUAGCCUAUACCCAUUGUCACAAGCUCUCCCCUAGGUGAUAUGUGCUGCACCUUGAUGUGUAAGGGAGUAGAAAUGUGGAUGAAGGGACAUAAGUUCUUAGGAGACCUGACGGUACUUAAGUCCAACGGUAUUGACAUCACACUUGGCAUGGACUGGAUUAUCGCACACAAAGGUGUUAUCUCUAGUUCACCUCAUCUUGUGACCUUGCUACACCCUAAUGGAGAAAAGGUUGAGUUUGAGCCCAUGAAGUUCCGCGAUAUUCCGGCUGUGUACCGCCUCACUGAGAAGAUAGUGGCAGAUGUUCCUGUGGUUUGCGAGUACCCCGACAUAUUCCUAGAGGAGUUGCUGGGUUUACCUCCGGACCAUGAUGUAGGGUUUUUGAUUAACCUUGUAGCUAACCUAAAGCUAGCCUAUAGCUAGCAGGAUGCCACAUCAGCACGAGGGACCCACUGACCGUUGGCCUGUUGACCGAGUCAACGCUAAAAUCAUCAGGGCCAACUGAUGACGUUAGCAAGAUGUGUGGCACGCUCUGGUGCUGCCACGUGUCACACCUAUGAUUUUCUUAUUUUCGCGAAUUAUUUUAAAAAACUAGAAAUCGAUUUCAACUUCAAAAAUUCAUAACUGAAUCAUCUUAACUCCAAAAAUUAUGAAACUAGAUUCAUAAUUUUUCUAAAAUCAUGAAGAACACGGUAGAGUAGUCCUUGUUCUUGUUUGGGUCUUCUAUGGAUCUAUUUUAGUUUUUAUUUGCAAAUAGACCCUCGGUAAUUAUGUUAAUUACGCAAUUAGGAGCUACCGAAGACUCGGAGCUGAACCCGGAGCCGGAGCCGUUCGAGGACCACUAUGAUGAGGAAGAAUACUCAAGUUCAUGCCCAUUCAAUUUGAAUGGCCAUUAGGCAUUGCUAAUUAGAAUGCUAGCAUUUUAUUUCUUCGCAUAUUGAUGAUGAACCUUGCAUAGCCUAUUUUAUGCCUUGAAUCGUUGAGUGACCUACUACCAUACUACUUAUAUAUGCUAUGUGCGAUGCUUGCAUGUGUAUGUGAUAUUGUGAUUAGGAUUCUUGGUGUGAGUGGGGUUAAAACUGGCAGGAGAAGGUGUUUUUGGGAUAUUUGACGGGGGUGAGCUUUACACAACCCAAUCUUUGGGUUGGGGGCUUGGGGUUCGUUCUCGGACGUUCCCUGUUUGUUACUUAUUGCGAGUACAUGGUUGAGGAGCAUAGGAGUUGGUGGUGAUACCUGUUAUGGGUACCGUUGCAGUCCACGUUGUGGAGUUGCCUUGCGGAAGUUAGGAGCUCGCCCCGAUCUGAAAUCGAGUGGGUCGCCAUGCUUCACGGGAAUAUGUUAAACAUGCAUGUCACUCGCCGAAUUAUGGGUUUAGGCCUGGGUCGAGACUGGCAAGUGCGAUACUAUACCUGCCGUAGGAUAGAGUAUCAGUGUAGGGGGGAGAGGUGUGGACCUAUAGCCUCCUGAUUUUCUUUUGCCCCCGAUUGGCCCCGGCAGGAGUGCUUCACAGUUCCGAGGUGGUAUACUGCGGGGGAUCGCAUCCGAGCCCGAUUGCAAGAUGGUAUCGUAACUCCCAAGUUCUUCGCUCGGUAGGGUGAUGUUCUAUCGGUCGACGGACCAUUUGGGCUCACUCCGAAAUGGGUCCAGGUGUACACGCUCGAAAGAGUUAAAACUAUACGUAUAGCCGCGUCCUCGGUCAUGGACAAUCCUAUGACAUCACGACUCUCCAUUAUUUUGGGAUAUCUCUACCUCCCCCAUAGUGAUACUUGUGUGUGAUGUGAGCCACAAUUGCAGGCGGGAAGAGGGGAAGUUGCUCCCUUUCCCUUUAGGAUCCGGUUGUAGUUGUUGAGAGGUGAAAAAAGGGAGUCUCCACCUCGACCCUAGUUUGGAGAUAGGAUGUUGGUGAAAGGGACCCUGUCGAGGCAGGUGGGCCCGACGUGAUUAGAGAUUGGGAUGAUGGUUAUGGAGUUUAUCUUUGCGCUUGCCGCUACUUAGGAAACCUGAGCCUCUUCCUGACUAUUUCUUGAUCCUUAGUAUUAGGCCACUUAAAGCUUGCAUACGGAUGGUGUGAUGGACCUAUCCCAAUCCUUGGGGACAGCUUGUGAGUUUGCAGGUUACGAGUCCGACUUCAACAACAACUUCGAUGGAUGGUACGAUUGAGGGCUAAGUGCUACGCUCAAGGAUGCCUGUGGAGAUGGUCGUGAAGAUGAAGGCGUUGUCGGAAGCUAGUUACCGCUGCGUUGGUUUUAUUCGUGUCAUUUAGCCCAAGGGGCAUUUACCAGAUCGUACUCUCAUAUUCUGGGAUGUAAUAAAUAACUUGUACUGUUAUCGAUGUAUGGAUGUGAUAUUGUGCUAAAGUUCUCCAUGUGAUAUCUACUGAUACAGGAACUAUCACGAGGAUACAGGGAGUUGGAUUCUCCUCGCGGGAAUCCGGUUCGUUUCAAAAGGUACCAAAAGAUAGGGAUGAAUGGGAAAUUAUCCAAACUUUAGCAGCUAUAUAUCCAAAUUGUCCCUAUCUUUUGGUACCUUUCUUGAAUCUCUAACAGUUUAGGUUUUGUCGUAAUAACCAUCAAGAUGAAUGGGAAAUUAUCCAAACUUUAGCAGCUACCAAAGCUUCCUAUCUCAACUAUUCUUACUUAUUUGAUAAGUAACUCAUGUGCAGGUUAUUUCACUAAACCAAUUGCUUACUCUCUUUUUUCUCGGGAACCAAUUGCUUACUCUGUUUUCAAAAUGUAAAUAUUUUUUGUUUUGUGCUAAGUCAAAAAAUUUUAAUAUUGAACAUGUUUUAUACAAAUAUAUUAACACCCACAAUAUCAAAUAAGUGCACUAUCACGACAUUUCAUGGUGGAACUAAUGAAACUAAUUUAAUAUGGCCAAAGUUAGAGAAAUUUAACAUAGGAAAAAACUAUAAUAACCUGCAUUUUGAAAUGGAGGAAGUACAUCAUAACUGGAAGGCGUAUUGCACCUUAAGUACAUGGUGACAUUUUCACGCUCAUAUAACUUUAUUGUAUUUAUCUGCUGAUCUAAUAAGAUAUUGCAGCACUAGAACAAAGGAUAAGCUUGAACAUAUAAGCAAAGAAGUCAUUUUAAAGCAUUUAAUAACUUGACUUCACAUAACAGUUUGUUAACUUCUUUAUUAAUUUCAUUUCUUUUCUUUUUUUGAAAAUAAAUUUCAUUUCAUUUCUAGGAGAUGGCCCAUAUUAACAUCAUAGCAUGGCAACAUGCCAUGUGAUUGGAGAAUAGCACUGCAGUAAUCACCAGUUCACCACCCUUCUGUAUACACAUUUUUUUUGCAGGGACGAAAAGGAAAAUAACAUCAACAGGUUUAGUUUACAUCACAUUAAACAUCUCUACAGCCUUAUGAGAAGAAGUCAAUCUUUAUAAAUGCUACCUCUGCUAUGUCAACUAGACAAACUAAUCAUCCUCGCUGCGCACUGAGGCAAAGAUGCGCUUUCACAGGCUUGUGAUCGGAGCUCCUAACACAGUCGAGGGAUUCAUAUGAGCUUAAUACUGCAUCCAAGCCUGAAGAAUGGUCGACCUUGAACAAUAUCCUGUCUGUCCAAGAAGGCACUCUUACCUGCAGAAGUGAAGAUCACAAGCAUAACACGUAAGAUUUUCAAAAGCUUCGGUUGGUUCAGUCUGCAACUUGGCAUCUGGAAGUGAUGUUAAUUCAAGAUACCUUAUGACUUGUAUCGUAGAUGCUACUUCCGACAUCGUACUUGUAUGUUGGCUUAAACGACAGGGUUCCUUCGUAGUAUCCAUUGAACACUUCGCCCUUUUCAGCUUCUUGAAGAAGCUGAUCUUUGCCUCUUAGCUUCUGAAACAAGACAUAAAUGUGAGGCACUGCUACAGUCUGAAUUCUGAAAACUGGCUAGUGCCAACGAACACUUACACUCUGACGAUUCUCCUCAAUCAUCUUCCUUGCAGGUAUCGAGCUUAUUCCUUCGAGUCUAUAAUUGAGAUCACCGAGCCACACUGUUAUGUCUGCGGAUUGGGCAUACGGUUUACCGUACUUGGAGAAGAGUGAGCGUGAAAUAUGCUGGAAUUCUGAGUUCCUCUUCUCCACCUUGUGUUCAUGAGCUACACUUUAAUAAUACCAUGUCACUUCAUAAUGGCGCUUGAUUAAAAUUGACAGCUAUGUCAUCCUACAUCAUAGACUCAUAGUAUAUUUGAAUCUGUGUUGAUUUUAGUAUCAGAAUAUGAGAAACUGCAAGACUUAGCAUCUGAAUCCCUGAAAACUCUUCUACAAUCAUAUUUUCAUUGUCUGAAGUUGUAUAGCACUUGGUCUGAUACUCUGAUACUUAGAGCAUUGUAGUAAUGUAUUGGUAUGAAUUUUAGUAAACACAAGUGAAAUUGACAAAAGCAUAAACCUGAAAUUGAAAACCAACCUGCAAGAUGGCAGACCACAAAAACCAUCCGGAUCCCACUGAAGUUGAUGUACAUGGCCACAGCUCCUUUCUUUCUCCCAAUCAUACCCCCAAAACCUCCAACUGCAUGUUUGUCCACCUUCAUCUCUGUCCAAAAUUAGAAAAGCACGUUUAUAAACCUUCACCUCUAUUCAGAAUUAGGAAACUAGUUUGAAGAAAGAGGAAACAUGCAAUUGGCAUCAAGCAAUUUGGGAUAAAUAUGAUAAGAAAAGAUUUAGAAUCACCUCCGAUGUACUUCUCCGAACUCUUUGAUCCGAAAAGAAGCAUCUGAAGAGACUGCAUGCUUUUCUGACCUAAUAGACUGAAAAUUAAUGUGCAUCAAACAAUUUCAGAAUACUGCAAAAGGCUAUAGUGUGUUCAAUAGCACAGAUAAGACUGGGGAGUUUCUUACAUGUGUGUGUCGGCCAUGGUUUCUUGCAGAACUUGCGAAACAUCACAUUUUGGUGCCUCUUGCAGUCCAACAACUAGCAAAUCAAACUUUCUGUUGGAUCUUACCAAUUUUGUUAUAUCUUCCACAGACAUCUUCACCACCAGAACACACACCAAAUCAAUGUGAUUGGCCAAAUCAUCAUGAAAAAGAAAGCAAUCGAGUUACAAGUAUAUACCUUGCCAUUCAUGUUCCAUGUGAUGAUACACACACAGAGCACAGAGUUGGUGGUGAAUUCACAACCUUUCUGAAUUGGAAUUGUCUUUAUGCCAUCGUGAGUCCCAUCCUCAUCAGUAGAAACCAGGCUGUUAUUCUGUAGCUGGCUUCUCCUGUAAUGUUACAAGUAUCAAGAAGUGCAAGAGAAUCAUACGAAAAGCAACUUUUAGAAGUUCAGAUAAAAUACCAUGUUGGAAGAGUAAGGCUGCUGCAGUUUCCCAUAUCGACGUACUGAAUCCUUGUUUCUGAUCAUCUAACGUGGAGAGGACAACAAAGGAACCCUUUUUAUACAACUAUACUCUGAAACUUCAAAGGUUCCAGCCACAGAGAGAAUCAAUUGGGUUUGGAUAUGGAUACUCUUAGCCUCCAAAUUUCUUUGAGCAAUUUAUUUGGAUCUUCCAUGUGCUCUUGAAAAUUUCAACACACAUUACGAAAUAGCGACAAGUGGAAUACCGAAGAACCAACCAUUUGGGCCAGCUGGAUUUGAUAGUUAGGUACUGCAUAUCUUUGAUGUGACAAUGAGACCUCAUUUGUCUUCCCAUCAUUAGCAGGCGGCUACAGCGGUCCGUGUAUUAGGGGAAAUGUUGAAAGGGACUCCACGCAGGAAUGGAACCACCCAAGUUGCUAUCAAUAGUUUGGACACUUGGUGCUAAGGCAAACAUUUUCUCAGCAAGUAACCAUGGUGGCCAUGGACUUUUAAUGGAGAAAGUGUGUUCCGGAACACGCUGGACCUUCCCGAAAUUUCACAACUCCACCAAAAUUCCAUCGCUAGCUGUACAAGCUGAAUUGUAGGCAUCUGCAGGAAAAAGAUCAGUAUUGCAAGCAACAUCGUCCAUGAAAGUUAUCCAUCGAUGUCUUGCUAAUGAACAUUAUGAAUUUGACUCGAUUUUAGCAGGAUUUCAGUUAAUUUUGGUAAUGCAAGAGUUGAUCAAGAUUUCUAGGACUUGAGAAGGCCUUGGCCCUUGGCAGUUGCAACUAGCUAUCUAUCAGCAGCCCAUCAACUGAAAAGAAGGUCUUGAUAGCAACAUGUAUCCAUGCUCAUCAAAAGUAAGCAUCAGAACCAUCCGGUCCCUUGUUGGAUCAUGUGCCGAUCAAAUGGUCAGUGGACGUGCUGGAAUCAACAGUUCCUUGCGGGAUGAGGUUUUCCAAUCAAACGAGCAGCCGCUGCUGCAAUUUUCUGAUGGGGCUGGCUGUUGCCAAACUUUCUUGCUGCAAGAGAAGCAAAGUGGUGUUCUUGGGUAGUUGGGUUGACGACGCAUCAACAGAAGACGUAUUGAGAGUGGCAGGAUGGCAUAUCAGGCACGUGAUUGCAACUGGAAAACCACCAGCCCCAGUGCCCAACUCCAUCCUCUCGAAUCUGCACGCGGCCGACAUCACCUUACUUGAAACUACACCCAAAAUUGCAGCCAUUCUCAGUUGAAAACUAAGCAAAUCUGCACGGUCAACUCUCGUACGCGACGAGAGCGUCUACGUGAUGACCGACGAAAACCGUUGGCGGAGACGUAUACGUACGGUACGACACCAUCGACGACCGGAACAGGCCGCCCCGUCGCGCUUCAUCGGUCACGUUCUCUGUUCGCGAGUCGCCGCCGAUCCGGCCGGACCAAGCGACGUCGAUUGGCCUAAGCACGCCACGCCUCGCUAGCUCCAGUCCCGUGACCUCGAGCUCCGAAACAAACGUGGUAGGAUGGCAACAGCUGAGUUGGGGGCAACAUGGCAACUCCCGGUGAAAUAUGACUAGAUCAUACAGCCACGCAAAACAGAAUACAGGUCUCGGAAAACACCAAAGCUAACAGCUACGUGUACCGUCCCUGACUUUCACGAACACACAAAAGAGUUCAAGCAAGCACUGUGGUCACUGGAUCCAUGUUUUCUGUGGUACAUAGAAACUCAAUGCUGGGCAUAACUUUGCAGAGACGACCGCCUCAUUCCAGUAGCACCUAACAGCAAUAGCAAAACACG